UUAGAUGGCUUGCAUUGCUCAAUUUAUCGCAUAAUAGUCUGACAGGACCUAUCCCAUCAUUGCUGAGAAAUAUGAAAGAACUCCAAUCUUUAGAUUUGUCCUCAAAUCAACUGACAGGGGCUAUUCCACCUCAGUUAACUGCAUUGACAUUUCUAGAGGUCUUAAACCUCUCGGGAAACCAUCUUAGUGGAGAGAUUCCUCAGAAAGGACAGUUCAGCACAUUCAAUAAUGAUUCUUAUCUAGGAAACUCCGCGUUAUGUGGAUUACCUUUGACGAAGAAAUGUGCAAACACGACAUCACCUCCACAAGAAGUCGGAAAUGGUGAUGAAGAUGAUGCUGGUGAUGAAUGGACAUGGGAAGCAAUCGUGAUGGGAUAUGGAUGUGGACUGAUAUGUGGAUUGUCAUCUGCGUACAUUGUUCUCAAACUAGGAAGGCCUUGGUGGUUUGUGAGAUAUGUCGAAGUAUUGCAACUGAAGUUGAUGAAAAGAUAUGCAUGAAGAAUGGUACUAUUGGUCGAUCAAGACGAACUUGAAAAAAGUUGUCCUGGUAGACAUUUCUGAACCAGUAGUAUACUAGCUGUAAGUAUUUGGUAUUAUGUAAUAAUCCGUUUGGUUGGGACUCAUAACGAUAUUUCUUGCUUCAGGGGUAUUAAUAUAAACCUUGGUAUUGUGUACUAGCUGUCUGUUUGGUCGUGACUCAUAAUCAUUUUUCUUGCUGGGUAUUAAUAUUAACCUUGUUAUCUUGAUCAAUGUUAAUGCAAAUUAAAAUGAAUGAAAAAACAAAAUAUAUGCAUCAAAUCCGCUGUUUGAAACAAUUUAAUAAUAAACUCGAGUUUUCCAGGACCGCACCAAAUCCACAUAUUCAAUAUCACACNNNNNNNNNNNNNNNNNNNNNNNNNNNNNNNNNNNNNNNNNNNNNNNNNNNNNNNNNNNNNNNNNNNNNNNNNNNNNNNNNNNNNNNNNNNNNNNNNNNNNNNNNNNNNNNNNNNNNNNNNNNNNNNNNNNNNNNNNNNNNNNNNNNNNNNNNNNNNNNNNNNNNNNNNNNNNNNNNNNNNNNNNNNNNNNNNNNNNNNNNNNNNNNNNNNNNNNNNNNNNNNNNNNNNNNNNNNNNNNNNNNNNNNNNNNNNNNNNNNNNNNNNNNNNNNNNNNNNNNNNNNNNNNNNNNNNNNNNNNNNNNNNNNNNNNNNNNNNNNNNNNNNNNNNNNNNNNNNNNNNNNNNNNNNNNNNNNNNNNNNNNNNNNNNNNNNNNNNNNNNNNNNNNNNNNNNNNNNNNNNNNNNNNNNNNNNNNNNNNNNNNNNNNNNNNNNNNNNNNNNNNNNNNNNNNNNNNNNNNNNNNNNNNNNNNNNNNNNNNNNNNNNNNNNNNNNNNNNNNNNNNNNNNNNNNNNNNNNNNNNNNNNNNNNNNNNNNNNNNNNNNNNNNNNNNNNNNNNNNNNNNNNNNNNNNNNNNNNNNNNNNNNNNNNNNNNNNNNNNNNNNNNNNNNNNNNNNNNNNNUACACCACAUUAAAUAAUAGUUCAAAAAUAUUCAAUAAAUAAUUGUUUUCAUUCAUAAUUUUGUUAUUUUAAAAACUAAUAAUUUCGUUGAUGUUAACCUAUAUUUUAAUAUAUAAUUAUAUUAUGUUCGUCUUAUUUUGUUUAACUAGAAAUAAUAUUUUUAUAAUAUUUAUUACAUUAAUUAGAUUAAAAGAUAUAUUUUAUUAAAAAAUUGAAUAAAAUUAAGAGGAUAACUGUAUGCCUCUCCAAGUCUACAAGACUCAUUUCAAGUCUACCGAGGACCACUGCCUCAACCUUUGAGUGAUGUGAAAGUAGCUUGAGAGUGACAUAAAUUAUUUUCCUGAUACUAAAAUUUACUAUUCAAUAUAAAUUAAUUAAAUUAGUUAAUAAUAAAUCAAAACUAAUCAUAAAUUAUGAUAAUAAUUAUAUAAAUUAUAAUUAAAUUAUAUAAAUCAACUCCAAAUGAUACAAAUAACACUAAACCUUAGUUAAUCUAUUGGUAAAUAAAUAUAAUAUAAUAAUCAAAUUGAUGAAAAAUCAAAAUCAUCUAAUAAAUUCACAAAAAUAUAUAAUCAUUUGUAUAUUAUAUUAGUAUCCACACACUUAUAUUUCAAAAUCUAUCCUCCAAAAUUAUCACUCCAUAAGCUAGCCACAUAAAAUAAAAAUUUAAAGAUAUGAGAUAUUUAGUUAUUUUCAUUAUAUAUAAUUUUUCCACACUAAAUAACAAAAUAUCUUUAUCAAUUUAUUUUUUAUGAGUUAAAUAUUCAAGUUAUAAAUCCAGCAUGCAGGUAUAAAUAGAAGUGUGCAGUAUGAUAUCAGAUUCAUAACCCAGUUGAUCAGGAGAAUCAUGGCAUACUCUGCAAAGACUUCUCACCUUCUUCUCUUUGUUUUCUUUCUCUCAUCACUUGAAUCCAUUCUUGCAACAACACGAGAGGGAGAAGCUCUUGUGAAAUGGAAGAAUAGCCUAGCCCCUUCUUCUUUUCUCGAUUCUUGGUCCCUCACCAAUCUCGAAAAUCUUUGUAACUGGACUGGCAUUACUUGUAACUCUGCAGGUUCAGUCUCUGAGAUUAACCUCUGUGAGAAACAACUUGAUGGAAUGCUGUCCGACUUCGGUUUCACUUCAUUUCCAAAUCUCAAGAAUCUCACCCUGGCAGACAACUUCUUCUCGGGUCCAAUACCACCAGCCAUUGAGAAUUUAACACAGCUUCAAUAUCUUGAUUUAAGCAUGAAUAGUCUCAAUGGUCCCAUUCCGUUCCAGGUUAGCCAUCUUCAGAGGUUGCUCAUAUUAAACCUGUCACAGAAUGCAUUGCAAGCUCCAAAUUGGUCCCAUUUCUCUCCCAUGCCUGUUUUGCGCUUCCUCAAGCUCAGUAGAAAUCCUCUUGUGUCGAAAUUCCCAAAUUUUAUAUCCAAUUCUCAUAGCCUGACUUAUCUCAACCUUUCACAUAACAAGUUUAGUGGUGAUCUUGUACGUGAAUCAGUAUUUACCAAUCUGCAUCAUCUUGAAGUCCUCAGUCUCGUUGACAAUUCUUUUGAGGGGCCAUUUCCGCCAAAUAUAUUCAAGCUUUCCAAAUUAAAACGUCUUGCCCUGUCAGGUAACAAAUUUUCAGGUCCAAUUCCCAAUGACAUAAGGUUGCUAUGUGAUCUUGAAUCCCUAUAUUUAGGCAACAAUUCCUUUGAAGGACCGCUUCCACCAAAUAUAUUCAAGCUUUCAAAAUUAAAACAUCUUGUUCUUUGGAGUAAUAAGUUUUCAGGUUCUGUUUCCAAUGAUAUAGGUUUGCUUUCUGAGCUUGAAAGCCUCGAUCUUAACUCUAAUUUUUUUAAGGGGCCGCUUCCGCCAAAUGUAUUCAAGCUCUCCAAACUAAGGUUUCUUUACCUCUGGGGUAAUAACUUUUCAGGUUCUGUUUCCAAUGAUAUAGGUUUGCUUUCUGAGCUUGAAACCCUCGAUCUUGAGUCUAAUUAUUUUGAGGGGCCGCUUCCGCCAAAUUUAUUCAAGCUCUCCAAACUAAAUUUUCUUUCCCUUCAGGAGAAUAACUUUUCAGGUUUUAUUUCCAAGGAUAUAGGUUUGCUUUUUGAACUUGAAACCCUCUAUCUUGGCUCUAAUUUUUUUGAGGGGCCGCUUCCCCCACAUGUAUUUAGGCUCUCCAAAUUAAGAGAUUUGGACCUCUCAGACAAUAGAAAUUUAUUUGAAGGAAGUAUUCCUAUUGGACUGGGACUCUUGACUAACCUCAGGUACUUAGAUCUAUAUUCCACUAAUCUCAGCGGCUAUAUUCCAUCUGACAUUGGAAACCUGAAGCUACUAGAAGUUCUUGUUAUCAGUUAUAAUCAAUUGAGUGGACAGCUUUCAAAGAUCAUUUCUAAUCUCACAAAUCUUAUAAUGCUUGAUGUAAGUGAUAAUAGUCUUAGUGGAAAUAUUCAGAGUGACUUGUGGAUACAUCCAACUUUGGAAUUCAUCGCUAUGGGUGGGAACCAUUUUACGGGUAUAGUUUUUCUCUAUAGAUCUUUUCCUUUUGUCUUAUUUAACUAAGCUAGUAAUCUGGUUAUUGCAGUUUUACCAAAGUUUCAACAAUCUUGACAGGUGAACUUCCAAACUGUUUGGGGAAUCUUGCUGAUGGAUUGCGUGUCAUUAAUCUUGCUAGUAAUCAGUUUCGAGGAACAGUACCAACUACUUUCUCCAGGAGUUGUCAGCUGACAUAUCUAAACAUGGAUAAUAAUGAGUUUGAAGGAUUGUUGCCCCCAUCUUUGGCGAAUUGUGAGCACUUGAAAAUUCUUGAUAUUGGCAAUAAUGAAAUAGGUGGUACAUUUCCGUCAUGGCUUUAUGCACUUGGAGAUCUAGAAGUCCUUGUCUUGAAAUCAAAUAAACUCUAUGGUACAAUAAGUGGAAGGAGCAGUGAAGAUCCCUUCCCCAAGUUGCGGAUUGUGGAUCUGUCCAACAAUCAAUUCACUGGUCAUUUGCCAAUUCAAUACUUUAAGAAUAUGAAAUCAACUGAUAAUUUGUAUAGCUAUCAGCAUUCCACAGGAGUUUUUUCUUUCCUUUAUGAAGCAGCAGUGUCGUUAACUUUGAAGGGAACAGAGUAUGAAGUAGCAAAGAACCUUCAUAUUUACACAGCCAUUGAUCUGUCGUGCAAUAAAUUUCAGGGAGAAAUUCCAAAGGUUACUGGAGAGCUUAGAUGGCUUGCAUUGCUCAAUUUAUCGCAUAAUAGUCUGACAGGACCUAUCCCAUCGUUGCUGAGAAAUAUGAAAGAACUCCAAUCUUUAGAUUUGUCCUCAAAUCAACUGACAGGGGUCAUUCCACCUCAGUUAACUGCAUUGACAUUUCUAGAGGUCUUAAACUUCUCGAAAAACCAUCUCAGUGGAGAGAUUCCUCAGAAAGGACAGUUCAGCACAUUCAAUAAUGAUUCUUAUCUUGGAAACUCUGCGUUAUGUGGAUCACCUUUGACGAAGAAAUGUGUAAACACUGUAUCACCUCCACAGGAAGUCGGAAAUGGUGAUGAAGAUGAUGCGGGUGAUGAAUUGACAUGGGAAGCAAUCGUGAUGGGAUAUGGAUGUGGACUGAUAUGUGGAUUGUCAUCUGCGUACAUUGUUCUCAAACUAGGAAGGCCUUGGUGGUUUGUGAGAUAUAUCGAAGUACUGCAACUGAAGUUGAUGAAAAGAUAUGCAUGAAGAAAGGUACUGGUCGAUCAAGACGAAUUUGAAAGUUGUUGUCCUUGUGGACAUUUCUGAACCUGUAGUGUACUAGCUGCAUAAGUAUUUGGUAUUAUGUAAUAAUCCGUUUGGUCGGGACUCAUAAUGAUUUCUCUUGCUUCAGGGGUAUUUAUAUUAACCUUGGUAUUGUGUCCUAGCUGUAAUAUACUGUUUGGUCGGGACUCAUAAUCAUAUUUCUUGCUGGGUAUUAAUAUUAACCUUGUUAUCUUGAUCUAUGUUAAUGCAAAUUAAAGUGAAUGAAAAAACAAAAAAAUAUGCAUCAAAUCCGCUGUUUGAAACAAUUCAAUAAUAAACUCGAGUUUUCCAGGACCAAAUCCACAUAUUCAAUAUCACACUCUUCCUGUGAGGAAACAAAUAUGGAGAAACAUUUCUGUUUACAAAACUUUUACCAUUAUACACUCUUAUAGUACUGGUUAAGAGUUCCUAAACUAAAAUUAUCAGUUCUAUGUGAGUAUGCUUUCAAAUAAGAAUUCGUUGUUCCGCCUAGUCCAAAACUACUCUAAAACUAUAUCGCUGGUAGUCUUUCAGUUCAUCCUACUGUAUGCAAUAGUUUCAUACAUAGGUAACUCGGCCUUGUGUGGACUUCCUUUGACAAAAAAGGGUUAAUAGGCUAAAACAUAAUCGAACUGACCCAAAACUUGCAACAAAUAGGAAGGCCUUGGUGGUUUGUGAGAUACAUCGAAGUGCUGCAACUUAAGUUGAUGUUAUGAAGAACUAAAAAUAUUGUUCCGUCAAGACCAACAACUUGAAAAUGUGUUCUGAAUCUGUAAUAAUAUUAAAAUAUUAUAAUAUAAUUCAUUUAACACUAUCAUCCGAUCAAUUUAAUUUAUUAUCAUUUAGUCAAUAUAUAUAGAUGGAUAUGAAUUGUCUUCCCUCGAACUUUGAGUUGUCAUAGUCCUUAAACAUAUUAAACACUUUGAAAAUUUGUUUCUGCAAGUCUAAAUUGUAGACAACACUUUCAAAGUUAGUUGCCGAAUAGACUCAUUUUGAAAAAAUUGGUUAGAUUCCGGAUAAAUUCAUUAAUCAGAAUUAAAUAUUUCAUGACCCUAACUCAAUCUGUUGUAAAUUGAUGUUGAGUUCAGGUAACACUGGCAGGUAUAAGGCAUAUAAAUAGCAGUCUCAUUAAUUGUGAAGGGAACAGAGUAUGAAGUAAGAAAUAACCUUCAUAUUUACACAGCCAUUGAUCUGUCGUGCAACAAAUGUCUGGGAGAAAUUCCAAAGGUUACUGGAGAGAGCUUAGAUGGCUUGCGAUUGCUCAAUUUAUCUCAUAAUAGUCUUUUUUUGAAAAAAGAAAAUAAUUCAAUAAUGAAAAAUCAUACUAAAUCCACAGAUAUAAUCGAAAUUGAACAAACGCAGAAUCAUAUCACCAUUGAAUCCUUCAGAGACGGCGGCUACUUCAAGGUGAGAGAAAUUUAGGGUUUUGCUUCUUAUCUCUAAAAUAGUUAAUUGAAGAGUCAUCUCAUAAUAGUCUUUGAAGUAUUACUAGGGAAAAUAUAUCUUCAUAAUGAAAAAUAAUUAUCAUUUUAAAAAAAAUUCACGAUAGAGGGGCCAUUUGGAUGAGUUUAAAUAAGUGCUUUUGGUAAAAUUUAAGUUCUUUAAUUUCCAAUUGUUUUAGAAGUUUAAUUAGUAAUUAAUAACAUGUGUACGGUUGGAGUUUUUUUGAGUCUAGCGGUGAUAGUUGUUUGAAAAACUGAUAUACAAGUCUAACAAAGUUUAAGUUAAAUAACUUUAAUUCAUAACUAUUUUGUUACCAAUCUACCAUUUCUUGUGUUUGGGUCUUUUUAAUAUAUGUUGCUACUUUAUGGGUAAUAUCUUUAUCUUCGAAGGAGUUUGUGUUUGUCACUUUGUCAUAACAAUGUCACUACCAUCUCUUUCAUUUUGUAAAAAUCUUAUAUAUAGUGAAUGAUAGCUUGAACUCCUUAUUUAUUUCAAUUAUGAAACAUGAUAUAGAUUUUAUAGAGUUAUUUUACAAAUUAAAUUGUUUGACUUCUUAGUAAAGGAUGUCAAUAAUGUUCAACCUAGUACGUAAUAUGUGUAAUCCGAAAUGAUAUUGUUGUCUGUUCUUUCUACUUUAUGGAUUAUAUCGCUGAUACCAGUAAUUUUAUGCUUCACUGCAUGAUGCAGCUCUCAUGUUAUUAACAGCUAAACUCGUGCCAACACUUUGCGAUGCAAAAUAGUGGCACAAAAGUAUUUUCAUAUGUGUAUUUAUUCGGAAAAUACGUGUAUUUAUUCGGAUAUUAAAGUUAGUAUGGACAUUUGUGUUGAUAAUUUGAGCCCUCUUCUCUUCCAAGUCUUGGGCGGACUCUUUCCAAGUCUCCUGAGGACCCAUAGGCUCAAAUUAGUCCAUUAAAAUUUAUGAUCUGAAAGCUCUCUGCGCACUAAUUUCUCCGCCAAACGAAAAAUCAACAUUUCAUGUACUAACUAUUUCCAUAAUAAUUAACAAGUAUAAAUCAUAUAUAUUUUUCCAUAGAACAUAAAUAGAUGGGGUACUAACAAAACCUCUAGUCAAAUUAAUUAAUACCGUUAUGAUUUCGCAAACACAGCAGACAGCAGGCGUAAGGCUAGCUUAUAAAUAGAAGUGUAGUAUUGGGUUGAUGGUCAAGUUGAGUGGAAGUAUGGCACACUUUGUAAAGCCUUGUUAUCCUCUUCUCUUUGUUUUCUUUCUCUCAUUACUUCAAUCCAUUCUAACAACACAAGAGGGAGAAGCUCUUUUGAAAUGGAAGAAUAGCCUAGCCCCUUCUUCUUUUCUCGACUCUUGGUCCCUCACCAAUCUCGAUAAUCUUUGUAACUGGACUGGCAUUACCUGUAACUCUGCAGGUUCAGUCUCUAAGAUUAACCUUUUUGAGAAACAACUUGAUGGAAUGUUGUCCGAGUUUGGUUACACUUCAUUUCCAAAUCUCAACAAUCUCACCCUCGCAUACAACUUCUUCUCGGGUCCAAUACCACCAGCCAUUGAGAAUUUAACACAGCUUCAGUAUCUGGAUUUUAGCAAUAAUUAUCUAGAUGGUCCCAUUCCGUUCCAGGUUAGUCAUCUUCAGAGCUUGCUCAUCUUAAACCUGUCACAAAAUGCAUUGCAAGCUCCAAAUUGGUCCCAUUUCUCUCCCAUGCCUUUUUUGCGCAUCCUCAACCUCAGUCACAAUCCUCUUUCGUCGAAAUUCCCAAAUUUUAUAUCCAAUUCUCAUAGCCUGACUCACCUUAGCCUUAAUUAUAACGAGUUUACUGGUGAUUUAGUAAGUGAAUCAAUAUUUGCCAAUCUGCAUAAUCUUCAAGUCCUCAGUCUUGUUGGCAAUUCUUUUGAGGGGUCAUUUCCGCCAGAUAUAUUCAAGCUUUCCAAAUUAAAACAUCUUAGCCUGUCACGUAACAAAUUCUCAGGUUCAAUUCCCAAUGACAUAAGGUUGCUUUGUGAUCUUGAAUACCUAUAUUUAGGCAACAAUUCCUUUGAAGGACCGCUUCCACCAAAUAUAUUCAAGCUUUCAAAAUUAAAACAUCUUUUUCUUUGGGGUAAUAAGUUUUCAGGUUCUGUUUCCAAUGAUAUAGGUUUGCUUUCUGAGCUUGAAACCCUCGAUCUUCGCUCUAAUUUUUUUGAGGGGACACUUCCGCCAAAUUUAUUCAAGCUCUCCAAACUAAAGAUUCUUUCCCUUUAUGAGAACAACUUUUCAGGUUUUAUUUCUAAGGAUAUAGGUUUGCUUUCUGAGCUUGAAAGCCUCGAUCUUGGCUCUAAUUUUUUUGAGGGGCCGCUUCCCCCACAUAUAUUUAGGCUCUCCAAAUUAAGAGAUCUGGGUCUCUCAGACAAUAGAAAUUUAUUUGAAGGAAGUAUUCCUAUUGGACUGGGACUCUUGACUAACCUCAUGUUCUUAGAUCUAUAUUCCAGUAAUCUCAGUGGCUAUAUUCCAUCUGAAAUUGGAAACCUGAAGCUACUAGUACUUCUUGAUCUCCGUUCUAAUCAAUUUACUGGACCGCUUUCAAAGAUCAUUUCUAAUCUCACAAAUCUUAUAUUUCUUGAUGUAAGUUAUAAUAGUCUUAGUGGAAAUAUUCAGAGUGACUUGUGGAUAUAUAACGAUCAUCCAACUUUGGAAUUCAUCAAUUUAGGUGGGAACCAUUUUACAGGUAUGUUUUCUCUAUAUAUCUUUUCCUUUGGUCAUAUUAACUAAGCUUGUAACCAAAGUUUCAACAAUCUUGACAGGUGAGCUUCCAACAACAAUUUGCAAUGUCACUUCCCUUUCGGUUCUUGAUUUGUCAAAUAAUGAAUUAAGUGGUGCACUUCCAAACUGUUUGGGGAAUCUUGCUGAUGGAUUGCUUUUCAUUAAUCUUGCUAAUAAUCAGUUUCGAGGAACAGUACCAACUACUUUCUCCAGGAGUUGUCAGCUGACAUAUCUAAACAUGGAUAAUAAUGAGUUUGAAGGAUUGUUGCCCCCGUCUUUGGAAAACUGUAAGCACUUGAGAAUUCUUGAUAUGGGCAACAAUAAAAUAGGUGGUACAUUUCCGUCAUGGCUUUAUGUACUUGGAGAGCUAGAAGUCCUUGUCUUGCGAUCAAAUAAACUCUAUGGUACAAUAAGUGCAAGGAGCAUAGAAGAUCCCUUCCCCAAGUUGCGGAUUGUGGAUCUAUCCAAUAAUCAAUUCACGGGCCAUUUGCCAAUUCAAUACUUUAAGAAUAUGAAAUCAACUGAUAAUUUGUAUAGUUAUGAGAAUGACAGAGGAAUAUAUUAUGCAUAUGAUGAAGCAGCAGUCCCAUUAACUGUGAAGGGAACAGAGUAUGAAGUAAGAAAUAAUCUUCAUAUUUACACAAUCAUUGAUCUGUCCUGCAACAAAUUUCUGGGAGAAAUUCCAAAGGUUACUGGAGAGCUUAUAUGGCUUGCAUUGCUCAACUUAUCUCAUAAUAGUCUAACAGGACCUAUCCCAUCAUUGCUGAGAAAUAUGAAAGAACUCCAAUCUUUAGAUUUGUCUUCAAAUCAACUGACAGGGGCUAUUCCACCUCAGUUAACUGCAUUGACAUAUCUAGAGGUCUUGAACCUCUCGGGAAACCAUCUUAGUGGAGAGAUUCCUCAGAAAGGACAGUUCAGCACAUUCAACAAUGAUUCUUAUCUAGGAAACUCCGCGUUAUGUGGAUCACCAUUGACGAAGAAAUGUGCAAACACAGCAUCACCUCCACAAGAAGUCGGAAAUGUUGAUGAAGAUGAUGCGGGUGAUGAAUUGACAUGGGAAGCAAUCUUGAUGGGAUAUGGAUGUGGACUAAUAUGUGGAUUGUCAUCCGCGUACAUUGUUCUCAAACUAGGAAAGCCUUGGUGGUUUGUGAGAUAUAUCGAAGUGCUGCAACUGAAGUUGAUGAAAAGAUAUGCAUGAAGAAUGGUACUGGCCAAUCAAGACCAACUUGAAAGUUGUUGGACAUUUCUGAACCAGUAGUGUACUAUUCUCUUUGUGGCUGCAUAAGUUUUUGGUAUUGUGUAAUAUUCUGUUUGGUCUUGAAUUUCAGGGGUAUUAAUAUAAACCUUGGUAUUGUGUAAUAUUCUGUUUGAUCAAUGUUUAUAUCAAUAAUUUUAUGCUACUCACGUACUGCAUCAUGCAGCUCUCAUAUUAUCUUCAUAUGUGUAUUAUUUGGAUAUCAAAGUUGCAGGGACAUAUGGAUAUGUGUUAACAGGGACCGCUCCCAAGUAGGGGUGAGCAAAAUCGAACCGGAACCGAAAAAUCGAACCGAACUGCGUAAAUUCAGUUCGGUUCGGUCCUAAUUUUCUGAAAAUUCGAUCCAUUCGGUCAGGACCGAAUACACCGAAAUAAAGUUCGGUCCGGUUCGAUCCGUAAAAAAAUAUUUCGGUCCGGACCGAAUAGACCGAACAGUCCAAAAUAUAUAUAAUUUAUAUUUAUAUUUAUAUUAUAUAUAUCUUAAAUGUUAUAAUUAUAAUAUCUAAUUUGUAAAUUUAAUUAUGAAAAAUGAUAUAAAAUUAUGUGUUAUAUCUUAUAUAUAUAUAUAGAGGGUUACUCCAGUGAGAACUUCUUAAAAUGAGAACCGUGAGAACUUCUUUAAUUUAUCAUAUUUUGAUUAAUCUAAACAUCAAACUAGUGGGUAUCCAAUAUAAAAAGUGUAUAUAAAACUAGUCUCUCCCUAACUAGUCAAAAAAAAAAUUCAAAAAAAAAUUUUAAAAAAAGAAAGUCCACUGCCACGUCAUCAGUGAUUUUUUUUAUUUUUUUUUUAAUUUUUUUUUUCGGCUAGCUAGGUGGAGAUCUUAAUUAUAUACAUUUUUUGUGAAGGUGCCCCUGGCGGGGCCCUUCAUAUAUGUACUUUUCAUAAAUUAUAAAUUAUUGUUUUAAAUAUAUCGAAAUGAUUUCUAUAGAAAUUUAAAUUGUAUGUUUAAAUAAUUUUUUUGAGUGACUUAUGAGUUAUAAAAAGGAUGAUAAUAAAAAUAAAUUUGAUAUGUUAUUUAUACGAGUAAUGAAAUUGAUUUUUGUUAAAAUUUAUAAUGAUGGAAUAAGUUAUUCAGAAAAAUAAAUCUUAUUUAUUUAGAGAUGACAUAUUUUAAUUUUAGAUCAAUUUUUUUCUCACUAAAAAAUUAUUUUAAAAUCAAAAAUAAAUUAAAUGUCUUCGCAUUUAUGCAAACAUGCUCUAAAUUAUGCGCAAUAUUAGCAAUCAGUGACUGAUACACGUGCUGAACCUUCCGAAGAUUUCUGGUCAAAAAUAUCCGUGACCCUUUGAGGAAUACAGGAAUAAUCACACAGCUGGCUUACCAUCUGCACCCAAUUAAUACGGACAACAGUACAUUUAUUAGACUAGAUUUUCAAAAUUUUCAAUAAUAGUAUUAUAUUAUUAUCGGUUUUUCUAGUGAAUGCUCAUGGGCACACACUAAACACCAAAUUUUAUAAAUUUGGUGGUUUUUGAUUGACUCAUGCUUGUUUAUAAUGGUAGAGCCUCCUCAAAUUCACCGACCACACCAAUUAAAAUCCACCAAAAUUAUAGAAUUUGGUACUUAGCAUGUGCUCAUGGCACACACUACAUAAACCCUAUUAUUAUACCUAUUUGAAUUUUUAAAUGAGGGCAUAUAGAAUUUAGAUAUUUAUUUAAAAUUUGUAGUUCGAUUUAGGACCUUAAAUGAAUAUAUUUGAAAUCUCCAAACUUGUAUUAAUAUUUACUUGUGUUUGACUAUAAUAAAAGUUUAUAUUAUAUAUAUAUUAGAUACCUAACACUCCAUGGCAUACGCUCUUAUAUGAAGUUUCAUAGUAUAUCACUGUGCAUAAUAUAUCUAUUAUAUUUUUUAUGAAAUAGAAUUACAAAUUUUUAUUAUUAAAUCGAAAACGAAGUUAUAUAAUUUUUUUAUUCCAAAAGUCAUAUAAAAUUAUCUCAACAUGAUUUUAUAACAGAAUAAUAAUCAUCCAGAAUUAUUUUAAUGUGGAAUCAAUACGUAAAUAAACUUUUUUCUUCAAAUUUUAAGUGUUAAAUUACUUAUAAUAGAUAUAUGUUAUAGUAUUAUAUAUUAGAAUCAUGUUUUAUAUGUAUUCUAUAAUAGAAUUUGUACUAAAUUUGAUGAUUUAUAAUGGUGUACUAUGUAAAUCCAUAUAAUAACUACCUCCGUCCAAUGUUAACCUAUAUACAUAUAUAGGAAUAGGAUCAAAUAAUAUUUUUAAGUUACAAAGUUACAAACUUUUUUUUUGAAUUUUUUUAUUCUCCUAUCGUGUUUAAUCCUUAGUUAUAGAAGUAUCCAUGUUGAAAAUUAUUGAAAAAAUCACAAUUUUUAAAAAUAACGCAUAAAUAAAUCGUGCAUUUAACACAUCUAUAACUGUGGUUCAACAUCGGGUGUAGAACACUAAUUAUCAUUGUAUUGAAUAUAACCAUAAAUAUAUUUAAACUAUGUCUUUGGAGUUUGGGUAGGGUCUAGAAAUAUAAAUAUUAGUUAUAUAAUACGUUUAACUUAGUUCUUAUACUGAAAAAUUAGUUUUUGUAUUUCUCCAACACAAUCGAUGUUUAACAAAAUAUGUUAAAAAAUGUUGAACUCAAAUUAUAUAUAUGAUGAACGCAUAAAAUUUGUAAGUUUGUAAGACUCUUCAAUUAUUUAGGUUUUGGUUGCAUAGGAAGAUAGAAUGAGAAAAGGUUUCACAUUCAAUAUUUUAAAUAACGGUUUUUCUCGUGAGUGCCCAUGAGCACAUGUUAAGCACUGAGAUUCAUAAGUUUGGGUGAUUUUGAUUGGCUACUACUUCUUUAUAAUGGUGGAUCCCCCUACAAAUUCACCAACCACACCAAUCAAAAUCUACCAAACUUAUAAAAUUUGGUGUUUAAGAUGACGUUUGAAUGAGUUUAAAAUUAUGACUUUAUUUAAGAUGAUUUAGGAAACGUUUGAGUGAGGUUAAAAUAAGUGUUUCUUGAUUAAGGUAAAAAAAUGAAAUAGAAGUUAAAAACAAGUUAAGACUUAUAAGUGAUUAAAGUGUUUAGAAAAGAGGUAAAAGCUAGAAUUUGUAACUUUUAAAAAGUGUUUUUGUAUUUUUACACAAACAGGUCAAGAAAAACAGAAGCAAGACUUCUUAGAACGAAAGCACUUCUUUUGCUUGGCCAAACAAGCACUUAAUAUAAUAAUAUGUAAGUUAAAACUAAUUUGUGAUUAAAAAAAAAUAAAACAAUCUGCGAGUUAAAACUGACUGAUUGAAAAUUUUUGACUUAUUAAUAAUUUAUGAGUUGUUAAAAAUAUAAUAAUGAAAAUAAAAGUGAUUUAUGGAUAAUUUAUAACUUAUGAGUAACUGCUAUUAAAAAAAUUAAUUUUCAAAAUUUGUUGACAUAUUUGAUAAUUUUCUAUCAGUUAUGUUUUGUACUUAAUUCUGUUUUUAGAAAUAACAAUUUCAUGAAAACGACCAAUCAGACAGGCACUUGCCAAACUUCUGGUGACCAUAAUUCUUAUCUUAUCAUAUAGUAGUAUUUUAAAAUUAUUCGGAAAUAGAUAAAUUUAAUUGUUUGUAGUUGACAGGAAUAACACAGUUCAAGUCGCAUCAAAGAAAGAAAAGAAUUAAAUGCAUUUCAUUUCGAAUCACUUGUCGGCAUUCUUUUCUUCUGGUAUGCAAAUAAUUUAAUUUACUUUUCACAAAUAAAUAUAAAAACAAAUGCGCACCUACUUAUUAGCGGCCUGCACUGUAGAGUUCAACCGUACUGCAAAGUGGUCCAAGUUUGUUUGUUUAAAUCGUAAAUAUGUUAAAAUUAUGGGGCCAAACUGGUCUAGUCACUUAAUAAAUUAAAAUUAAAAUUUUAAAAAUAAAUAAAAUUUAUGAAUUUCGAUACUAUAAGUACUAAUUCAGUUUUAAUAUAAAAUAAAUUGUAAAAUUAACGUAUCAAGAUUUAAUUAUUUUCUUUCUCAAGAUAUUUGGUAAAAUCUUGGAUUCAUGUUUUCACCGAAAAAGCUCCGCUGAAAAGUACGGUUACAAUAUGAAUAUAUCUCGAUAUUUUAAACUUCAUUUCACUUAAUCUAAAAAUAAUAAUUAUAAGAAAAUUUAAUUAUUGAAUCCUUAACACAAAGUUUAACUACCGAAAAAAAGGCUUAUUAUAAAGGCGUUCUAUUUGGGAGGAAUCUUGUCAUUUUAAAGGCCCAACGCAAUAACCGUAACCAGGCCUUAACUAAGCCCAGUUGUAAUACCUUUAUAUUCUUAGUAGCAAGCAGUGUUGUAAAAAGCGGGAAUCGGACAUCGGUGAAGUUACGGAACAAGGAUUAAUCGAGGAUUAAUUGAAUUGAUCAGGGAUUAAUCGGAUUGAUCGGUGAUUAAUCGGAGAUUUAAUCAGUUCGGCGAGCUACGAAACAAGGAUUAAUCAGUGAUUAAUCGUGAUUAAUCACCGAAUUUUGGAACAGAGGUAGCAAGUAGCAAAUACUUGGCGGGUUUUGAAAUAUUAGUUUUAUUAAAAAAUUAUACUAAAAAAACCCUAUAAACAAUUGAGAUACCACCACGGAAACAACCCAUUGGUCAAAGGCCACCGGUCCACCAGUCCGGAGAUCUUCUUCCAACUGUGUUUAACCAAACAAACCAAUGCUUAAUUAAAUGCCGUUCACACGUUAAUAAAUUAUUAUGAUGCUGAGUCUAUGAUAUUACUGGCAUGAAAACACAGUUUCGUUUUAGAUAAUAUGAGUAUGAUAAUAUUUAUAUAUUGUGUGUGAUCAUAUUCUUUAAAGUAUGAAUUCUAUUUUUUUAAUUCUUUAAUAAAAUAUGUGGAUAUGAAAUGUAAUAUUUGUAACCUAAUUAACAUUAAAUAAUAAUAAAAUAUUGAUAAAUAAAAUAACAAUAAAUUUAAUACUAAUAUCAAAAUCAAUCCAGUUAUUGUACAUAUUACAAGAAUAAAACUUUUUAACUCCAUCAUCAAAAUACAUAAUAAUAAUGUGUAUUUAAAUAUUUAUUGUUAAAUAUAAUCAGUAUUGAACAGAUUAUCUAUAAACAAAUAAAAAAAAUUAAGGUUACAUUAGUUUUAAAUUUUAGAUUUUGAAUAUAAUAGUAAGUCAAUUGUCACAUUUCUAAAUUACACAUAUAAUAGAGCAUAACAGUUAAACAAACUUAUUAUUCUACUAUUUGAUCAAUGGUCAAUUGACCAACUAACUGGAAUAACUAUAGUAAUAAUAAUUGAAUUAUUAGAUUUCAGUCAAUGUACUUAUAAUCUUAUGUUAAGUUGUUUCAUACAGUCGGUUGUUUUAAUAACUAGAUUUGCUAAGAAAACAGAUCAAAGGGGAGCUGUAUGAUUAAGGUCAACUAAUCCAAAUGAUUAAACAUCAUUUCCGGUCUAUAACUUGUCUAAUCCUUAAGACCAAAUCUGGCUUUGAGUUUGUGUAGAUAGACUCUGAAGUUCCUGCAAGAAAUCUGAGAAAUCUGGUCAUGCUGACCCAAGAUUUUCAUUUACGUCAUAUUAAAAACUUUUUAAUAUUCUUAAAUUAUUCUCCUAUAAACAGUGUUGUAAAAAGCGGGAAUCGGACUUAAUCGGUAAAGUCACGGAACAAGGAUUAAUCGGGGAUUAAUUGAAUUGAUCGGUGAUUAAUCGGAGAUUUAAUCAGUUCGGCGAACUACGCAACAGAGAUUAAUCGGUGAUUAAUCGUGAUUAAUCAGCGAUUUUUAGAACAGAGCCUAUAAACAGAAGUGUGCAUUGUAGUUUAAACGCAGUAUCUAGCAUCAAUUUUCAUGUUAAGUGCAAGCAUGACAUACUUUAAAAACCCCUGUUAUCACCUUCUAUCUGUUGUAUUUUUUCUCCUGCUAUUUCCAUCGAUCCCCGCGACAAGAGAAGAAGGAGAAGCUCUAGUGAACUGGAAGAACAGCCUAUCCCCGUCCUCGUUCUUCGAAUCUUGGUCCUCAGCCAAUCUCAACAAUCUUUGUAACUGGACUGGCAUUACCUGCAACUCCGAGGCCUCAGUAUCUGAAAUCAACCUUUCGGAAAAACAACUCCAAGGAACGCUUGCUGAGUUCCGCUUCAAUUUGUUACCAAGUCUAAAAACUUUUACCAUCAGCCGUAACAACUUCACUGGUCCAAUUCCAUCAGAUAUUGGAAAUUCAACUGAGCUUCAAUACGUCGAUUUUAGCUUUAAUUUUCUCAAUGGUUCUAUACCAUAUCAGGUUAGUCAUCUUCAGAGGUUGCGCGCCUUAGACCUGUCAUAUAAUCUCCUGGAAUCUCCAAAUUGGUCCGAGUUUUCGCCCAUUCCUUCCUUGACUAAACUUUAUCUCAGAUCAAAUAAUCUUGCCUCCAAAUUUCCAGGAUUUAUAUCCAGUUGUCAGAGCCUGACAUAUCUUGAUCUUUCACAUAACUUCAUAACAGGCGAUCUCGCGCAAGAAUCAUUAUUUGACAAACUGAUACAUCUUGAAUCCUUCUCUAUUCGUAAUAAUUCUAUUGAGGGGCCGUUUCCACCAAGUAUAUUUCCUCUUUCCAAAUUACGAUUUCUUGACCUAUCAAGAAAUAACUUUUCAGGUUCUAUUCCCCGGAAUAUAGGAUUGCUUCGUGAUCUUGAAUAUCUCAGCUUAUUUUUUAAUUCAUUCGAAGGAAGCAUACCUUCAUCUAUUGGUCUACUUAGGAAGCUUCAAUUACUAGAUAUCGGAUAUAAUUAUUUAAAUUCCUGUAUUCCUCGUGAAAUCGGGCUUUUGACUAAUCUCAGCGAAUUAUAUCUCAAUGUCAAUAGUCUUACUGGCAAAAUUCCUUCUGAGCUCGGCCUCUUGACUAAGCUCAACUAUAUAAUUCUUUUUUCCAAUAAUCUGACCGGAGAUAUUCCAUCUGAAAUCGGAAACCUGAAGCUACUGACUCGGCUUCUCCUCGGGUCUAAUCAUUUGACUGGAUCGGUUGCAAACUCCAUUUCUAAUCUCAGUAAUCUAGAGUUUCUUGGUCUACCUAAUAACAGAUUUUCUGGAAAUAUUCCUAGUGACUUCUGGAAAAAAUAUAAAUCGUUAUUAUACAUCGACUCCAGGAACAACAAUUUGUCAGGAAGCAUUCAGGGAUUUGAUGCUAAUCUGAAUCUUACUUUCAUUAAUCUGAGCGGAAACCAUCUUACAGGUAUACUUUUUCACCUUAUUUUACUCCCUCCACUUUGAAAUAUACUUCGUUUGACUUUUUGGCACACGUUUCCAAGUCCUUUGACCUUAUUAUUAAGAUAAUUAUUUUUAAAGUAUUAUAUUUUUGAAUUAUUAUAUGGUCGUGUCAAAAAAUCAAACUACAUGUAUUUCAAAACAGAGGGAGUACUUUAUUUGAACGCUAAUGAAUCGGUUAGAAAUUGACUAAAGUUUCUACAUUUUAACAGGUGAGAUUCCUGCAACUAUUUGCAAUGUCACAUCCCUUGAGAUUCUUGAUCUCUCGGACAAUGGAUUAAGCGGUGCACUUCCACGUUGUCUGGGAAAGCUUGCUGAUAAUCUGCAUACCAUGGUUCUUGGUAAUAAUCAGCUUCAAGGGACAAUACCAGCAACCUUCACCAAGAGCUGUCACCUAGCAGUUUUAAACACGGAAAGCAAUCACUUUGAAGGAACGCUGCCCCAAGCUUUAUCAAACUGCAAGGACUUAAAAAUUCUUAAUAUGGGAAACAACCACAUUGGAGGUAUAUUUCCGUCAUGGCUAAGUACUCUUGCACAGCUAGAAGUCCUUGUCUUUCGAUCAAAUAGACUUCACGGUGAAGUAAGUAUAGGUAAUACAACACGUCCCUUCCUUAAGUUGCGAAUUGUGGAUCUCUCUAACAAUGAAUUCACUGGCCAUUUGCCUAUUCAGUAUUUUUAUAAUAUGAGGCCGAGUAAUAAGGGAUAUGAUUAUGUCAUUACAAAAGAGAAUUUCGAGUACUUUUACCAAGCAUCAGUCUCACUAAGUGUAAAAGGGACAGAGUAUGAAGUGAAACAAAUCCUUUAUAUUUACACAGCCAUUGAUCUGUCGCGCAACAAAUUUCAAGGGGAAAUUCCAGAGGUCACUGGAGAGCUUAGAUCGCUUGCGUUGCUAAAUCUAUCUCAUAAUAGUCUUACAGGGCCUAUCCCGUCAUUGUUGGGGAAUAUGGAAGCACUCCAGUCUUUAGAUUUGUCAUCAAACCAAUUGACAGGUGCUAUACCUGAGCAGUUAACUACUUUGACAUUUAUUGGGGCCUUGAACCUUUCAGAAAACCAUCUUACUGGAGAAAUCCCUCAAAAAGGACAGUUCAGUACUUUUGGCAACGAUUCAUACUUGGGUAACCCGGCCUUAUGCGGACUUCCUUUAACAAAGAAAUGUAGGCACACGUUGCCACCAACACAAGAAAUCCUAAAUGGUGAUGAAGAUGAUGCUAAUGAUGAACUCAGUUGGGAGGUGAUCCUGAUAGGGUAUGCAUGUGGAUUGAUAUGCGGAUUAUCUUUUGGGUACAUUGUUUUCACCAUGGGAAAGCCUUGGUGGUUUGUGAGAUACGUCGAAGAACUGCAACAGAAGUUGAUGAGGACACACAUGAAGAAAAUUAUUCGAUCAAGAAGCACAACUUGAUAAAAUGUUGUCUUGGGAUAACCUGAUUUCUGAAUUAGUAGACUAUUAUGCACAUAUAUGUAGUUCAUUAUUAUAUUAUUUUAUGCCAAUUGCAGAGUAGUCUGGUUCUCAUAACAAAUUUAGUCUUGUUUCACUGUUUAUUAAAACUACAUGCCAUGUUUCUGUAGGAGUGAAUACAAUUAUGUUAACUUAAGCAUGACAGGCAGGAACCGAUCUGCAGAAAUGACGUUAAUUGAUACAAUUGGAACCUGCAAGUUAUAUGCAGAAAGCACGCGGUGCCUCCCAAAUUCCAGAGACCUACAACUUCACAUAAAUGUCGUUCACAGCACUUAAUGAUCACUUGUUUGUAGUAACUAACACGUCUUCCGUCUACAAUGUAAAUGAUAGUGGAAGGUACUGAUUUCCACUUUCUUAGCAACACACUAACAACAGUGACGGAUCUAGAACUUUGAAAUUUCAUUGUUUUUUUUGGUUGAACAAGUAACUUACUAGAAUUUAAUUUAAUCAUAGCUACCAUAUGAAAAUCAAUAAUAUUGUUGACUCCUCUGCUUAACUAUGACUCCUGUGCAUGCCAAUCUCCAAAUACACAAAAAUGUUAUUUACUAAGAGAAGUUUGUUGAUAGCUAAAGGAUAUAGUCUCCGGGAAAAAAAUCCACUGACCAACUUAAUACACAGCUCAGCAGUUUAUGAGCAAGGGUCUGAGUCUUGGCUACCUGGAAAUGAAUUGAAAAAAUAGAAGUUAAUGCAUAGUUUUCUUGAAGUGUGAAGACUUGUUUUGUGAGUUGGUCCUCCAUAUUAGAAAUUAAAGUUUUUUUCAACAAAAAUCCGGUGGAACAUAUCAUUUUCCACUAUACCUUUUAUUUUCAGUUUCUUGCCAUCGAAGAGCACUAAUUCCAUCGGCAGUGAUUUGGAAGAACAGGUCUCUUGCCACUCCAAUUCCUAAGAAAAUUUAGCACAUAAAUAGAAGUGUGCCUUGCACUAUGAGAUGUACAAUGUGACAGGAAACAUGUUGCACUUCCCAAAGCCUAAUUAUCACCUCAUUGUGCUUGUUUUCUUUCUACUAUUGCUUCCAUCUACCCUCACAACAGUAUCUACGACAAGAGAAGGAGAAGCUCUGUUAAAAUGGAAGAACAGUCUACCACCAUCCUCUUCCCUAAAUUCUUGGUCACCCGUCAAUCUCAAUAAUUUGUGUAACUGGACUGGCAUUAUCUGUAACUCUGCAGGUUCAGUCUCAGAAAUAAACCUUUCACUAAAACAACUUAGUGGAACGCUUGCCAAUUUCAGUUUCACUUCAUUUCCAAAUCUUAAUAGUCUUGACAUUAGUGGCAACAACUUCACAGGUCCAAUACUACCUGCCAUUGAAAAGUUCACGCAGCUUCAGCAUCUUGAUUUUAGCUUUAACAAGCUCAAUGGUAUCAUUCCAAACCAAAUUUGGCAUCUUCAGAGAUUGCGCACCUUAGACCUGUCAGUUAAUCACUUGGAAGCUUCAGACUGGUCUAGUUCUUUCUCCAUGCCUUUUCUGACCAACCUCGACCUUAGUUUCAAUAAACUUGGGGCAAAAUUCCCAGGCGUUACAUCCAAUUUUUGUAACCUAACAUAUCAAUUAUUUCCUGAGUCAUUAGUUAACAAUCUGCAUAAUCUGGAAGUCCUUUCUCUUCAUCACAAUUCUCUCGAUGGGCCAUUUCCACCAAGCAUAUUCAAGCUUUCCAAAUUAAGAUAUCUCUCCCUAUCAAGUAAUCAUUUUUCAGGUUCUAUUCCGGAUGAUAUAGGGAUGCUUGGUGAUCUUGAAUCCCUUUAUCUGGGUCACAAUUCUUUUGAGGGGCCCUUCCCACCAAUUUUUUUCAAAUUUUCCAAACUAAUAAAUCUGUCCUUAUCAGGGAAUAUUUUUUCAGGUUCUGUUCCAGGUGAUAUAAGGAUGCUUAGUGAUCUGGAAUACCUUGAUCUUAGUCGGAAUUUUUUUGAGGGGCCUUUUCCACCAAAUAUAUUCAAGCUUUCCAAAUUAAAAGUUCUUGACCUAUCAAGAAACAAUUUUUCAGGUUCUAUUUCAGAUGAUAUACGGAUGCUUCAUAGACUUGAGUUGCUCCAUCUCGAGUACAACUCUUUUCAGGGACCCUUUCCACCAAAUAUAUUGAAGCUUCCGAAUUUAAGAGUACUUGACCUAGCAGACAAUGACUUUUCAGGUUUUAUUCCCAGUGAUGUAAACAUGCUUCAUGAUCUGAAAAUACUUUCAUUGUUUUCUAAUUCAUUUGAAGGAAGUAUUCCUUCUUCUAUAAGUCUACUCAGGGAGCUACGAUACCUUCACCUCGGGUCUAAUUAUCUCAAUUCCACUAUUCCUUUUGAGCUGGGGCUCUUGACAAACCUUGACCGAUUAUAUCUUGAUUCCAAUAAUCUUACUGGCAAUAUCCCACCUGACAUAGGAAACUUGAAACUACUGAGAGUACCAAGUCUUGAUUCUAAUCAACUCACUGGACCGCUUCCAAAGACCAUUUCUAAUCUCACUAAACUAGGGUUUCUUAACCUGAAAGAUAAUAAGUUUUCCGGCAAUAUCCCAAGUGACUUCUGGAAAACUUCUACAUCCUUAUAUUCCAUUGAUUUUUCCGACAACAACUUGUCUGGAAACAUUCCCAAGGAAUUUGAUGUUCACCCAAUUUUGGAAUGCAUCAAUUUAAGUGGAAACCAUUUUACAGGUCUGUUCUUUUCCUUAUUUUUCCUUUUUGUCUACAACUAUGCAGGUAAUCAGAUUAGUGAAUAUUGACUGAAGCUCCUCUGUUUAUACCAGGUAUGAUUCCCACAACAAUUUGCAACGCCACAUCCCUUCGGGUUCUUGUUCUGUCAAAUAAUGGAUUAAGUGGCACACUUCCAAAUUGUUUGCGAAAUCUUGCUGAUAAACUGCUUUCUAUUGAUCUUGGUAAUAAUCAAUUUCAAGGAAGAAUGCCAACCUUCUCCGAGGGAUGUCAGCUGACAUAUCUGAACAUGUACAACAAUUACUUUGACGGAGUGUUGCCUCAAUCUUUUGCUAACUGCAAGCAGUUAAAAGUUCUUGAUAUAGAAAACAACAAAAUAAGUGGUACAUUUCCCUCAUGGCUAUUUACUCUUGCAGAGCUAGAACUCCUUGUCUUGCGGUCGAAUAGACUUUAUGGUACAGUAAGUUUAAGAAGCACAACAGAUCCCUUUCCCAAGUUGCGCAUCAUGGAUCUCUCAAACAAUGACUUCACAGGCUAUUUGCCAAUUCAAUAUUUCAAAAAUAUGAAGCCGGUUGAUAAGGGGUAUGAUUAUCAUAAUUUCACAGCACCAUUUUAUUACUACUAUCAAGCAUCUAUCUCGUUAACUGUGAAAGGGACUGAGUACCAAGUGAGCAAGAUUCUUCAUAUUUACACAGCCAUUGAUCUGUCAUGCAACAAAUUUCAAGGAGAAGUCCCAAAGGUUAUCGGAGAACUUAAAUGGCUUGCAUUGCUCAACUUAUCUCAUAAUAGUCUUACCGGACCUAUCCCAUCACAGCUCGGAAAUAUGAAAGCACUCCAAUCUCUGGAUUUGUCUUCAAAUCAAUUCACAGGGGCUAUCCCAUACCCGUUAAUUGGUUUGACAUUUCUAGAGGUCCUGAACCUCUCAUAUAACCAUCUCACCGGAGAAAUUCCCCAAAAAGGACAACUGAGCACGUUCACUAAUGAUUCUUACCUAGGUAAUCUUGCCUUGUGUGGAUCUCCUUUAACAGAGAAAUGUGCACACGAAGAGUCACCACCACAAGAAGUCGGAUAUGAUGAAGAUGGUGCAGAUAAUAAAUUCCAAUGGAAAGUAGUCCUAAUGGGAUAUGUUAUCGGAUUAGUAUGUGGAUUGUCUUCAGGUUACAUUUUUCUCACAACUGGAAAGCCUUGGUGGUUUUUGAGAUACAUCGAACAACUGCAGCAAAAGUUGAUCAGAAGAAUCACGUAGAGUACUGUUUGAUUAAGAUGAGCAACUUGAAAAGAAUGUUUACUAGACCAGUGGUAUGUCGGGAACAUUAAUGUGUGGUGUCAUAUAAUAUUUGAAAUGCUAAUGUCAGCACUAGUUCUAGUUCGGGCCUGAUACCAGGGGCGGAUCUAGGAAGAGGCACGCGGGGACACGUGUCCCCCCUAAAUUUUCUUUUUACAUUUUUUCACCAUUAUAAAGUUUACAAAAUUAUAAAAGUGCCCCCAAAGAAUUUAAAAAUAUAUAGGUAUUUUCCGAAAAUUUGCUUCGUGCCCCCUAACAUUUGUGGGCUAGAUCCGCCCCUGCCUGAUACUGAUUUACUCGUCUCAGAGCUACAUAUUUCGUUCAAUGUUAAUGCAAAAGGAAAAAAACAUACUACACACUAAAUCAACUUUGUAUCAAGUCGAGUUUUGGAGAUGCCAUUAUCAAAAGAAAAACACGGUGAAUGAUAUUUAUUAAGAACACGACUUGAACCAUAAGUGCAUGAAAAUCGUCUUUCAAAGUAUGGCAGGGGGGUGAAUCGUGCACACCAUGGAUAGUCACCUGAAAGCUAACCAUUCUGAGGUUCGUGGAAGCUGAUUUCAUACUCUUNCUGAAAGCUAACCAUUCUGAGGUUCGUGGAAGCUGAUUUCAUACUCUUGAAAGCUAUCUUUAGGAGGUCGAAACUUUAAUUUGUGUUACAUAACAUUUCAUUAUGCAAGACGGAUGGUUUCAGGGAAACUGUACUAGAGAGCAAGUACCAAAUAGUAAGGUAAACUUUCGAUGAUGAAAUUCCUCCCUGAUUUUUACAUCAUUCCAUGUUUUAGACUUGACAGAACAAUCGGGCGAAUGUUCUGGUCAAUUUUUUCAUGGUUGGGCCAAAAGAAUUAUAGUACAAAUGGGUGAGAAAGUGAGAAAGUUAAUUUUAGCGAUCGCUUUUCAUUAUUUAUAAUGACGAUCAAUUUUAUCUGAUUACUUUUAAUUUUAUCUUUUAUGCUUAUUUUUUUUUUUUUGUAUGGUCUACAUAAUCGUAGAUGAAUUGUAUCGAAAUACAAUAAACCGCAACCGAGAUUUCUUUCUUUCAAGAAAGUUUAUUAUCUAACCGAAAGCCAUGCAAUCAUAACUCCGGACGUUUAGACAAUAAAAUUUAAAUGAAUGAGAAAAGAAUACCCAUACAGCUCGCUUCCACAGUAUCCUGAGAAAAAACAAUCAAACAAAAUAUAAAUUAAUAUACAAGAAAAUCUAAUAAAAACAAAAACAAAAGAGUUUAUAUAUAAAAAAAAUAGAGAGGAAAUAUAUAUAUAUAUAUAUAUAGGGUCAAGUUCGAGAUAGAACCACAUUAUACUUAGAACUUAGACCCUAUAAAUUACCAUUAGAUAUAAAUAGGAUGUGUGGUUAAGAUUAUCAUUGGUAUUAAUCACAUGUUAUAUAUUUAGGUGACAUUUAUAUGUAUGCACAUUUAAUAAAUGAGAGUUAAUAACCAGAUUUAUUACUUUCCAUGAUUAAUACAAAUCUCAAUUAAAUUUUAUGUAUAUAAAUCAGUAUAACAAAAUUAAAUAUAUCAAAUAUUUUGUUUUCAUACAUAACAAAUUUGUGUGAUUUAAUUCUAUAUGUGUAAAUGUAUAACAAAUUUACGUGAUACUGUUGCAGCACUUGUACUAAUAUAAAAGAUGGUGUUAUAAUGCAAUAUUUUUCUAAAAAGAUGGAAAUACUGCUAUAGUACAUCAAAUAUCAUACUUAUAUUAUUUAAUAAUUAUACCGAUACUAUUGCAAUACAUAGUUUUUUUUAAAAAAAAAUAAAUAUAAAAGUACUGCUAUAGUACAUCAAAUACUAAUAUAAAAGAUGGUGUUAUAAUGCAAUAUUUUUCUAAAAAAUAGAAAAUACUGCUAUAGUAUGUCAAAUANNNNNNNNNNNNNNNNNNNNNNNNNNNNNNNNNNNNNNNNNNNNNNNNNNNNNNNNNNNNNNNNNNNNNNNNNNNNNNNNNNNNNNNNNNNNNNNNNNNNNNNNNNNNNNNNNNNNNNNNNNNNNNNNNNNNNNNNNNNNNNNNNNNNNNNNNNNNNNNNNNNNNNNNNNNNNNNNNNNNNNNNNNNNNNNACUAAAUAUUCAUAAAUAAUAUUUAUUCAAUCACAAUUUAAAACGUAACCAAUACAAUUAAAAUUAAUAAAGAUAAAUAAUGAACAGCCAAUAAGAGAGAUCCCGUAAUUAAAGUCAGUCCAAAUUAAAAUUCAAUUAUUGCCUAAAAAUCAAACAAUCAUGAUAAAUUAUGAAUUCAUAAAAUUUAAAAUUUAAACCUUAAGAAGAUAAAUAAAGACCAUCAUAAAUGUUAUUAAAUAUUCAUAAAGAAUAUUUAUCAAGAUAUAUUCCUUUCCAAAAUUAACCGAAAAAAUUGAAUACUUGCAUUUUAAAAAAUUUGCACAUAAAUAUACAAACAAAUAUAAUAUAUAAAAGCAACGCCAUAAUUCAAAAUAAAUUGAUAUCGAAACACUCAACAAUAUUACAUGCACCUAAAAACAUGUUAAAAAACUAAAAAGAUUAAUCUAGAAGAUCAAAUCACACACUUAACAAACACAUACAAUCAAGAAUACCUAUCGAAAAUCUAUAUCGAGAAUCUAUAACAGACCUAAUUUCAAAUCGAUAUUCCGGUCAACCAUCACAAAUCCGGCUAAGAUAAAACAUGUCAGAAAAAGGGGGAAAAAUGGAUACAUAACUCGACUUGAUCUACAAAACUAAUCAAACAAAAUUCUAAAACAGAUACGAAUCCAUGAUUUCAAUCAACUCAAAAUUCUAUACACCUUAAAAUUAGAAGAGGAAAAGCAUAAAAUGAUUUCUAUGAUAUAGAUAUGUUAUCGUAAUUCAUAAGUUAUACAAAACAUAAAGAACAAGCAAAGAACACAUAACAAGCAUUUAUUUUGGAUCAUAACAAUAUAAUCAAAAGAAGAUGAAAGAAGCGUACCUUUUCAAAGAGACGGAGAUAUUUUGAAAAACUAUAAAAUUGAGAGAAUAAACAUACCGAAUCCGAAAAUAAAAUCCAUAAAUUGUCACGAGCAAAAUCAUCUUUUGAUCCAUCAAAAUCUUUUAAAUAUUACAUCACCUUGUUUUCUUUGGUCGCUCGGUACCUUCUUUCUUAUCUUUUAUGCUUAUUAAAAACACAGAAGAUCGUGUAAACAAAAUUAAUACAAAACGUACUUAUUCAUAGAAUAUGAUUUACUUCACUUAACUGCGCUUAAUUAUUUGAAAGGAAAGAAUACAACACAAAAUUAAAUAUAUAAGAUCUGUUAAUUUUGGAAAUGAGAAUUUUUUUAACAUAAUCAUUGAUAACAUAUUUUUCCAACUUAUUUAUAUCUGCCAGAAUUAAAUAAAAUAUGCCUCAAUAGGUUAUCAUUCUUAAUGUGAAACUGCAAAAUUAUAUAUAUUUUCAUUUAUGCCAUAUUCUUAGACAAAAAUUAAAAACAAAAUAAUGAUCCUGAUCAGCUUUAAAGGGUGUAAAACAAGUGUAAAAUAAGUAAAGUAAUUUAACUUUCACUUAUAUUAUUAAGACAAAAGUAAGCGGAAAUAAACAUAAUUUCAAUAGAUUUAACUUACUCUCCAGAAUCGAUAAGUUUGGAACACGUUGAUUGAGCACAAGACGAAGGCCACACAUGCGCAUCGUCUGAUGCAGCUAUGGUGCCUUUACAGUUGCUCAUACAUAUAGUGAAACAAUAAGGAUCAACUCCUCCAUUGUGCGUACACAUUUUCUAUCCUUAUUUUCAUACAAUAAGGAUAGAGUCUUUGCAAUCUCGUCAUGACCAGCUAUACAUCCGAUCAUGAUAAACUCUAGCAGGAUCAUCCAAGUAAUAAUUUUCAUAAUGAUAUUAAUUAUCAUUGUGAAUAGUUGCAUUGAGUUAUGUAUGUGUGUGUAUAUAUAUGCAAUGGAUUUUGUGGUUGAGAAUAUCUAUUAGAUUUUGUAUAUCCAUAACAAUUAUUAAAAUUUGAACAAUAAUAUCCAUUAUUGGUUGUGGUUGACUAUUGUAGUAGUCCAAGAAGUCUAUGCAAGUGAAAUCUAUAUUAUAUUUAAAAAGAUUAUACAUGAAAUACAAAAGGUUUUUUUAGGACUGCUGUUAAAAAUUGUUAUGUUGUACGAAAAAAUGCUGAUAAAAAAAGUGUUAUACGAAAAUUUAAAUGCUGAUAAAAAAAAUGUUGUAGAAAUCAGACAUGACAGCUUCCCACAAAAGCUGAAAAAACAAUUUUCCGUAAUAAUAUGGGAGGAGAAAAACUGUUUAUAGAUUUAUAGAACAAUUUUUCACAUAUUUUUUGAUAAAAAGCUGUUGUUGUCUUCAAGCUGAGUAAUGCCAAACAGUUCCGAAAUCAUUUUGCAGGUAGUUAAUCUCACUUCCAUAUAAUAUACUCCUAUAUAUUACCGAAAAAACAUGAAAUGAUGCAAAUCUCAUACUAUUGACAACAGGUAAACUCCUUGCAAUACUUUGAGCUGCAAAAUCCAUCAAAUUUGUUGAUAUAUCAAUGUAACUGUUUGACAGAGUACUUCCAAGCUAAGUAUCAAAAAUCACUACCUUACGAAAUAUAUCUCACCCUACCUUCUCUGCUUAACUGUUUCGAGUACUUUUACCAAGCAUAUUUUCCAUUAAGGUGAAAGGCACAGAAUAAUUAAGGAUCACCUAUCCCAUCAGUGCCGGGGAAUAUGGAACCAUCUUAUCAGUUAACUAGUUUAACAUUUCUCGCGGUCUUGAACCUCUCAGAAAACCAUCUUAUACUCAUGUGCGGACUUCCUUUGACGAAGAAAUGGUGAUGCUGAUGCUAAUGAUAAUGAACUCAACUGGGGAGUGAUCCUUAUGGGAUACGGAUGUGGAUUGAUAUGCGGAUUUUCUUUGGGGUUUAUAUUUUGUGGUUUGUGAGAUACAUUGAAGUACUGCAGCUGGAGUUGAUCAUUAUAAAGAACAUAGGCAAGUUAAUCGCUUAUUGAAAUUAGUAAUUGUCAAAAGUAAAAUGUUGAAAUUACUUUUUCCGAAUGAAAUCAUCGGCAAAAAGUCUCUGUCGAAUUUGAUCUGCCAAAAUUAUGUUUAAUAUCUACGGCCAAGAUUAUCUGUCGAAAAUAUUUCCCGACAAUUUUAAAAGACAAAUUUGUCGCGUCUCAGUUGUGAGCAGGAAUAGAUAUUUUCGACAGAAUUCCACUGAAAUUAGCUAAUUUCAACAUAAAUUUUCUAUCGAAAUUACUCGGGUUUUUUGUAGCGUAUCUGAUAGCCUUUGGGGACUGGGGUAUAUUGUUUUCACAAAGCCCUGGUGAUUUGUGAGAUGCAUCGAAGGACCGCAACUGAAGUCGAUAAGAACAUGCAGAAAGAAAACUGAUCCAUCUUGAUAAACUUGAAAAAUGUUGUCAUAUGGUGAUAUAUACUCCCUGGCCCCAGUCUCUUGGAAAGAACUUAGUUGAUUUUUUUUUUUCAGUAUCCAUCCCUAAUAGUUGCAGCAAAUUAAAAAAUAUAGUUAUAUCUUUUUAGCAAUGGUGCAAUUUGGAAAGCUUUCUCAUCAUCUUCUUCUUUUCUUUAUCUCAUUACUCUCAUUUAAUUCCACUGUCCUGCAACAAUUCGCCAAGGAGAAGCUCUAGUUGAAUGGAAGAACAGCCUAUCCCUGAAUUCGUUUCUUGGUUCUUGGUCACUAAUUAAUCUCACUUAUCUUUGUAAUUAAGUGGACUGGCAUUGUAUGCAACUCUCUGCAGGUUCAGUCAGUCAGAUUAAUCUUCAAGAACUCACAGGAACACUUGCUAACCUCGGUUUCUUUUCGUUUUCAAAUCUCACCAAUAUCAACAUUACACAUAACAACUUCACUGGUCCAAUACCACCCGAGAUUGGAAAUUUACGACGGAACAAUGUGUCAUAAGUUUCAGUUUUCCUCCAAAACUUACGACGGAUGUUCAUACAUAACUUCUGUCGCAAGUUCAACUUUUUUCAAAAGGAAAACCAGGACCCACAACAGACAUGCGAUAGAAACUUCCGUCGUAAGGUAGUUAACAUACGACGGACCGAGCAUCGUAAGAUAAAAUUUAUCCAGACAAGGAUCUGGGCCCCACAACAUACUUGCGACGGAAAGUUCCGUCGUAAAUUCUGUAACUUACGACGGUUUUAAUACUUACGACGCAUGUUUGGAAUUGUGAUGUAUUUUGCAACUUUCGACUUGACAAAAAAUGACGGAAAAAGUCCGUCGUAAAGUAAGAACUACUUCCAUCGUAAAAACCCAGUUUUGUUGUAGUGUCUGCAGGUUCAGUCAGUCAGAUUAAUCUUCAAGAACUCACAGGAACACUGGCUAACCUCGGUUUCUUUUCGUUUUUCUAAUCUCACCAAUCUCAACAUUACACAUAACAACUUCACUGGUCCAAUACCACCCGAGAUUGGAAAUUUAACAGACGUUCAGUACCUCGACUUUAGCUAUAAUAAUCUCAAUGGUAAUGGUACCCUUUCAUACCAGGUUAGCCACCUUCAGAGGUUGGUCGUCUUACGGCUGUCAUUUAAUCACCGAAAGCUCCGAGUUUGUCCAAUUUUUCCCCCAUACCUAAACUGGUUGGUCUCGGUCUUAGUGGUAAUAAGCUGGCGUCAAAUUUUCCAGAAUUCAUAUCUAAUUGCUAUAACAUAAUUAAUCUUGAUCUUUUAUUUAACGUGUUAACUGGCCUGGUGAUCCAAUGCCUGAAUCAGCAGAUGACAAUUUACGUAAUCUUGAAGAACUGUAUCUUGGUGCCAAUUCUUUCGAGGGGCCAUUUCCAACGAAUAUAUUCAAGCUUUCCAAAUUAAGGGUUCUUGACCUAUCUAUGAAUAAUUUUUCAGGUUCAAUUCCUGAUGGUAUAGGGAUGCUUCCUGAUCUUUGAAUAAUUCGUUUAUAUAAUUCAUUUGAAGGAAUUAUUCCUUCUUCAAUUAGUCUACUUAAGGAUCUUCAACACCUAGACUUCAGUGACAACCUUCUAGUUUCAAGUAUAAUGUCUUACGGGUCCAAUUUAACCGAUCAUUAUAGGCAACCCCAUUAGAGAUGCUCUUAAUAACAUUUUAACUAGAGAAUAUCUUACUUUCAGUUGCAUUUGUAUUAAAUCUGAUUUAGAUGAAGAGAAACAGAAUACAUAUGAUCCUGAGACAACAUUUUGUCAAUGUUUUCGUCUUGAUUAAACAGUCUUCUUCAUGCGUGUCCUUGUCAACUUCAGUUGCGGUAAUUCAAUGUAUCUCACGAACCACCUUGGCUUUCCCAUUUUGAAAACAAGUAUCCUGAAGAUAAUCCGCAUAUCAAUCCACAUCCGUAGCUCAGUUGAUUUAUUAAUUUAUUCAUGAAGUGGCGAACGACAUUCCUGCAAAAGUAAAAGUCAGUGGAAUUUGUAUGAUAGCAUGAUCCAUGAUGAAUAUUUAAAGUUUCAGCUAGAAUUUCACCAAGUAAUUUAUUUCUUGCUUAAGUCCCGGAUUGACGAAUUUUGCUGAUCACAUUUCUAAUCGACCAAUUCUGGUCGAAUAAAUUAAAUGGCACACUUCCUGAGUUGGUGGUGGGGGCGUUCUUCUUGUGUUUCUUUCUUUUCAUUAUUGACAUUGUUAUCCAGGUCCUUGCUUCUGGGCUUUUGUAAAGCACCCAUUUACUCCAUUGUCAUGAUCAUAGCUAGUCUUCCAUAUCCAAGAUACGCGCAUUAUAGUGGAUUUAUCUUUAUUAGUGAUUUCUGUGGAAAUGCAUAAUCUUUAUAAGCUCCAAUAUUAUAAAAUAAACCUAACUUAUUAGAGUUAACAGGGCAUUUGUGUUGAUAAUUUGCGCAAUGUUAUGGGGAUCGCUCCCAAGUCUUGGACGGACUCUUUCCAAGUCUUCUGAGGACCCAUCUGCACACUAAUUUGUCCGCCAACUAAAAAUUUAUAUAUAUUUUUCCAUAGAAUAUAAAUAGUUGGGGGUACUAACAGAACCUCUAGUAAAAUUAAUUAAUACCGUUAUGAUUUCGCAAACACAGCAGACAGCAGGCAUAAGGCUUAUAAAUAGAAGUGUCGUAUUUGGUUGAUGGUCAAGUUGAGUGGAAAUAUGGCACACUUUGUAAUGCCUUGUUAUCCUCUUCUCUUUGUUUUCUUUCUCUCAUUACUUCAAUCCAUUCUAACAACACAAGAGGGAGAAGCUCUUGUGAAAUGGAAGAAUAGCCUAGCCCCUUCUUCUUUUCUCGACUCUUGGUCACUCACCAAUCUCGAUAAUCUUUGCAACUGGACUGGCAUUACUUGUAACUCUGCAGGUUCAGUCUCUCUGAUUAACCUCUGUGAGAAACAACUUGAUGGAAUGCUGUCUGAGUUUGGUUUCACUUCAUUUCCAAAUCUCAACAAUCUCACCCUCGCAGUUAACAACUUCUCCGGUCCAAUACCAGCAGCCAUUGAGAAUUUAACAGAGCUUCGGUAUCUUGAUUUGAGCAAUAAUUAUCUAGAUGGUCCCAUUCCUUUCCAGGUUAGCCAUCUUCAGAGGUUGCUCAUCUUAAAUCUGUCACGGAAUGCAUUGCAAGCUCUAAAUUGGUCCAAUUUCUCUCCCAUGCCUUUUUUGCGCAUCCUCAAGCUCAGUAGAAAUCAUCUUGCGUCGAAAUUCCCAAAUUUUAUAUCCAAUUCUCAUAGCCUGACUCACCUUGACCUUUCAUAUAACAUGUUUACCGGUGAUCUAGCAUGUGAACCAAUAUUUGCCAACCUGCAUAAGCUUGAAGUGCUUAGUCUCGUUGACAAUUCUUUUGAGGGGCCAUUUCCGCCAAAUAUAUUCAAGCUUUCCAAAUUAAAACGUCUUGCCCUGUCAGGUAACAAAUUUUCAGGUCCAAUUCCCAAUGACAUAAGGUUGCUUUGUGAUCUUGAAUCCCUAUAUUUAGGUAACAAUUCCUUUGAAGGACCGCUUCCACCAAAUAUAUUCAAGCUUUCAAAAUUAAAAGAUCUUGUUCUUUGGCGUAAUAAGUUUUCAGGUUAUAUUCCCAAUAGUAUAAAUUUGCUUUCGGCGCUUGAAGCCCUCGAUCUUUAUUCUAAUUUUUUUGAGGGGCCGCUUCCACCAAAUAUAUUCAAGCUCUCAAAACUAAGGAUUCUUUCCCUUGGGAACAAUAACUUUUCAGGUUCUGUCUCUAAUAAUAUAGGUUUGCUUCCUGAGCUUGAAACCCUAUAUCUUGACUCUAAUUUGUUUGAGGGGCCGCUUCCCCCACAUAUAUUCAAGCUCUCUAAAUUAAGAUAUCUAGACCUCUCAAACAAUAGAAAUUUAUUUGAAAUUAGAAGUAUUCCUAUUGGAUUGGGACUCUUGACUAACCUCAACUAUUUAGAUCUACAUUGCAGUAAUCUCAGUGGCGAUAUUUCAUCUGCCAUUGGAAACCUGAAGCUACUAGUAUUUCUUGAUCUCAGUUUUAAUCAAUUGACCGGACCGCUUUCAAAGAUCGUUUCUAAUCUCACAAAUCUUAUAUAUCUUGAUGUAAGUCAUAAUAGUCUUAGUGGAAAUAUUAGUGACUUGUGGAAAUAUUAUCUGUCUGGGAACAUUCCUAAGGAAUAUAACGAUCAUCCAACUUUGGAAUACAUCAAUUUAAGUGGGAACCAUUUUACAGGUAUGUUUUCUCUAUAUAUCUUUUCCUUUUGUCAUAUUAACUAAGCUUGUAAUCUUUUUGUAGUUAUACCAAAGUUUUAACAAUCUUGACAGGUGAGCUUCCAACAACAAUUUGCAAUGUCACUUCCCUUUCAGUUCUUGAUUUGUCAAAUAAUGGAUUAAGUGGUGCACUUCCAAACUGUUUCGCGAAUCUUGCUGAUAGAUUGCUUUACAUGAAUCUUGCUAAUAAUCUGUUUCGCGGAACAAUACUAAUUACUUUAUCCAAAAGUUGUCAGCUGACAUAUCUAAACAUGGAUAAUAAUGAGUUUGAAGGAUUGGUGCCCCCAUCUUUGGCGAACUGUAAGCACUUGAAAAUUCUUGAUAUUGGCAAUAAUAAAAUAGGUGGUUCAUUCCCGUCAUGGCUUUAUGUACUUGGAGAGCUAGAAGUCCUUGUCUUGCGAUCAAAUAAACUCUAUGGUACAAUAACUGGAAGGAGCAUAGAAGAUCCCUUCCCCAAGUUGCGGAUUGUGGAUCUGUCCGAUAAUCAAUUCACAGGCCAUUUGCCAAUUCAAUACUUUAAGAAUAUGAAAUCAACUGAUAAUAUGUAUAAUUAUCUGAAUUCCACAGGAGGAAUAUAUUUCACUUAUGAAGCAGCAGUCUCACUAACUGUGAAGGGAACAGAGUAUGAAGUAGCAAAUAACCUUCAUAUUUACACAGCUAUUGAUCUGUCGUGCAACAAAUUUCAGGGUGAAAUUCCAAAAGUUAUUGGAGAGCUUAGAUGGCUUGCAUUGCUCAAUUUAUCGCAUAAUAGUCUGACAGGACAUAUCCCAUCAUUGCUGAGAAAUAUGAAAGAACUCCAAUAUUUAGAUCUGUCCUCAAAUCAACUGACAGGGGCUAUUCCACCUCAGUUAACUGCAUUGACAUUUCUAGAGGUCUUGAACCUCUCAGGAAACCAUCUUAGUGGAGGGAUUCCUCAGAAAGGACAGUUCAGCACAUUCAACAAUGAUUCUUAUCUAGGAAACUCCGCUUUAUGUGGAUCACCUUUGACGAAGAAAUGUGCAAACACAGCAUCACCUCCAAAAGAAGUCGGAAAUGGUGAUGAAGAAGAUGGUGGUGAUGAAUUGACAUGGGAAGCAAUCGUGAUGGGAUAUGGAUGUGGACUGAUAUGUGGCAUCAUCGGCAUACAUUGUUCUCAAACUAGGAAAGCCGUGGUGGUUUGUGAGAUGUAUCGAAGUACUGCAACUGAAGUUGAUGAAAAGAUAUGCAUGAAGAAUGGUACUCUGGUCGAUCAACACGAACUUGAAAGUUGUUGUCCUUGUGGACUAGCUGCCUAAGUAUUUGGUAUUAUGUAAUAAUCCGUUUGGUCGGGACUCAUAAUCAUGCAUUUUUCUUGCUUCAGGAGUAUUAAUAUAUAUUAACCUUGCUAUCUAAAAGAAUAAAAUUGCAAAUUAACCUUCUCAGAGAAAUCUUGCUGAUAAAAUGCAUUGCAUUGAUCUCGCUAAUAAUCAGUUCCGAGGACCAAUACCAACAACCUUCUCAGACAGUUGCCAGUUAAGAUAUCUAAACAUGUAUGACAAUCACUUAAAAGGACUAUUGCCCCGAUCUCUGUCAAACUGUAAGCACUUGAAAAUUCUUGACAUCGGGAACAACAAAAUGGGCGGUACAUUUCCUUCAUGGCUAUUUACUCUCGGAGAGCUGGAAGUCCUAGUCUUGCGAUCAAAUAGACUUUACGGUCCAGUAAGUGGAAGGAGCACAUCACAUCCAUUCCCCAAGUUGCGGAUUUUAGAUCUCUCCAACAACCAAUUCGCGGGCCAUUUUCCAAUUCAAUACAUUAAGAAUAUGAAACCAACUGCUGACAACGGGUAUAGUUAUCAAAAUAGAUCACAAGGACUAAUUAAUUACAUCUAUGAAGCAUCUAUCUCCUUAAAUGUGAAAGGAACAGAGUAUGAAGUGAAAAACAUUCUUCAUAUCUACACAACCAUUGAUCUGUCGUGCAACAAAUUUCAAGGAGAAGUUCCAAAGGUUACUGGAGAGCUUAAAUGGCUUGCAUUGCUCAAUCUAUCUCAUAAUAGUCCUACCGGACAUAUGUUCUGCAUUAUUAUUAUGCUUUCAUCAAUAUUUUUAAACACUUCUCAAUAUGUAUUUUCAAAGAAUUCUCAAGCACUUGAACAUUUGGACCGGUUCUUUCGAAGCCAAGAUGCCCAGGUUAUCAUGGCCAUGCACAAAAAUGCCCAAAAAUAAAUAAAUUAAGAGAGAUUGCUCAGGGUCUCCCCAAGCCUUCCAGGACACAUUCCAAGUCUUCGGAGGACCACUGCCUCGCCCUUUCAAAGAUGUGAUAGUAGCUCGAGAGUGAUAUAAAUUAUUUUCCCGACACUAAAAUAAAUAGGGUUUUGUUCCAGGACAAUCGAUUGUCAUGGAGGUCUUCCAUCAUAUCCGCAGAUAGGAACUUUCCCUAUCCGCGGAAAAUUAUAGCGGAUACUUAAAAAAAUGAAGUUUAAUCUGGACCCUUGAAAUAGAGAUCCGACGGCCAUGAAAGUGUGUGUUAACUUACUUGGCACUAAGAUUGAUAAAGACAGUAUAAUAAUUUAAUUGAUGAAAAGUCAAAGUUUUCUAAUAAAUCCAUAAAGAAUAUGAUAAUCAAAAUAACGAAAAUUAUAAUUGAAAAAUCAAAAUCAUUAGUCAUGUAUUAGAAUAGUGUUCACACACUUAUAUAUCAAAAUUUGUGGUCCCAAAAACUAUAGCACAAUAUCCUAAAUACACCACAUUAAAUACUAGUUCAAAAAUAUUCAAUAAAUAAUUGAUUUCAUUCAUAAUUUUGUUAUUUUAAAAACGAAUAAUUUGGUUGAUGUUGACCUAUAUUUUAAUAUAUAAUUAUAUUAUUUUUGUCUUAUUUUAUUUAACUAGAAACAAUAUUUUUAUAAUAUUUAUUACAUUAAUUAUAUUAAUAGAUAUAAUUUUAUUAAAAAAAUUGAAUAAAAUUAAGAGGAAAACUCUAUGCCACUCCAAGUCUACAAGACUCAUUUCAAGUCCACCGAGGACCACUACCUCAACCAUUGAGAGAUGUGAAAGUAGCUUGAGAGUGAUAUAAAUUAUUUUCCUGACAAUAAAAUUUAAUAUCUAAUAUAAAUUAAUUAAAUUAGUUAAUAAUAAAUCAAAAUUAAUCAUAAAUUAUGAUUAUAAUUAAAUUAUAUAAAUCAACUCCAAAUGAUACAAAUAACACUAAACCUUGGUUACUUUGUUGGUAAAUAAAUAUAAUAUAAUAAUCAAAUUGAUGAGAAAUCAAAAUCAUCUAAUAAAUUCACAAAAAAUAUAUGAUCAUUAGUAUAUUAUAUUAGUAUCCACACACUUAUAUUUCAAAAUCUAUCCUCCAAACUUAUCAUCUCUGUAAACUAGCCACAUAAAAUAAAAAAUUUCCACACUAAAUAACAAAAUAUCUUUAUCAAAUUAUUAUUUAUGAAUUAAAUAUUCAAGUUAUAAUUCCAGCAUGCAGCGUAUAAAUAGAAGUGUGCAGUAUGAUAUCAGAUUCAUAACCCAGUUGAGGAGAAACAUGGCACACUCUGUAAAGCCUUCUCACCUUCUUCUCUUUGUUUUCUUUCUCUCAUCACUUGAAUCCAUUCUUGCAACAACACGAGAAGGAGAAGCUCUUGUGAAGUGGAAGAAUAGCCUAGCCCCUUCUUCUUUUCUCGAUUCUUGGUCCCUCACCAAUCUCGAAAAUCUUUGUAACUGGACUGGCAUUACUUGUAACUCUGCAGGUUCAGUCUCUGAGAUUAACCUCUGUGAGAAACAACUUGAUGGAAUGAUGUCCGAGUUUGGUUUCACUUCAUUUCCAUAUCUCAACAAUCUCACCCUCGCAUACAACUUCUUCUCAGGUCCAAUACCAUCAGCCAUUGAGAAUUUAACACAGCUUCAAUUUCUUGAUUUGAGCAAUAAUAAUCUCGAUGGUCCCAUUCCGUUGCAGGUUAGCCAUCUUCAGAGGUUGCUCGUCGUAAACCUGUCACAGAAUGCAUUGCAAGCUUCAAAUUGGUCCAAUUUCUCUCCCAUGCCUUUUUUGCGCAUUCUCAACCUCAGUAGCAAUCAUCUUGUAUCGAAAUUCCCAGAAUUUAUAUCCAAUUCUCAUAGCUUGGCUAUCCUUGACCUUGGAUAUAACAACUUUACAGGUGAUCUUGUGCGUGAAUUUACCAAUCUACAAAAUCUUGAAACCCUCUACCUUGAUGAUAAUUCUUUUGAGGGGCCAUUUCCGCCAGAUAUAGUCCAGCUUUCCAAAUUAAAAGAUCUCACCCUGUCGACUAACAAAUUUUCAGGUUCAAUUCCCGAUGACAUAAGGUUGCUUUGUGAUCUUGAAUUCCUAUAUUUAGGCAACAAUUCUUUUGAAGGACCCCUUCCACCAAAUAUAUUCAAACUUUCAAAAUUAAAACAUCUUGUUCUUUGGAGUAAUAACUUUUCAGGUUCUGUUUCCAAUGAUAUAGGUUUGCUUUCUGAGCUUGAAAUUCUCAAUCUUCAUUCUAAUUUUUUUGAGGGGCCACUUCCGCCAAAUGUAUUCAAGCUCUCCAAACUAAAGUUACUUUCCCUUCACGAUAAUAACUUUUCAGGUUUUGUUUCCAAUGAUAUAGGUUUCCUUUCUGAGCUUGAACACCUACAUCUUGGCCAUAAUUUUUUUGAGGGGCCACUUCCGUCAAAUAUAUUCAAGCUCUCCAAAUUAAGAUAUCUAGGCCUAUCAAACAAUAGAAAUUUAUUUGAAGGAAGUAUUCCUAUUGGACUGGGACUCUUGACUAACCUCAGGUUCUUAGAUCUAUAUUCCAAUAAUCUCGGUGGCUAUAUUCCAUCUGACAUUGGAAACCUGAAGCUACUAGUUAAUCUUGAUCUCAGUUCUAAUCAAUUGACUGGACCGCUUCCGAAGAUCGUUUCUAAUCUCACAAAUCUUAUAUCUCUUGAUGUAAGUGAUAAUAGUCUUAUAGGAAAUAUUCAGAGUGACUUGUGGAAAUAUAACGAUCAUCGAAAUUUGGAAAACAUCAAUUUAAGUGGGAACCAUUUUACAGGUAUAUCUUUUCCUUUAGUCAUAUGUAACUAAGCUAGUAAUCUGAUUAUUGCAGUUUUACCAAAGUUUCAAAAAUCUUGACAGGUGAGCUUCCAACAACCAUUUGCAAUGCCACUUCCCUUUCGGUUCUUGAUUUGUCAAAUAAUGGAUUAAGUGGUGCACUUCCAAACUGUUUCGGGAAUCUUGCUGAUGGAUUGCAUUACAUUAAUCUUGCUAAUAAUCAGUUUCGAGGAAAAAUACCAACUACUUUCUCCAGGAGUUGUCAGCUGACAUAUCUAAACAUGGAUAAUAAUGAGUUUGAAGGAUUGUUGCCCCCAUCUUUGGCGAACUGUGAGCACUUGAAAAUUCUUGAUAUUGGCAAUAAUAAAAUAGGUGGUACAUUUCCGUCAUGGCUUUAUGCACUUGGAGAGCUAGAAGUCCUUGUCUUGCAAUCAAAUAAACUCUAUGGUACAAUAAGUGGAAGAAGCAUAAAAGAUCCCUUCCCCAAGUUGCGGAUUAUGGAUCUGUCCAACAAUCAAUUCACAGGCCAUUUGCCAAUUCAAUACUUUAAGAAUAUGAAAUCAACUGAUAAUUUGUAUAGUUAUCAGUAUUCCUCGGUAGUAUUAUACUUCUCUUAUGAAGCAGCAGUCUCAUUAACUGUGAAGGGAACAGAGUAUGAAGUAAGAAAUAAUCUUCAUAUUUACACAGCCAUUGAUCUGUCCUGCAACAAAUUUCAGGGAGAAAUUCCAAAGGUUACUGGAGAGCUUAUAUGGCUUGCAUUGCUCAACUUAUCUCAUAAUAGUCUAACAGGACAUAUCCCAUCAUUGCUGAGAAAUAUGAAAGAACUCCAAUCUUUAGAUUUGUCUUCAAAUCAACUGACAGGGGCUAUUCCACCUCAGCUAACUGCAUUGACAUUUCUAGAGGUCUUGAACCUCUCGAAAAACCAUCUUAGUGGAGAGAUUCCUCAGAAAGGACAGUUCAGCACAUUCAACAAUGAUUCUUAUCUAGGAAACUCCGCGUUAUGUGGAUCACCUUUGACGAAGAAAUGUGUAAACACCGGAUCACCUCCACAGGAAGUCGGAAAUGCUGAUGAAGAUGAUGCGGGUGAUAAAUUGAUAUGGGAAGCAAUCGUGAUGGGAUAUGGAUGUGGACUGAUAUGUGGAUGGUCAUCUGCGUACAUUGUUCUCAACCUAGGAAAGCCUUGGUGGUUUGUGAGAUAUAUCGAAGUACUGCAACUGAAGUUGAUGAAAAGAUAUGCAUGAAGAAUGGUACUGGUCGAUCAAGACGAACUUGAAAGUUGUUGUCCUGGUAGACAUUUCUGAACCAGUAGUGUACUAGCUACAUAAGUAUUUGGUAUUAUGUAAUAAUCUGUUUGGUCGGGACUCAUAAUGAUUUCUCUUGCUUCAGGGGUAUUAAUAUUAACCUUGCUAUCUUCAUCUGUGUUGAUGCAAAUGAAAAAGAAUGGAAAAACAAAAAAAUUGCAUCAAACCUGUUGUACCAAGAUCCAUUAAUCUGCUUUCAUCUCUUACGCAACAAUUUAACAGCACUUUCACACUGUUUGAAAGAUUAUCAUAAAUUCGAGUUUUCCUCGGCAGCACCAAAUCCAAAUAUACAAUCCGUCAAUCCCACACAUUCCAGUCUCAGCUUCAGCUCCCAGGCUAGCAUUAAUAACAGUUGGGGAUUUGAGUGAACGUGCCUUGGUCCUGCCUUCAAAUGUGUAACAUUAACAGUUGGAUAUGUCGACAAAAAAAUUGUUCCUCACACAGCGGAAUAAAUCCGACAGUUCUUUUCAUCCAGCAAUUUAAAGCUUAACAGACAGUCAUUAUUUCAGCAAUAUGUCUAGCAAAUAUGUAGGGCACUUGACACCAUACUUCCAACACAAGUAGUAAAAGGAGAGACCAUUGUUUCGAAUGCUCGGAAAUUUGAACUGGGUUUUUUCAGCGUGCCCCUGACUUUUGUACACAAACAGCUGAAGAAAAGCAGAAGUCGGAUUCUGGAAAAAAGAAGCACUUAUCUAUGCUAAUAUAUUAAAAAUGUCAUCUGUGUUUCUUAUGUUUGUGCAACAACCUGACAGAAAGGGAUGUAGGUGAAACCAGGGGCGUAAAAUGAAUCGGGACUAAAAUCUACUAAAAUGAUAAUUAUGUACUAUAUUUGGUCUGUUUUAAUAUACAUGUAAAAGGGGACGAAGUAGUUGGUUAUAGUUGCGAAUCCUAUAAAUGAAUGCGCGAUCAGGAUGUGUCACUAAGCACCUCCAACGCCGGGUAAGGGUGAGUAGUCUACUUCUGCUUCCUCUGUUUUUUGUAUUUGACGUUUUAAAUUUUGGCACACAAUUUUAAGUGUUUUGACCGUAUAGUUGAAAAUAUUAAUUUUAAUUUUUUUUUGAAUAAAAAUAUAUAAUCAAAAUUUUAAUUUAGAAAAAAGAUCAAUCAAAAAUAAUAUUUUUUACUAUUCGAUCAACCCACUUAACAAUAACAAUUAAAAGACUUUAGUGACGUUAUCUGACCAAGGGUCAUGGAAACUUCGACAUCGGAAUCUUGCGAGGCUACUAUUCUAAAGCACGCAUAAUCAUUGUAUCCAUUUUCCUCUAACACUGACAAAAAAUCUAUUUGAACAAAUGAAAUACAAACAACUCAGUGGAAUGCUAACUGAGUAAAGUUUCACUUCAUUUCCAAAUCUCAACAAUUUCACCAUCAAAUAUAAUGACUUCUGCUGUCCAAUACCACCAGCCUUUGAGAAUUUGGCACAGCUUCAAUUCCAUACCAGGUUAGUCAUCUUUGGAAAUUACACGUCUUAGACCUGUCAAACAUAAAUUUCAAUCUCCAAACUGGUCCGAUUUAUCUUCCAUGCUCUUUGUUGAGAACCGGUCCAUCUAAAACCUUAAGAUGUCAGAGGAAACUCAAAAUGGAUCUUCUACUAUAUUUUAACAUUUCUGAGUACAUUCAAUUAUAAGGUCACUUGUGCAUCGCUGUUCACACACUUAGACCCUGUUUGUGUGGGCUUUAAGUCCGGGCUCAAGCUAUUUCGACUUCAUCACUUCCAAGGACUUAUACCAACAACCUUCUCAAAGAGUUGCCAGUUAAGAUAUCUAAACAAGUGUGACAAUCAGUUAGAAGGACUAUUGCCCCGAUCUUUGUCAAACUGUAAGCACUUAAAAAUUCUUGACAUCGGGAACAAUAAAAUGGGCGGUACAUUCCCUUCAUGGCUAUUUAAUCUCGGAGAGCUAGAAGUCCAAGUCUUGCGAUCAAAUAGACUGUACGGUCCUGUAAGUGGAAGGAGCACAUCACAUCCAUUCCCCAAGUUGCGGAUUCUAGAUCUCUCCAACAAACAAUUCACGGGCUAUUUGCCAAUUCUAAACUUUAAGAAUAUGAAACCAGCUGCUGAUGAUAACGCGUAUAGUUAUAAAAAUAAGUCACAAGGACUAAUUAAUUACAUCUAUGAAGCAUCUAUCUCCUUAAAUGUGAAAGGAACAGAGUAUGAAGUGAAGAACAUUCUUCAUAUUUACACAGCCAUUGAUCUAUCGUGCAACAAAUUUCACGGAGAAGUUCCAAAGAGAGCUUAAAUGGCUUGCAUUGCUCAAUCUAUCUCAUAAUAGUCUUGCCGGACAUAUGUUCUGAAUUAUUAUUAUGCUUUCAUCAAUAUUUUCAAACAUUUCUCAAUAUGUAUUUUCAAAGAAUUCUCAAGCCCUGGAACAUUUGGACCGGUUCUUUCGAAGCUAAGAUGCCCAGGUUAUCAUGGCCAUGCACAAAAAUGAAUAAAUUAUUCCAAGUCUUCCAUGACUCAUUCCAAGUCUUCGGAGGAGACCCUGAGCACAAAGAUGCUCAGGGUCUCCCCAAGCCUUCCAGGACUCAUUCCAAGUCUUCGGAGCACGGCCUCGCCUCGCUCUUUCAAAGAUGUGAUAGUAGCUCGAGAGUGAUAUAAAUUAUUUUCCCGACACUAAAAAUAAAUAAUCAGAUCAAAUUAAUCAAUAAUAAAUUAAAGAUGAAAUCCAAAUUAAUCUUAAAUUUUGAUAAUAUAUAAAAAUUAUAAUUAUAAAUUAUAUACCAAAUCAGAAUUGAAUUAAUUCCUUGGCACUAAAAUUGAUAAAGAAAGUAUAAUAAUUUAAAUUUAAUUGAUGAAAAGUCAAAGUCUUCUAAUAAAUCCAUCGAAGAGCACUAAUUCCAUCUGCAGUGAUUUGGAAGAACAGGUCUCUUGCCACUCCAAUUCCUAAGAAAAUUUAGCCCAUAAAUAGAAGUGUGCCUUGCGCUAUGAGAUGUACAAUGUGACAGGAAACAUGUUGCACUUCCCAAAGCCUAAUUAUCACCUCAUUGUGCUAGUUUUCUUUCUCAUAUUGCUUUCAUCUACCCUCACAACAGUAUCUACGACAAGAGAAGGAGAAGCUCUGUUAAAAUGGAAGAACAGUCUACCACCAUCCUCUUCCCUAAAUUCUUGGUCACCCGUCAAUCUCAAUAAUUUGUGUAACUGGACUGGCAUUAUCUGUAACUCUGCAGGUUCAGUCUCAGAAAUAAACCUUUCACUAAAACAACUUAGUGGAACGCUUGCCAAUUUCAGUUUCACUUCAUUUCCAAAUCUUAAUAGUCUUGACAUUAGUGGCAACAACUUUACAGGUCCAAUACUACCUGCCAUUGAAAAGUUCACGCAGCUUCAGCAUCUUGAUUUUAGCUUUAACAAGCUCAAUGGUAUCAUUCCAAACCAAAUUUGGCAUCUUCAGAGAUUGCGCACCUUAGACCUGUCAGUUAAUUACUUGGAAGCUUCAGACUGGUCUAGUUCUUUCUCCAUGCCUUUUCUGACCAACCUCGACCUUAGUUUCAAUAAAAUUGGGGCAAGAUUCCCAGGCGUUACAUCCAAUUCUUGUAACCUAACAUGUCAAUUGUUGCCUGAGUCAUUAGUUAACAAUCUGCAUAAUCUGGAAGUCCUUUCUCUUCAUCACAAUUCUCUCGACGGGCCAUUUCCACCAAGCAUAUUCAAGCUUUCCAAAUUAAGAUAUCUCUCCCUAUCAAGUAAUCAUUUUUCAGGUUCUAUUCCGGAUGAUAAGGGAUGCUUGGUGAUCUUGAAUCCCUUUAUCUGGGUCACAAUUCUUUUGAGGGGCCCUUCCCACCAAAUAUUUUCGGUUUUUCCAAAUUAAUAAAUCUGUCUUUAUCAGGGAAUAGCUUUUCAGGUUCUGUUCCAGAUGAUAUAAGGAUGCUUAGUGAUCUUGAAUACCUUGAUCUUAGUCGGAAUUUUUUUGAGGGGCCUUUUCCACAAAAAAUAUUCAAGCUUUCCAAAUUAAAAGUUCUUGACCUAUCAAGAAACAAUUUUUCAGGUUCUAUUUCAGAUGAUAUACGGAUGCUUCAUAGUCUUGAGUUGCUCCAUCUUGAGUACAACUCUUUUCAGGGACCCUUUCCACCAAAUAUAUUGAAGCUUCCGAAUUUAAGAGUACUUGACCUAGCAGACAAUGACUUUUCAGGUUCUAUUCCCAGUGAUAUAAACAUGCUUCAUGAUCUGAAAAUACUUUCAUUGUUUUCUAAUUCAUUUGAAGGAACUAUUCCUUCUUCUAUAAGUCUACUCAAGGAGCUACGAUACCUUCACCUCGGGUCUAAUCAUCUCAAUUCCACUAUUCCUUCUGAGCUGGGGCUCUUGGCAAACCUUGACCGAUUAUAUCUUGAUUCCAAUAAUCUUACUGGCAAUAUCCCUCAUAUCUGAACAUGUACAACAAUUACUUUGACGGAGUGUUGCCUCAAUCUUUUGCCAACUGCAAGCAGUUAAAAGUUCUUGAUAUAGGAAACAACAAAAUAAGUGGUACAUUUCCCUCAUGGCUAUUUACUCUUGCAGAGCUAGAACUCCUUGUCUUGCGGUCCAAUAGACUUUAUGGUACAGUAAGUUUAAGAAGCACAACAGAUCCCUUUCCCAAGUUGCGCAUCAUGGAUCUCUCAAACAAUGACUUCACAGGCUAUUUGCCAAUUCAAUAUUUCAAAAAUAUGAAGCCGGUUGAUAAGGGGUAUGAUUAUCACAAUUUCACAGCACCAUUUUAUUACUACUAUCAAGCAUCUAUCUCGUUAACUGUGAAAGGGACCGAGUACCAAGUGAGUAAAAUUCUUCAUAUUUACACAGCCGUUGAUCUGUCAUGCAAUAAAUUUCAAGGAGAAGUCCCAAAGGUCAUUGGAGAACUUAAAGGGCUGGCAUUGCUCAAUUUAUCUCAUAAUAGUCUUACUGGACCUAUCCCAUCACAGCUCGGAAAUAUGAAAGCACUCCAAUCUCUGGAUUUGUCUUCAAAUCAAUUCACAGGGGCUAUCCCAUACCCGUUAAUUGGUUUGACAUUUCUAGAGGUCCUGAACCUCUCAUAUAACCAUCUCACCGGAGAAAUUCCCCAAAAAGGACAACUGAGCACGUUCAGUAAUGAUUCUUACCUAGGUAAUCUUGCCUUGUGUGGAUCUCCUUUAACAGAGAAAUGUGCACACGAAGAGUCACCACCACAAGAAGUCGGAUAUGAUGAAGAUGGUGCAGAUAAUAAAUUCCAAUGGAAAGUAGUCCUAAUGGGAUAUGUUAUCGGAUUAGUAUGUGGAUUGUCUUCAGGGUACAUUUUUCUCACAACUGGAAAGCCUUGGUGGUUUUUGAGAUACAUCGAACAACUGCAUAGCAAAAGUUGAUCAGAAGAUUCACGUAGAGUACUGUUUGAUUAAGAUGAGCAAGUUGAAAAGAAUGUUUACUAGACCAGUGGUAUGUCGGGAACAUUAAUGUGUGGUGUCAUAUAAUAUUUGAAAUGCUAAUGUCAGUGCUAGUUCUAGUUCGGGUCUGAUACUGAUUUACUCGUCUCAGAGAUACAUAUUUGUGUUCAAUGUUAAUACAAAACGGAAAAAACAUACUACACAUUAAAUCAACUUUGUAUCAAGUCGAGUUUUGGAGAUGCCAUGAUCAAAAGAAAAACACGGUGAAUGAUAUUUAUUAAGAACACGACUUGAACUAUAAGUGCAUGAAAAUCGUCUUUCAAAGUAUGGCAGGGGUGUGAAUCGUGCACACCAUGGAUAGUCACUUGAAAGCUAACCAUUCUGAGGUUCGUGGAAGCUGAUUUCAUACUCUUGAAAGCUAUCUUUAGGACGUCGAAACUUUAAUUUGUGUUGCAUAACAUUUCAUUAUGCAAGACAGAUGGUUUCAGGGAAACUAUACUGGAGAGCAAGUACCAAACAGUAAGGUAUACUUUGGAUGAUGAAAUUCCUCCCUGAUUUUUACAUCAUUUCUAGUUUUAAACGUGACAGAACAUUCGGGCGAAUGUUCUGGUCAAUUUUUUCAUGGUUGGGCCAAAAGAAUUAUAGUACAAAUGGGUGAGAAAGUUACAUUUUAGAGAUCGCUUCUCAUUAUUUAUAAUGACGAUCAAUUUUAUUUGAUUACUUUUAAUUUUAUCUUUUAUACUUAUUAAAAACACAGAAGAUCGUGUAAACAAAAUUAAUACAAAACGUACUUAUUCAUAGGAAAUGAUUUACCUCACUUAACUGCGCUUAAUUAUUUGAAAGGAAAGAAUACAACACAAAAUUAAAUAUAUAAAGAUCUGUUAUUUGUUAUUUGGAAAUGAGGAAUUUUUUUAACAUAAUCAUUGAUAACAUAUUUUUCCAACUUAUUUAUAUCUGCCAGAAUUAAAUAAAAUACGCCUCAAUAGGUUAUCAUUCUUAAUGUCAAAUUGCAAAAAUAUAUAUAUUUUUAUUUAUGUCAUAUUCUUAGAAAAAAAUUAAUAACAAGAUAAUAAUCCCUAGCUUUAAAGGGAGGAAAACAAGUGUAAAAUAAAUAAAGUAAUUUAACUUUCACUUAUAUUAUUAAGAUAAAAGUAAGCGGAAAUAAAUAUAAAUUCAACAUAUUUAACUUACCCUUCAGAAUCCAUAAGUUUGGAACAAGUAGAUUGAGCACAAGACGAAGGCCACACAUGCGCAUCAUCUGAUGCAGCUAUGGUGCCUUUACAGUUGCUCAUACAUAUAGUGAAACAAUAAGGAUCAACUCCUCCAUUGUGCGUACACAUUUUCAUACAAGCUAUAAAGCAUGGUGAUAGAGUCUUUGCAAUCUCAUCAUGACCAGCACAUCCGAUCAUGAUAAACUCUAGCAGGAUCAUCCAAGUAAUAAUUUUCUUAAUGAUAUUAAUUAUCAUUGUGAAUAGUUGUAUUGAGUUAUGCAUGUGUGUGUAUAUAUAUGCAAUGGAUUUUGUGGUUGAGAAUAUCUGUUAGAUUUUGUAUAUCCAUAACAAUUAUUAAAAUUUGAACAAUAAUAUCUAUUAUUGGUUGUGAUCGACUAUUGUAGUAGUCCAAAAAAUCUAUAUUACAUUUAAAAAGAUUAUACAUGAAAUACAAAAGCUUUUUAUUAGGACUGUUGUUAAAAAUUGCUAUGUUGUACGAAAAAAUGCUGAUAAAAAAUGUGUUACAGAAAAAAUGCUGAUAAAAAAUGUGUUACAGAAAAAAUGCUGAUAAAAAAAAUGUUGUAGAAAUCAGAUAUGACAGCUUCCCACAAAAGCUAAAAAAACAGUUUUUUUCCAUAAUAAUAUGGGAGGAGAAAAACUGUUUGUAGAAUUAUUGAACAAUUUUUCACAUAUUUUUCGAUAAAAAGCUGUUGUUAUUGUCUUCAGUAAUGCCAAACAGUGCCGAAAUCAUUUUGAAAUCAUUUUGCAGGUAGUUAAUCUCACUUCCAUAUAAUAUAGUACUCCUAUAUAUUAUCGAAAAAACAUGAAAUGAUGCAAAGCUCAUACUAUUGACAACAGGUAAACUCCUUGCAAUACUUUGAGCUGCAAAAUCCAUCAAAUUUUUUGAUUUAUCAACGUAACUGUUUGACAGAGUACUUCCAAGCUAAGCAUCAAAAGUCACUACCUUACGAAAUAUAUCUCACCCUACCUUCUCUGCUUAUAAGCUGUUUUGAGUACUUUUACCAAGCAUAUUUUCCAUUAAGCGUGAAAGGCACAGAAUAAUUAAGGAUCACCUAUCCCAUCAGUGCCGGGGAAUAUGGAACCAUCUCAUCAAUUAACUAGUUUAACAUUUCUCGCGGUCUUGAACCUCUCAGAAAACCAUCUUAUACUAAUGUGCCGACUUCCUUUGACGAAGAAAUGGUGAUGCUGAUGCUAAUGAUAAUGAACUUAACUGGGGAGUGAUCCUUAUGGGAUACGGAUGUGGAUUGAUAUGCGGAUUUUCUUUGGGGUUUAUGUUUUGUGGUUUGUGAGAUACAUUGAAGUACUGCAGCUGGAGUUGAUCAUUAUAAAGAACAUAGGCAAGUUAAUCGCUUAUUGAAAUUAGUAAUUGUCAAAAGUAAAAUGUUGAAAUUACUUUUUUCGAUUGAAAUCAUCGAAAAAAAGUCUCUGUCGAAAUUGAUCUGCCAAAAUUAUGUUUAAUAUCUACGGCCAGGAUUAUCUGUCGAAUAUAUUUCCCGACAAUUUUAAAAGACAAAUUUUUCGCCUCUCAGCUGUGAGCGGGAACAGAUAUCUUCGACAGAAUUCCAUUGAAAUUAGCUAAUUUCAACAUAAAUUUUCUAUCGAAAUUACUUGAGUUCUUUGUAGCUUGUUUUCACAAAUACGCUGAUAGCCUUUGGGGACGGGUAUAUUGUUUUCACAAAGCCCUGGUGGUAUGUGAGAUGCUUCGAAGGACUGCAACUGAAGUCGAUAAGAACAUGCAGAAAGAAAACCGAUCCAUCUUGAUGAACUUGAAAAAUGUUGUCAUAUGGUGAUAUAUACUCCCCUGGCCCCAGUCUCUUGAAAAAAACUUGGCUGAUUUUUUUUUUUUCAGUAUCUAUCCCUAAUAAUUGCAGCAAAUUAAAAAAUAUAGUUAUAUCUUUUUAGCAAUGGUGCAAUCUGGAAAGCUUUCUCAUCAUCUUCUUCUUUUCUUUAUCUCAUUACUCUCAUCUAACUUGACGAUCCUAUCUGCAACAUUUCGCCAAGGAGAAGCUCGUGUGGAAUGGAAGAACAGCCUAUCCCCGAAUUCGUUUCUUGGUUCACUAAUUAAUCUCACUUAUCUUUGAAAUUAAGUGGACUGGCAUUGUAUGCAACUCUGCAGGUUCAGUCAGUCAGAUUAAUCUUCAAGAACUCACAGGAACACUUGCUAACCUCGGUUUCUUUUCGUUUUCAAAUCUCACCAAUCUCAACAUUACACAUAACAACUUCACUGGUCCAAUACCACCCGAGAUUGGAAAUUUAACAGAUGUUCAGUACCUCGACUUUAGCUAUAAUAAUCUCAAUGGUACCAUUCCAUACCAGGUCAGCCAUCUUCAGAGGUCGGUCGUCUUCGGCCUCUAAUUUAAUCACUUGAAAGCUCUAAGCUUGUCCAAUUUUUCCCCCAUGCCUAUACUGGUUGGUCGCGGUCUUGGUGGUAAUAAGCUGGCGUCAAUUUUUCCAGAAUUCAUAUCUAAUUGCUAUAACAUGAUUAACCUUGAUCUUUCAUUUAACAUGUUAACUGGUAAUCCCUUCAACAACUUGCGAAUCUUGGAUCUCUCGGACAAUGAAUUCACUGGUUACUUGCCAAUCCAAUAUUUUAAUAAUAUGAAACCAGUUGAUACUGUGAUUGAUUAUUACAACCUCUGUUCUAAAAGUCGGUGAUUAAUCACGAUUAAUUAAUCACUGAUUAAUCUAUGUUCCGUAGCUCGCCAAACUGAUUAAAUAUCCGAUUAUUCUAAUUAAUCCCCGAUUAAUCACCGAUCAAUGUAAUUAAUCUCCAAUUAAUCUUUAUUCCGAAACUUCACCGAUUAAACUCGAUUCCCACUUUUUACAACACUGAUUACAACAUAACAGGGAAUCAUGAUUAUCAAGCAUCUGUCUUGUUAACAUUGAAACAAAGAGAGCAUGAAGUGAAAGGAAUCCUUUAUAUUUACGAUGUCAACAGCCCUACUGUCAAAAUUCCUUUCAAGUCGGGGCUUUUUACGAUUAUUUGGUAAUUCAGUGUUGAACUCCGCUCAACUUAUAAUUAGAUAAUCGAACUCAAAAAUCUUGCAAUCAACAAAUAAAUUAUUGAAAACUUGCAAUUGAAUAAUGGCCGUCAAGUCACUUAACAAUACUAACCGAAAACGAACGUGACGGGCUGAUGUGUUUAAAAAAAUGCAUGAUGACUAUAUACGUGAUGUUUACGACCCUGACUAAUAUAUCCAACAAAUAAUACAUUCAACCUGAUCUAAUAAUGUAAUACAUCUACUUAAAUAUAUUUUCAUGCCAAAUAUUUAUAGAUUUGUUUUUACAAAAAUGAUUAGAGACUUUUGCAUAUAUAAAAAUUGAGAAUUAUUGCUUGACUAGACAAAAAUAGGUGAGUUGUGAUUAUAAUAAAUAUUUAUUUCUACGAUGUAGUUUUUAUUAGUUAUAUAUAAAAAAAAUCUUGCUCUAUUUUGAUACUAGUGCAAUGAUUACUUCAAUUUAUUUUUUAUACGAGUUAGUAAGAUAUAUGACUAACUCAUCUUGCACUCGUAUUAAUUGUCUUAUAUAAUAUUAAUAACAAAAAUAUGAGGCGGUGCUUAGUCAGAUGAUUUUAGUUGUUAAAAUAUUUUUUUGUUAUUUAUAGAUAGUGAAACUUGUCUCAUAUUUUAUCUAUUUUGUUUCGUUUCUUGAGAUUUCCAAAUAUUUAUUAGGACAUUGUACCAUGGUGUAUUUCAAGAUAUUAUUGUUAUUUAGAUAAUUAGUCAUAUUCAAUGAAUUUUGAGGACAAAAUUUAAAUAAGAGGAGAACAAUGUCAUAUCUCACGUAUUAGCAGUUUUAAUUAUUUUAUAUUUUUAUUUUAAAGAUAAGAUAAAGUUUAUUUAUUUAAUUGUUUUUAUCUUAAAAGCGAUUUUGAGUUGUUUGAGUUAGAUAUAUACUCCUACUGUGGUUCAACUAGUUUUGCCGUAAGUGAAUAAUUUCCGGUCAAUAUUUUGAAAUUUGUUGUUAUCUUCUAAUUAAGAUAAUUAAGGGGUUAAAUAGCUUUUGAAAAAUGUGAAAAAAAUCAAAAAAAUUGGGAAACCAAAAGUGGCAAGCUUUUUUUUUUUUGUUCUUUUUAAAUUUUCUAAAAUCUGGGGAAAAAAGAACUUGCCACCUAAUUUUUUCCAAAUUUUUUCAAAUUCUUUUCAGAUUUUUGAAUUUUUUCCCCAAUUUUUCCUCACUUUUUUCUGAUUUUUUUUGAAUUUAUUAAGAUUUUUUUUGUUUUUUCUGCUUAUUCUGAAUUUUUUAAGAUUUAUUCGCAUUUUUUUCAUAUUUUUAAAAAAUAUUUUUGAAUUUUCCGUUAAGUAAUUAAUGGAACUGACGGAGAGUGAUGCUUUUGAAAGUUUUUAAUUACUUGAUAAUGCGUUUGAAAAUUUUUUCAACAACAUGACCCAGUUGCAAGUUUCCGGCGAGGUUAGUGAUGAAUUAGUUAUUUAACUCUUAAUAAAAAUCUAUCUAAACAAUAUUAUAAAUAUAAUGUUAUGGGUUCGAUGAGUCGUGUAAAACAUGGAAGAAGUUUAGGUGGGGUAAAAAGAGCCUAGCUGUGUGAUUUCCAUUCUGUUAUACGUGAUAUACUGUAGUUGAUCAUCUCCUUUGUCCGCUUCAUCCUGUGCAACCUUAACCUUUAAGGAAAAACUUAUGAGAUUCUCUACUGCAUCUAAAUUCUUGUGUGAAGAAUGUGAAGAAAAAUGUUAGUCUCAGAUUAUUUUUCCUAAAAUGCUUGCAUGUUACAUUUUAUAUGUAUGUCCUGACUUUAAGUAUAAUUUAGCAUUUUUAUUUAGUAUUGUGUAAAAAUAAUAUAUUUUAUUCAGUCUUAUUAAAAAUAUAAUCAUGUUAUACUGUAAAAGUAUUUGUGAAUUUCUUUGUUACAUAUGUGUUUAAAUUAUUUUAUUUAUAUAUGUUUUACAAUUUUUUACAAAUAUAUAAGUUGAGUAUUGCAUAGGAAUAUAAUUACACGUUAGCAAAUAUGAUUAUGUGUAAACUGUUCUGCGUGCAUGUAUAUUGCUGCUAAGUUUUAAACUUCUUACUAACCGGAAUAAUUUUGACAGAUGUGUGGAACUUGAUUAAUUUAGUUGCACUAUAAGAGAAAGCGUUUUUGUCAAUAAAAAUUGUUAAGGAAAUUAGUCCGUUGGUAGUUCUCAACGGAUUUGUAACAAUUUGACUGGUCAAUGUUCUGUCAACCAAUUAGUAAUGAAAUACCCACACUUAUUUACCAACGAGAUGUUCUAUUAGGAAAUAUAGCCACACAAUGGAAUAGUAACAAAAGACCAAGGAAUGAGCAACAUACUAGCAACGAAAGUAUCUGUUAUUAAAUAUUCCCUUGAUAAAUACUAGACUUUUUAGCACUUUGGUGCAGUGGCGGAGCCAGCCAUAAACUUUAAUGGGGGCCAAAAAUAACUUUUUAAGACAUCAUAAAAGAUGAUAGUUUAUAAUCAAGCAUCUCCCAUUAUAUUUUGAAGUAUACUUUUAAUAAGAUUAAUAGUUUGAAAAACUCUUUCAACAUUGUCUGUUGCAACAUCAAAAUUAACUUACAUUAGUUAUAUGAAUUCAAAUAUCCAUAUCAAAUUUCGAGAUAUCGAAGAAAAGAAUAGAAAACGUGCAUGUUCUACUUUUUGAAUAGAAAGAAAAUAAAGGAAUAAUAGUGAACAACCAAGAAGGCAAGAAGUAAUCGAUGAUAACCAUAAAGCCCAGAAGAGGUGGAUGAUAGAAUGUCGUCCCAGCUAAUGUAUGUCUAUAUAUUAAUAUUAAAAACUAUAAAAUCUCUAGUGGGGUCCAGUGCCCCCACAUGCCUCUACAUGCCUCCACCACUGCUUUGGUGGCUUGUACUAUUUCAAAUUUGCACGUUAGUGGCCCACCUUUAAAAGUCAUCAAUUGUGUUGCUGAACUUAUUUUUUUUUAACACAUUAGGGGCUCUGCAUCAUAUCCGUUAAAUCGAAGUAACGGCGUCAAAUGAUCAAUACAUAUCUCCUCCUCCUCUUAUUUCCCUCCAAAUUAAAAACGAAACGGCUACCCCCUUUUCCGAAGCAAGAACGACGACGAAUUCCUGCUUACAGAGAUGAGUUGGUUCCGGCGUCUUAAAGAGGAUGCUGAUGUGUAUCAGCCUCGACAGUGCCCCGAUUACUGUGGUAAGCUCUUCAACUUUUCUUCUUUGUAGCAUAUGAAAUGAGUUUAAUUGACCAUUAUUUCAGUGUUUGUUGUUGUUAGUGGCUAGUUGUUUAGUAUUAUGGACCUGCAAUUGCUUUAUACUAUUAAAAUGGAAGAUUCUGCUUGUGGGUUUUUAAAAAUUAGGGCUUUUACAUAGUCCAAGAUUCGGUCAUUAUAAAAUCAAUUUAUGCCUGUUUUAGUAUAAUGCUUGUUGUUAGUGGCUAUUUGUUAAGUAUAGUGUUGUUUAUUGUAAAUAAAACUGUUGCUUUGCACUCUACAUUUGCAGAACCUGGUGAUUUUACCCUAAAAAUAUAUCAUGGGGCCGAUUGGGUAGAUAACCCUAGGGCAUAUGUGGGAGGUACAGUAGAUUUCUUUGACUUCUGUAAUGCUGAUCAGAUCAGCAUAAUUGAGAUAUAUAGUAUGUUGAAAGAGGUUGAUGAGUUUGGGUUUCACCAACUGUGGUAUAAGCUACCUGGCACUACAUUCGAUAGAGCUUUUGUACUAAAUAAUGAUGAGGAGCUAAUGACCAUGUGUGAGCUUAUAUCUGAUGUGGAUAAGUAUAUGGAGAUUUAUGUCACCACUAUGGCACAUCUAAGUACAGUGCCCUAUAGAGAUUUAGAGGUUGAAUUUGUUGAACCAACUCCUAAAGAAGCACCUGAAAAGAACAAUCCAUCACCUGAAAAGAUCAAUCCAGCACCUGAAAAGAUCAAUCCAGCACCUGCAAAGAUGUAUCCAGCACCUGCAAAGAGCAUUCCAACUGUGGGAAAUGAUGAUGAUCAGGAAGAGUUUGAGUUUGAUUUUGACAAUUGAUAGAAUAUAUUUUUGUAUAUAUUCUAUAUGAUUUUAUUCCCAUAUUUAAUUAUAUUUUGCACUGAUUUGGAUAUUUAUUUAAUAUAUUUUCAUGUUUUAUUGUAGGGAAUAAAGAAUUCCAAGUUGAGAAGGAUUUGAAGAUAAAUUAGCUAUUUUGGAGUUAAAUUCUAAAGAAAUUCGGAUUUAUUGGGUUUUACCCGAUUUCUGCACUGUUUGAGCCAUAUCUUGAGUUCCGGAUGUCGGAAUUGGACGUUCUUACAGCUCACGCGAAGCCCUUGAUAUUUCCUUUAAUUUAGAAGUGGCCCAGCAAGAAAAGUCCAACUGGAAAAGCCCGAAAACUGGACAGAACAGAAAGCUACGAAUUUUGAGACUAAAUCCUACUUGGUUUUGGAGUUUUAUUCAUAUAUUAGUUUUAAAUAUUAAAAGAGGUAUAUUAUUAGAGAUAGGAUUAGUUUUUAUCAUUGUACAAUAUUAGAGUAGGUUAGGGUUAGAGAGAAACUUAGAGGAGAGGCCAUUACUCUUUUUUGGAUGACAACAAUGAAGGUUUAUAAAGGUUUUCUUCUAUAGUUUUCUUCUCUUUACUUGUUAGUUUAAUUAUGUCUUUUAAUUAUUCUAGUUGUUUAAUUAGUAUCGAGUAGUGUGUUCUAGGGUUUAAGGGGAAGCCAUGUUUGCGUUAUGAUGUUGGCAUGAUUUAACAGUGAUUUGAUUGAUUGGUUAAUUCUAAUUGAUAUGUUUUAAUAUUGAUUUAUGUAAUCGGCCGAUAUCAUGAAUUGAUUCUAUGCGAAUAGGAGUAUGAUCGAGAGAUAUACGACUAGAGGCACACAUACAAUUAGCAGAAUUGAAUUUGAGUGCGAGAGCAUCAUUGAAUUUCUGAAAGCGUUAAUACUCGAGAGAGAUUAACAUUGCUUUAAUUAUCUGAUUAAUUGGAUUACUAAAAGUGAUUAUUUGUGUAAGCAUGUUUCGAGAGUGUUGAUACUUGAGAGAGAUUAACAAACUCUAGUUUCAUGACCGCUUUAAUUGCUUUAGCUUAGAGCCAGUCAUUGUCUAAGCAUGGUGGACCUGAUUGCCCUGGAUUUUUAACAUAUUAUUUUAGUGUCUAUUUAGUUAGUGUUAAUAUAAUAAUGUUUAUUUAGUUAAAAAUAUUUCUUUCGAUCAUCGUUGAUUUGGGAACAAUUGAAUGUAACUUAAUAAAAUUGAUAGCAUCUGUCUCCUCGAGGAUACGACCCGCAUUUGCCAGUCUACACUACAAUAGACACCGUGCGCUUGCGGUAGUUAUAAUUUAACACAUCAAGUUUUUGGCGCCGCUGCCGGGGAGACGGCUAGUUUCUAUUAGUUUUGUUUGGUUAUCUAGAUUGUUUCCUUUGCCUCGUUGGAACCCUUGUUCCAAUUGAGGCGGAUUUUACUCUGUUUUCUUGGCUGUGUUGUGUUUUUCAGGUUUACAAUGGACGGAGUUGAUAACUUUGCACGUCUAUCUUCCCUGAUCGAGGCAUAUACUCGUGAAAAUGCCUCAUUGAAUGCUACAGAGCCCACUACACGUCCACUGAGUAUCAACGAGAUGUCACAAGCUGCCCCGAAGACUUAUAACUUCUGUCAAGUUUGUGGUGUUCAGGGUCACUAUGGUUAUGAAUGUUCUUACAAUGUAUUUAAUUCUCAGAAUGCUCAGUUGGGACAUGUGAAUGAUUAUCAAGAAAGAUAUGAGUACAAUCACUAUUCUAAUUCUUGUGAUCAACAAUGGAUGGGUCAACCAGAUUUCUCUUACAUGGACAAUGAAUUUCAAAAUUUCUCAUAUCAUGAUCAACAACAAUUUCAGCAACAUCGUUAUGAAGAACCACCACUACAGCAAUAUGAUCAGUUUGAGCAGGAAUAUCAUCAACCUCAAUAUGAGCAACCUCAGUUUCAGCAGUAUCACUAUUCUCCACUUCAACAAGAGCUACAGGUUCCUUUAACCAAUGUAGAUGUGCCAUCGUAUCAGACGAAUGAGGUAUGUGAUAUGUUGAUAUAUAUGACCAAGAGUUUUGAGGAUGGUAUCAUGAACUUCCAGAAAUGCAUUGAUGAGAGUACCAUGAUGAUUAAAGAAUUAAAAGCUGAACAACUGAUGAUGGAAGGUCAAAUUGCACAAUUGUCUAGUUCUUCUUCUACAUGUCAAACCGAAUCCUCUCCACCUCCAUGUCUUCAAGUUGAAGAUGACAUAAAUACUAUCAUUCUUGCAAGUGAUAAAGACAGUGAUAGUUUUUCGAUCUGUGAUGAUGAUGCGCCUAUUGGUAAAGGGGAGGAUCAUGUCAUUGCCAAUGAAAUUGAUGAUGUUGUUGAUGUUGUGGACCAUGUGCGUGAUGAUGAGCUAAGUGAAGAAAGCAAUAUCGAGUUGGUAGUAGUUUCUCCUCCGCCUUGUGUGCUUAAAUUACCAUUCUUGAAAGGAAUCAACUUAAUCAAGGUGGAUCAACAAUUUGAUAUGAAAAACUUUGCUUUUACUCGAACCUCAGCUCCAAUAUUUGAGAGCACAUGUUUUAAAGUUGAUGUGAUGAUUGUCCAAGAUGAGAUUUCUCAGAAUAUUUCCUAUGAUCCAUUUCAAAAGGCUCUUACACCUCAAGUCUUGGAAGAAGGUGUUUGCAAUAUUGACUUUUUAUUCAUUGAAGCAAGAAGAAGCCAAGAGAUUCAACUAGCUCCUGCGAAAGUGAGGAGUUCUGAAAAACCACCACCGGAGCCUCCACCUCAUGUGAAUAUCAAGGGAGUUCAAUCUUUUGAUGGAUGUGAAUUCUAUCGUUGCUUUAUCAUAAAGUUCUCCAAAUCUAUGAAAUAUAUUGAUCAGUUGUUAUAUCUUGAUGCGACAAUUAAUUUUAUUAAUGCUUGUUUGGAGACUUUCUGCAGGAUAAAGACAACAUUUGAUGUUAAGGAUUUUAUUUUUGGUGGUGAGAUCAUGUUUGAGAAAGCGGAAACUCCGCCUUUUACAUAUUCUUUUUGGAGGUAAAAAGUCAAGCUAAUGACUCUAAAAGAGCGCUACUUGGGAGGCAACCCAAGGUCUCUAUUAGUUUAUUUAUAUAAUAUAUUUUUGUAUUUUUUUAGGAGCUUAAAAUUUUUAUUUUCAUUUUUUUUACUCCCAUAAGAUGCCUUGAUGAAUUUGUGUGAAGUGUUUUCAGAUAUUAUAUCCAAUCACUCAUGCGGCUCCUUUUUAAAGUUCNNNNNNNNNNNNNNNNNNNNNNNNNNNNNNNNNNNNNNNNNNNNNNNNNNNNNNNNNNNNNNNNNNNNNNNNNNNNNNNNNNNNNNNNNNNNNNNNNNNNNNNNNNNNNNNNNNNNNNNNNNNNNNNNNNNNNNNNNNNNNNNNNNNNNNNNNNNNNNNNNNNNNNNNNNNNNNNNNNNNNNNNNNNNNNNNNNNNNNNNNNNNNNNNNNNNNNNNNNNNNNNNNNNNNNNNNNNNNNNNNNNNNNNNNNNNNNNNNNNNNCAUAUCUUCUGUNCUUUUAGUAAACAGUAGAAGAAGAGCUGUGGUGCUACGAUGUCUAGCUGCGGCUCCGGAGCUUCUGCCAAGCACAAUUUGUUCGCGCUAGUUUUUCACAAUCUACUUGAUAACUUGAAGCAGAGCUCCUAACUCCCAAGAUCAUCUGUUCCCUGUUCUGCUACAUGGAGUCCACGCACCCAGCCCAUUCAAGUCCAGAAGCCCAUGCACGGAGCCUGUUCUCAAUUCAGCCCAUGCUCCAAGCCCAAGACCACACCACCUGGGCCCAGUACAGGGGGUGCAUCUCAGCAACAGAGGCCCAGCCCACCAGUUGAUCCUCGAAGUCCAGCUGCUUCAGUCCAGUAAAAGUCUGCGUGUGUAUGCCUACAAAAAAGAACUGUUGCUGGUAGGAAUCGAAGACGGGUCAAUUACAAAGCAGAUCUCAGGAGCCACCUACCAACCACUGGGCCAACUGAUUCUUUUGUUGAGGAAACGCAUCCAGUUUAACAAAAACUUGAGAAGUCAAGAGCCAAUUCAACACUCAACAGCAUUUCAGGGGAGUAUUCCUUUUAACCACUAUUGUGUAAUUAUAUUAUUAUAUUUAUAUAUUUCUAUCAUAUUUGUUCAUUGAGGACAAUGAACCACUUUAGUGUGGGGAUGGUUUCUCAAUGAUAAAAAAUUAUAUAUCAUAAAAUUCAAAAAAAUAGAAAAAUUAAAAAAAAAUUGUAUAUUGCCAUGUCUUAAAUUAGGAAAUUCAUGUUAGUUGCAUUAUAUUAGAGCUAGUUACUUAAUUUUGUAUGCCAUUUUUUAGUAGAUUUUUUUCUUCUUCUUUCUUUUAGGUUACAUAAUUCAUGAAAGUAUAUAAUACCGAGUUAAUUUCUCAUGAUGAGUUUAUUUGCAUAAUUAUUUGGCUAGUAGUCUUGAUCAUAUGUGAUGUCUUGCAUGCUUAGAAAUUGCUUGUGCGGAAAUUUUAAAUACACUAUAAAAUGCUCUAGAGACAAGACUGAGACUAACUUAAUUCUUGAGUUUUAUCUAUGAGUUGAGUGUAGAAUUUUGACUAUUCCCUUUUAAGCUUAGAGUAUGUAAAUCUUAAGUUUAGGGGAGUUUUAGGAUGUAUAUGCCUUUCUAGAAAAAUGAAAAAAAAAAUAGAAUAUUGCAAAUAAAGUAUCGAGUACUCCUUUGAGAUCAACGGGUGGUAAUAUUUGAAAGGGACGAUCCAUGUACUUGUGCUGGUAUUAAGUGCAAUUGUACUAGAAAUAAAUUUUCUUGGUGACUUUUCACAACCCUUGGUUACUGGAGAAUUACUUGACUUAAAAAAAAUAGAGAAAAAAAAUGAGCUAGCAAAGUCUUAUGGUGGUCGUAACUCACUUACCAUGAGAAGCUUCCCAACCUUUGACUGAGCAUGAAAAAAAAAAGUAGAAAAUAUAAGAGAGGCAUAGAAAUUCCUUUGCGACCCUGAGCUGUAGUUGACUCUAAUGUAACGAAGCGUUUAAGCAUUAUUCUGAUAAACGACUCAUGGUUAAGACUCUGUUGAACUUUGUUGGUGUCUGUUUUGUUUCAUUAGAGAGCAUGUUGAACACACACGAUUCACUCCGUACUUGCAGCGGAAAAGUUGCAUGACUAAUGUGUGAGAUAGAUGAAUGCCUUGAAUGUUGCUUAUUCUGAAGAUUAUUUGUUAACGAGGUUGAUGCUUUCAUGAUUGUAUUAUAUGCAUUUUCAUUUAGAUUGCAUUCAUAGUAGUUGCAUGUUUAAGACCGGUAGAAAAUAAUGAAUUUUGUGGGUAGAUUCGCUAUAAACCCUCACGAGACAAAACUCGUCCUACUAGGGCUGCCUAGAGGUUUAACGGCUUGUUGCAUGCGCUCAAUGCAAUCGUGUCAUCUACGAAAGUGGUGUUAGUUAGUUAGUUAGGAUAUUUUUAUUUCUUUUAUUUGCCCGAGGACGUGCAAAAGUUAAGUGUGGCGGAUGUUUGAUAGGGUAUAUAUUUACAUAUAUUCUAGAUGAUUUUAUUCUCAUAUUUAAUUGUAUUUUGCAUUGAAUUGGAUAUUUAUUUAAUAGAUUUUAAUGUUUUAUUGCAGGAAGCAAGGAGUUCCUAAACUUGGAGGAAAUUGGAAUAAAAAGCUUAAUUUGAAGAUUAAUUAGAAGGAAAUUCGGAUUUGUUGAAUUGCUUGCACUUGAAUCACUGUUUGGGCCAUAUCUUGAGUUCUAGAAAUCAGAAUUGGGUGAUCUUACAGCCCACGCGAAGCUUAGAGAAUUUUCUUUAAUUCAGAGAUGGUCCAAUAUCCAAAAUCCAACAGAAUCAGCCCAGGAAUAGGCAGAAAACAGAGCUACGAAUUUUCUUGAAGAAACCUAUUCUGUUUAGGAAACUGUUUUGUAUUUUCUUGUAAGUAUUAAAAUCAAAUAUAUUAGAGAGAGGGAUGGGUNNNNNNNNNNNNNNNNNNNNNNNNNNNNNNNNNNNNNNNNNNNNNNNNNNNNNNNNNNNNNNNNNNNNNNNNNNNNNNNNNNNNNNNNNNNNNNNNNNNNNNNNNNNNNNNNNNNNNNNNNNNNNNNNNNNNNNNNNNNNNNNNNNNNNNNNNNNNNNNNNNNNNNNNNNNNNNNNNNNNNNNNNNNNNNNNNNNNNNNNNNNNNNNNNNNNNNNNNNNNNNNNNNNNNNNNNNNNNNNNNNNNNNNNNNNNNNNNNNNNNNNNNNNNNNNNNNNNNNNNNNNNNNNNNNNNNNNNNNNNNNNNNNNNNNNNNNNNNNNNNNNNNNNNNNNNNNNNNNNNNNNNNNNNNNNNNNNNNNNNNNNNNNNNNNNNNNNNNNNNNNNNNNNNNNNNNNNNNNNNNNNNNNNNNNNNNNNNNNNNNNNNNNNNNNNNNNNNNNNNNNNNNNNNNNNNNNNNNNNNNNNNNNNNNNNNNNNNNNNNNNNNNNNNNNNNNNNNNNNNNNNNNNNNNNNNNNNNNNNNNNNNNNNNNNNNNNNNNNNNNNNNNNNNNNNNNNNNNNNNNNNNNNNNNNNNNNNNNNNNNNNNNNNNNNNNNNNNNNNNNNNNNNNNNNNNNNNNNNNNNNNNNNNNNNNNNNNNNNNNNNNNNNNNNNNNNNNNNNNNNNNNNNNNNNNNNNNNNNNNNNNNNNNNNNNNNNNNNNNNNNNNNNNNNNNNNNNNNNNNNNNNNNNNNNNNNNNNNNNNNNNNNNNNNNNNNNNNNNNNNNNNNNNNNNNNNNNNNNNNNNNNNNNNNNNNNNNNNNNNNNNNNNNNNNNNNNNNNNNNNNNNNNNNNNNNNNNNNNNNNNNNNNNNNNNNNNNNNNNNNNNNNNNNNNNNNNNNNNNNNNNNNNNNNNNNNNNNNNNNNNNNNNNNNNNNNNNNNNNNNNNNNNNNNNNNNNNNNNNNNNNNNNNNNNNNNNNNNNNNNNNNNNNNNNNNNNNNNNNNNNNNNNNNNNNNNNNNNNNNNNNNNNNNNNNNNNNNNNNNNNNNNNNNNNNNNNNNNNNNNNNNNNNNNNNNNNNNNNNNNNNNNNNNNNNNNNNNNNNNNNNNNNNNNNNNNNNNNNNNNNNNNNNNNNNNNNNNNNNNNNNNNNNNNNNNNNNNNNNNNNNNNNNNNNNNNNNNNNNNNNNNNNNNNNNNNNNNNNNNNNNNNNNNNNNNNNNNNNNNNNNNNNNNNNNNNNNNNNNNNNNNNNNNNNNNNNNNNNNNNNNNNNNNNNNNNNNNNNNNNNNNNNNNNNNNNNNNNNNNNNNNNNNNNNNNNNNNNNNNNNNNNNNNNNNNNNNNNNNNNNNNNNNNNNNNNNNNNNNNNNNNNNNNNNNNNNNNNNNNNNNNNNNNNNNNNNNNNNNNNNNNNNNNNNNNNNNNNNNNNNNNNNNNNNNNNNNNNNNNNNNNNNNNNNNNNNNNNNNNNNNNNNNNNNNNNNNNNNNNNNNNNNNNNNNNNNNNNNNNNNNNNNNNNNNNNNNNNNNNNNNNNNNNNNNNNNNNNNNNNNNNNNNNNNNNNNNNNNNNNNNNNNNNNNNNNNNNNNNNNNNNNNNNNNNNNNNNNNNNNNNNNNNNNNNNNNNNNNNNNNNNNNNNNNNNNNNNNNNNNNNNNNNNNNNNNNNNNNNNNNNNNNNNNNNNNNNNNNNNNNNNNNNNNNNNNNNNNNNNNNNNNNNNNNNNNNNNNNNNNNNNNNNNNNNNNNNNNNNNNNNNNNNNNNNNNNNNNNNNNNNNNNNNNNNNNNNNNNNNNNNNNNNNNNNNNNNNNNNNNNNNNNNNNNNNNNNNNNNNNNNNNNNNNNNNNNNNNNNNNNNNNNNNNNNNNNNNNNNNNNNNNNNNNNNNNNNNNNNNNNNNNNNNNNNNNNNNNNNNNNNNNNNNNNNNNNNNNNNNNNNNNNNNNNNNNNNNNNNNNNNNNNNNNNNNNNNNNNNNNNNNNNNNNNNNNNNNNNNNNNNNNNNNNNNNNNNNNNNNNNNNNNNNNNNNNNNNNNNNNNNNNNNNNNNNNNNNNNNNNNNNNNNNNNNNNNNNNNNNNNNNNNNNNNNNNNNNNNNNNNNNNNNNNNNNNNNNNNNNNNNNNNNNNNNNNNNNNNNNNNNNNNNNNNNNNNNNNNNNNNNNNNNNNNNNNNNNNNNNNNNNNNNNNNNNNNNNNNNNNNNNNNNNNNNNNNNNNNNNNNNNNNNNNNNNNNNNNNNNNNNNNNNNNNNNNNNNNNNNNNNNNNNNNNNNNNNNNNNNNNNNNNNNNNNNNNNNNNNNNNNNNNNNNNNNNNNNNNNNNNNNNNNNNNNNNNNNNNNNNNNNNNNNNNNNNNNNNNNNNNNNNNNNNNNNNNNNNNNNNNNNNNNNNNNNNNNNNNNNNNNNNNNNNNNNNNNNNNNNNNNNNNNNNNNNNNNNNNNNNNNNNNNNNNNNNNNNNNNNNNNNNNNNNNNNNNNNNNNNNNNNNNNNNNNNNNNNNNNNNNNNNNNNNNNNNNNNNNNNNNNNNNNNNNNNNNNNNNNNNNNNNNNNNNNNNNNNNNNNNNNNNNNNNNNNNNNNNNNNNNNNNNNNNNNNNNNNNNNNNNNNNNNNNNNNNNNNNNNNNNNNNNNNNNNNNNNNNNNNNNNNNNNNNNNNNNNNNNNNNNNNNNNNNNNNNNNNNNNNNAUGAUGUCAAAUUACUUAGUCUUUAAUGGUAUAUUUAUUAGAAUUAUGAAACUUAUUUUAAAAAAUUAUUUUGGACGAUCCAAACUGUAUGAAUGUUAUUUUAACAUGUUAAUAUUGAUUAAAAUUGUUUUUAAAAAAAAAUUAGUUGUAUUUUAUGUGUGAAUUUUUAGUCAAAUACGAUAAAAUAUUUAUUUAGCUUGUAAUGAAAUAUUAAAACCCUACUUCAAAAGAAACUUGUCUAAAACUACCUAUAAGUGUUAGAGAAUCAUCGAUUUAGUUAUCAAAUUAGUUAUCAUAAGGGUUUUACUCCGCUUUUCUCUGGUAUGAUGUUGAUUUUUGGGGUUUGAUUGGUCGAUUUUCAUGUUUUAUAAGUUAUGUGAGUUCGAUUUUGAUGUUUUUACAAUUAGGUUUAUGUAUGUUCUUAUACAGGUUUCAUGUUCAUGUUUUGAUUUGUUGAUUUCCUAUUUUUCAUAUUUUGUUGAUUAGUUAUUUGUGUGGGUUUUGAACUUUGAUGAGUGUGUAUGUAAUCUCCUGUUUUUUUUUCAUUUUUCUGGUUCGAACACUUCGAUUAGUAGCUGGAAAAACAGCUGAUGCGGCAGUAGCGGCUAGCGAGAUGGAUAACAAGAAAAGGAUGAUUUCGAGGUCAUCUCGUGCAAGUCUUCAGAUAUAGUUUUGUUCCUUUAUGUUUUUAAUUGACAUAAAUUUUCACAUUUGAUGAUUAUAUUAUGGGGGAUUCUGGGUAUACUUGUAUAUAAUCUAGCAAGUUAUUAUAAUUCUGGACGGGGGGCUUAUUGUGAAAUUAAAUUGAGGGAUAAGUUGUGUUAUUGGUUCUAGUGGAUUAAAUUUAUGUUGACACUUGAUAUAUGCAUUGAUGUCGUAAAAUAAGUUGCACAUCAAACUAUUUGGCUUGUUUAAGUUGUAUGGAGUAAGGCUGUACGCGGAUCGGAUCGGUUCGGUUGGAGGGUAAUAACCAAACCAAACCGCAACUUACGGUUUUCUAAAAUCUCAAACCGCGACCAUACUGUUGGUUAAAAAAACCCAACCAAAUCCAUCCACGUAAUUGCGGUUGGUUGCGGUUCAACCGCUAAAAUAGUUAUAACAAAGAAAAUAUAUAAGUUAUCGCUUAAAAUCUUGCAUAAAGUACAGGCUUUAACUCAAAAAUAUAUAAUUUAUCACUUAAAAUCUUGAAUAAAGUUAAUACAAUAAAUCUGAUUACAUAUUACAAAAGCAAACUAAUCCGGAAAUAUAUAACUUGAAGCAGAGCUUCAAGUUAAUGGUUAUUAAAAAUUUCAUCCGCGACCGCCCACAUUUUACGGUUAUCCAUAAUACACGGAUCGGUUGCAGGUGGUUGUUGCGGUUAAUGCGGUUGAGCGGAUUCAACGUACAGAGCCCUAUGAAGUAUGGUUGCCAAGCAUUGAUUGGUUGUACACGUAUAAACAAAAUGAUAUUUUAAUAUUUAAACAAAACAAUACAGUCAUAAACAGAUCGUGUCGGGCUGGACUGAUUGUGAUUUUCCUUUUUGGAACUCGUACUCGGCAUCUUCCAAGCGAAUGAUAUUUAGAAGUUUGUUGCUAGUAUACUCCAUGUCAUAAUAAGAGUUCUUUAGAUUUUUUAUAUGUAAUUCGAAGUAUAAAAAACAUAUUUUAACAUAUUAUUUUUAAAUUUUUUAUACAUAAAAAUAUAACAUCUAUAUUUUUAUUUAAAAAAAAAUUUGAAAUAUAAUAUAUGGAUGCAUGUCUUUUUUAUACGUGAAAUUACAUGUAAAAAAUUAAAAGACUCUUAUUUUGAGUAAGAGAGAAUAUGAUGUACCAUAAAGUCAUCGAUCUUUUGUUAUCAAAUAAAUGUGAUAUUUAAUUAUUUAAGAGCAAGUCCAAAAGUAUCUUAGUUAAAGUCCUAAAUAUAAUAUAAAAUAUUACGUUCCGGUGAUUUAGGAUAUAUUUUACUAACUUGGACUCCAACAAUGUGUCUUAUUCUCAUAAGAAGUUUAAUAUUUUAUUAUUAAAAACUCUCUUUCAUCAUUAAAGCAUAAUAUAAAAGUAGAGAGAGAAAAAAAGUGUUGAUAAGAAUUAAUAAUAAAAUAUGGGAUAGGGUAAGGAGAGAUGUGCCUCAAAAAUAGGGCUUGAGGAGGUUGUCCUAGUGAUAUAAGGGCAAGGAGAUCAACUUUUUACAUCAAAUGCCUUAAAUAACAAUUUAGGACAUAAUAUUGGGCAUCUGCUGGACUUGCUCUAAGUUGUUACUCCUUUAUUAGGUGUGGACACGGAGACGAAGAAGUAAAAGAUGAGUACAGUUAAAUGAAGAUGUGGUAAAAUAAUGUGACCCAUUUAUAUUUAAUAAUACAUUUGAAAUAGUGGAGGAAAGUAACGAGUGUAAUAACGUUUAUAUUAUUAUAGCAUAUAGAUAGCAGAAGAAAGCAAUGGGUAUAAAAGUGUAUUAUAUUAUUAAAAUUACUAUUUUUGAAAUGUUUAGAAAUAAUGGGGCAAUCAAAAAGAAAACUGUAUAAAAAUGGACGAGAGAAUACAAUUCAAGAAGUAAUAUAUCUCAAUUCAAACUAGGUAAUAUAUUUAUGAAUUAUAUUAAAAAAAAUUUGACAUUCAAAUAUAAAAAUUUAUUUUAUCAUCUUAACAAUGGAAUAUUCGAUUAUUAACUUUCGUAAAUAACAUUAAUUUUUCAUUAUAAUAUACUCUAAACUUUUAUUUUAUGUGCCUGUUUGUUUACAAGAAGCUGGAGUCCUACUUCUCUUGACUCGUUUGUGUAAAAACGUAAAAAGUGCUUUUAAAAAGUACUGAGAAGGAAAUGGAAGUAGAAAAUGCUAGUUUUUCUUUAUAAUAUCUAUUUCUUUUCUAGACACUUUAAUAAUUUAUAUAUAUUAAUUUAUUUCUCACUUAUACUCCAUUUUUUUAUAGAGAACUUCUUUUAAACUAAUCGGCUCCUAUAAUCAGUAGUUUCUCAAUUUUAACAGGAAUAAGAGCAUGUUUAUCUGAGCUUAAAGCCCGGGGUUUAUAUCAUCUCUGGCUUUAAGCUGAAAAAUGUAUGUUUGUGUAUUAAGUCGGAAGUCGGCUUAAAGUCGGAAAUAAGUCAAAAAUUGACCUAAAACCAGAAGUUAGUUUGAGAUACUUUUCUCGGUGACUAAUUUUUUUUUUAGCCAUUUUUUGAUAAAAAUUAUUCUUAAAUCACAAAUUACUCAUAAAUCACUUUUAUUAUUAUUAUUACUAUAUUUUUAAUAACUUAUAAGUUAUUAAUAAAUCAAAAUUAAUCAAACAAAUAUUUUAAGUUCUCAUAAGAGUUUAUGAGAUAAGUAACGUUAAGUCAUGAAUCAACUGAACGGGAUGUAAGUCUUCUUCUCCCCGAGUCAUCAGCAGACUUUUUCCAUGUCUUCUGAGCCCCCAUUGGCUCACAAUUGGCCCAAAAAAUAUUUGGUUAUGCAUUGCUAUUCACACACUUAGACAUCAAAAUUUAUCAUCCGACAGGCGACAGCUAACUGCACACUAUUUUUCCCACAAGCUGAAAAAUCAACGAUCAAUUAAUUUUUCUUAUCAAUUAAUAAAGUUAUGAUUUCACGUACACGGCAGGCAAAAUGCUAAUAAAUAGACGAGUGCAGUAUAGUAUGGGUUCAUGAUCACCUUGAGAUUUAAUUGAAAAAUAUUAUGGUGAUAUAGAUUAAAUUAAAUUAUAAUAUCUUGAAAAGUUAUAAAUAAUUUUAAUUACUAAUAAUAUUUAUUUGUACAUUUAAAUAUUUUUAUAAAAACACAAAAAUAGCAUUAUACUCAUUUAAGUUUCUCGUAUCCGCCUCUCUUCUUGGAGAUUGUGGAUUUGCGAUAUUUAUAUUGAUUAUUAUAGGAAAAUGUUAUUUCCAGAGCAAACAUUUUUAUUUCCGGAGCAAAUUCAAACAAAUUUUUCCAAAUUGUUCUGGAAAUUAAAAUAUUGAUAUGGAUAUAACAAUUCCCUUAUUAUAUCCUAUGUAUAUUACAUUAAUGCAAUUAACAUGGUUGAUUGUUUUAGUAUAUAAUCAUAUUACUGUGACCUUUUAGUAUAUAAUUAUAUUAUUUUUGUUAUAUUUUAUGCAUCUAGAAACAAUUUUUUUAUGAUAUUUAUUAUAUUAAUUAUAGUAAAAGAUAUAAUUUUGUUUAAAAAAUUGAAUAAAACUAAGAGGGAUAGCCUACGUCUCUCCGAGUCUUCGAGGACUCAUUCCAAGUCCGAGAGGACCACAGCCUCAACCUUUAAGAGAUGUGAAAGUAGCUUGAGAGUGAUAUAAAUUUAUUUUUGACAAUAAAAUUUAAUAAUCAAAUAAAUUAAAUUAAAUUAAACUAGUUUAUAAUCGAUUAAAAAUAUAUAAAUCAAAAUUAUUCCCGAAUUAUGAUAACAAUUAAAAUCAUUUUAAAAGUUGCAUAAAUCAAAUCCAAAUCGAACAAAUUCCCCUAACACUAAAAUGUAGUUGCUUUAUUGUAGAUAAAAACAGUAUAAUAAUAGUAUUGAUGAAAAAUCAAAUUCAUCAAAUAAGUUUAUAAAAAAUACAUGAUUUUAAUUUUAAAAAAAAAACAUGAUUUUAGUGUGUUGUAUUAGUAGUGUGUCCACGCAUUUAUAUAUUAAAAUCUAUCCUCUAAAAACUAUCGAUCUAUUUACACAACUAUUGAUCUGUCGUGCAACAAAUUCCAGGGCGAAGUUCCAAAGAGAGCUUAAAUGGCUUGCAUUGCUCAAUCUAUCUCAUAAUAGUCUUAACGACAUAUGUUUUGAAUUAUUAUUAUGAUUUCAACAAUAUUUUCAAACAUUUCUUAAUAUGUAUUUUCAAAGAAUUCUCAAGCACUUGAACAUUUGGACCGGUUCUUUCGAAGCCAGGCAAUGCACAAAAAUGUCCAAAAAUGAAUAAAUUAAGAGAGAGUAGCUCACCCUUUCAAAGCCUUCCAGGACUCAUUCCAAGUCUUCGGAGGACCACUGCCUCCCCCUUUCAAAGAUGUGAUAGUAGCUCGAGAGUGAUAUAAAUUAUUUUCCCGACAUUAAAAAUAAAAAAUCAGAUUAAAUUAAUCAAUAAUAACUUAAGGAUGAAAUCCAAAUUAAUCCUAAAUUUUGAUAAUAUAUAAAAAUUAUAAUUAUAAAUUAUAUAACCAAAUCAGAAUUGAAUUAACUUACUUGGCACUAGAAUUGCUAAAGACAGUAUAAUAAUUUAAUUGAUGAAAAGUCAAAGUCUUCUAAUAAAUCCAUAAAGAAUAUGAUAAUAUGAAAAUUAUAAUUGAAAAAUCAAAAUCAAUAGUGUAUUGGAAUAGUGUUCACACACUUAUAUAUCAAAAUUUGUGGUCCAAAAACUAUAGCACAAUAUCCUAAAUACAUCACAUUAAAUAAUAGCACAAAAAUAUUCAAUAAAUAAUUGAUUUCAUUCAUAAAUUUGUUAUUUUAAAAACUAAUAAUUUGGUUGAUGUUAACCUAUAUUUUAUAUAUAAUUUCGUCUUAUUUUAUUUUACUAGAAACAAUAUUUUUAUAAUAUUUAUUACAUUAAAUAUAUUAAAAGAUAUAAUUUUAUUAAAAAAAUUGAAUAAAAUUAAAAGGAUAAGUCUCGGCCUCUCCAAGUCUACAAGACUCAUUUCACUACAAGAAAAAUGCAUAAAAGCGACCACCUAAAUGCGUGAAUGAAAAAAUAAUUUUAGAAAAACGAAAAUAAUCAUUCGUGACAAGACUAGUUAAAAAUAAUUGUUUAAUUUUUUUGACCAUUAUGAGAAGACACUAUUAAGUCGUUAUUUUUUAUUUCUUCACAUAAUUAAAAUCAACACAUAUUAAGAUAUUUAUGAUUGAAUGGUGAAAAAAAUAAAUCAAAUAUCAUAGAUCACAAGACUAGUUAUUUAAAAUUUUUUAAUUAAUCUUUACUAUUAUAAAAAUAUAUAAAUAAAUAUUUAUUUUUAUUUCUCCACAUCACAAAAAUAAACUCAUGUUAACAUUUAUGUGUGACUCGUGAACUUUUUUAUAAAAAUCAUAAAAUAAUUAAUACUGGCAAAAGCGACCGGCUAUAAAAUGGUAGCUUUUGUUUUUAUAUUUUUUUACUUCUCUUAGGCGGGAAAAUUCCCGCUCAAACACAUGAAAGUUAAAAGCGACCGCUAGACUUAGCCGGUUGCUUUUAUAUUUAAAAGCCACCAAACAAAAGCGACCCCUCGUAAAAGCCACCAAACAAAAGCGACCGCCAAUAAAAGCUACCAAACACGGUCGCUUUUGUUUAUCAGUCAAAUCAAAUUUCUAUUUUGAGUAAAAGCCACCGCUUUCGGUGGCUUUUAUACUUGGUCGCUUUUGUUUGGUGGCUUUUAGUGUUUUUUCUUGUAGUGUUUCAAGUCCACCGAGGGCCUCAACCAUUGAGAGAUGUGAAAGUAGCUUGAGAGUGAUAUAAAUUAUUUUCAUGACAAUAUAAUUUAAUAUCCAAUAUAAAUUAAUUAAAUUAGUUAAUAAUGAAUCAAGACUAAUCAUGAAUUAUGAUAAUAAUUAAAUAAAUUAUAAAAUUAAAUUAUACAAAUAACACUAAACCUUAGUUACUUUAUUGGUAAAAUAAAUAUAAUAUAAUAAUUAAAUUGAUGAAAAAUCAAAAUCAUCUAAUAAAUUCACAAAAAAUAUAUGAUCAUUAGUAUAUUAUAUUAGUAUCCACACACUUAUAUUUCAAAAUCUAUCCUACAAAAUUAUCAUCUCUGUAAACUAGCCACAAAAAAUAAAAAUUUAAAGAUAUUAGAUAUUUAGUUAUUUUCAUUAUAUAAUUUUUCCACACUAAAUAACAAAAUAUCUUUAUCAAAUUAUUAUUUAUGAAUUAAAUAUUCAAGUUAUAAAUUGAAGUGUGCAGUAUGAUAUCAGAUUCACAUAACCCAGUUGAUCAGGAGAAACAUGGCCUACUCUGCAAAGCCUUCUCACCUUCUUCUCUUUGUUUUCUUUCUCUCAUCACUUGAAUGCAUUCUUGCAACAACACGAGAAGGAGAAGCUCUUGUGAAGUGGAAGAAUAGCCUAGCCCCUUCUUCUUUUCUCGACUCUUGGUCACUCACCAAUCUCGAUAAUCUUUGUAAUUGGACUGGCAUUACUUGUAACUCUGCAGGUUCAGUCUCUAAGAUUAACCUUUUUGAGAAACAACUUGAUGGAAUGUUGUCCGAGUUUGGUUUCACUUCAUUUCCAAAUCUCAACAAUCUCACCCUUGCAAACAACUUCUUCUCGGGUCCAAUACCGCCAGCCAUUGAGAAUUUAACACAGCUUCAAUAUCUUGAUUUGAGAAAUAAUUAUCUAGAUGGUCCCAUUCCGUUCCAGGUUAGCCAUCUUCAGAGCUUGCUCAUCUUAAACCUGUCACAGAAUGCAUUGCAAGCUCCAAAUUGGUCCCAUUUCUCUCCCAUGCCUUUCUUGCGCAUCCUCAACCUCAGUUACAAUCCUCUUGCGUCGAAAUUCCCAUAUUUUAUAUCCAAUUCUCAUAGCCUGACUCACCUUAGCCUUAAUUAUAACGAGUUUACUGGUGAUUUAGUACGUGAAUCAGUAUUUGCCAAUCUGCAUAAUCUUGAAGUCCUCAGUCUUGUUGGCAAUUCUUUUGAGGGGUCAUUUCCGCCAGAUAUAUUCAAGCUUUCCAAAUUAAAACGUCUUGCCCUGUCAAGUAACAAAUUUUCAGGUUCAAUUCCCAAUGACUUAAGGUUGCUUCAUGAUCUUGAAUCCCUGUAUUUAGGCAACAAUUCCUUUGAAGGACCGCUUCCACCAAAUAUAUUCAAGCUUUCAAAAUUAAAAAAUCUUGUUAUUUGGAGUAAUAAGUUUUCAGGUUCUGUUUCCAAUGAUAUAGGUUUGCUUUCUGAGCUUGAAACCCUCGAUCUUAACUCUAAUUUUUUUGAGGGGCCGCUUCCGCCAAAUGUAUUCAAGCUCUCCAAACUAAGGUUUCUUCACCUCUGGGGUAAUAACUUUUCAGGUUCUAUUUCCAAUAAUAUAGGUUUGCUUUCUGAGCUUGAAACCCUCGAUCUUAACUCUAAUUUUUUUGAGGGGCCGCUUCCGCCAAAUGUAUUCAAGCUCUCCAAACUAAAGUUUUUUGCCCUUCGUGAGAAUAACUUUUCAGGUUUUAUUUCUAAGGAUAUAGGUUUGCUUUCCCAACUUGAAAGCCUCUAUCUUGGCUCUAAUUUUUUUGAGGGGCCGCUUCCCCCACAUAUAUUUAGGCUCUCCAAAUUAAGAGAUCUGGACCUCUCAGACAAUAGAAAUUUAUUUGAAGGAAGUAUUCCUAUUGGACUGGGACUCUUGACUAAUUUCAGCUUCUUAGAUCUAAAUUCCAAUAAUCUCGGUGGCUAUAUUCCAUCUGACAUUGGAAACCUGAAGCUACUAGUAUAUCUUGAUCUCAGUUCUAAUCAAUUGACUGGACAGCUUUCAAAGAUCAUUUCUAAUCUCACAAAUCUUAUAAGUCUUGAUGUAAGUUAUAAUAGUUUUAGUGGAAAUAUUCAGAGUGACUUGUGGAACUUCCCUAAGGAAUAUAACAAUCAUCCAACUUUGGAAUACAUCGCUUUUAAGUGGGAACCAUUUUACAGGUAUAUUUUCUCUAUAUAUCUUUUCCUUUUCUCAUAUGUAACUAAGCUAGUAAUCUGAUUAUUGCUGUUUUACCAAAUUUUAACAAUCUUGACAGGUGAGCUUCCAACAACAAUUUGCAAUGUCACUUCCCUUUCAAUUCUUGAUUUGUCAAAUAAUGAAUUAAGUGGUGAACUUCCAAACUGUUUCGGGAAUCUUGCUGAUGGAUUGCUUUACAUUAAUCUUGCUAAUAAUCAGUUUCGAGGAACAAUACCAACUACUUUCUCCAGGAGUUGUCAGCUGACAUGCAUAUCUAAACAUGGAUAAUAAUGAGUUUGAAGGAUUGAUGCCCCCAUCUUUGGCGAACUGUAAGCACUUGAAAAUUCUUGAUAUAGGCAAUAAUAAAAUAGGUGGUACAUUUCCGUCAUGGCUUUAUGCACUUGGAGAGCUAGAAGUUCUUGUCUUGCGAUCAAAUAAACUCUAUGGUACAAUAAGUGGAAGGAGCACAGAAGAUCCCUUCCCCAAGUUGCGGAUUAUGGAUUUGUCCAACAAUCAAUUCACAGGCCAUUUGCCAAUUCAAUACUUUAAGAAUAUGAAAUCAACUGAUAAUUUGUAUCGUUUUCAGAAUGUGACAGCAGUUUUUACUAUCCAUUAUGAAGCAGCAGUCUCAUUAACUGUGAAGGGAACAGAGUAUGAAGUGACAAAUAACCUUCAUAUUUACACAGCUAUUGAUCUGUCGUGCAACAAAUUUCAGGGUGAAAUUCCAAAAGUUAUUGGAGAGCUUAGAUGGCUUGCAUUGCUCAACUUAUCGCAUAAUAGUCUGACAGGACAUAUCCCGUCAUUGCUGAGAAAUAUGAAAGAACUCCAAUCUUUAGAUUUGUCCUCAAAUCAACUGACAGGGGCUAUUCCACCUCAGUUAACUGCACUGACAUUUCUAGAAGUCUUAAACCUCUCGGGAAACCAUCUUAGUGGAGAGAUUCCUCAGAAAGGACAAUUCAGCACAUUCAACAAUGAUUCUUAUCUAGGAAACUCCGCAUUAUGUGGAUCACCAUUGAUGAAGAAAUGUGCAAACACAGCAUCACCUCCACAAGAAGUCGGAAAUGGUGAUGAAGAUGAUGCUGGAGAUGAAUUGACAUGGGAAGCAAUCGUGAUGGGAUAUGGAUGUGGACUGAUAUGUGGAUUGUCAUCUGCAUACAUUGUUCUCAAACUAGGAAAGCCUUGGUGGUUUGUGAGAUAUAUCGAAGUGCUGCAACUGAAGUUGAUGAAAAGAUAUGCAUGAAGAAUGGUACUGGCCAAUCAAGACCAACUUGAAAGUUGUUGGACAUUUCUGAACCAGUAGUGUACUAUUCUCUUUGUGGCUGCAUAAGUUUUUGGUAUUGGUGUAAUAUUUUGUUUGGUCUUGAAUCAUAAUGAUUUUUCUUUUUUCAGGGGUAUUAAUAUAAACCUUGGUAUUGUGUAAUAUUCUGUUUGAUCAAUGUUUAUAUCAGUAAUUAUAUGCUCCUCACUGCAUCAUGCAGCUCUCAUAAUAUUAUUAUUAUUAUUAUUAUUAUUAUUAUUAUUAUUAUUAUUAUUAUUAUUAUUAUUAUUAUUAUUAUUAUUAUUAUUAAUUGAUUACACACUCACACGUGGGGAGUCGACCUCCCGACCUCCAGCAAAGGGGUAAAAGAGCUCUCAUAUUAUCUUCAUAUGUGUAUUAUUUGGAUAUCAAAGUUGCAGGGACAUAUGGAUAUGUGUUAACAGGGACUGCUCGGUCUUGGACGGACUCUUUCCAAGUCCUCUGGGGUCCUAUCGAUUCAAAUUAGUCUAUUAUCUGCAUACUAGCUAAUUUGUCCAACUCGGGCUUCAAUAGUAAAGAUAAUAGGUGCGAGUUGAGUUUCUCAAAGUAUGAGUACAAUAUCGUUUUUUAAUGAUAGUUAGGGGGUGUGAUAUGCAAUUACCUCAAAAAUAUAUGAUCAUUAGUAUAUUAUAUUAGUAUCCACACACUUAUAUCUCAAAAUCUAUCCUCCAAAAUUAUCAUCUCUAUAGGCUAGCCACAUAAAAUAAAAAUUUAAAGAUAUUAGAUAUUUAGUUAUUUUCAUCAUAUAAUUUUUCCAUGCAAAAUAACAAAAUAUCUUUAUCAACUUAUUAUUUAUGAGUUAAAUAUUCAAGUUAUAUAAUUCGGGCAUGCUGGGUAUAAAUAGAAGUGUAACGCCUAAUUUCCGGGGUCUGGGAGUAGUUGGCGGGGUAUGAGAGAGCAGGCUAUUCAGAAGUCUUGGUCAUGAAAACUUCCAAGCUAACUUCGACAACGGAAUCUUCUGAGGCUACUAUUCUAAAGCACGCAUAAUCAUUGUAUUCAUAUUCCUCUCACACUGACAAAAAGUCUAUUUAAGCAAAUGAAAUACAAACAACUGAGUGGAAUGCUGACCGAAAAUCUUUUUGGCUGAGCUUAUGAGUUAUUAGUACAUGAUUAAUAUGAUAAGCUAAGCUGAGAGCAUAAGAUAUCGUUUGUAUAAUUUUGUGUUUAUUAAUGACUUAUAAAUUAUUAAAAAUAUAAUAAGAAAAAUAAAAAUGUUUUAUAACUAAUUUAUGUUUCAUGAGUAAUUUUUAUUAGAAAAAAGUUUUAAAAAAUUAUUUCACUGGAAAAAAACCUCCAACUAACUUUUGGCUCUAAAGUCAGUUUGUGACUUAUUUCUGACUUUAAAUCGGCUUCUCACUUUUACACAAACAAAAAUUUUUCAGCUUAAAGUUAAAAACAACUUUAAGCUCCGGUUUUAAACCUCGACAAACAUGCUCUGAGUUUGGUUUCACUUCAUUUACAAACCUCAACAAUUUCACCAUCAAACACAAUGACUUCUCCAAUCUCCGGUCAAGUACCACCAGCCAUUGAGAAUUUGGCACAACUUCAAUUCCAUACCAGGUUAGUCAUCUUCGGAGAUUACACGUCUUAGACCUGUCAAAUACAAAUUUCAAUCUCCAAACUGGUCCGACUUAUCUUCUAUGCUUUUUGUUGAGUCCGGCUCAUCUAAAGCCUUAAGAUGUUAGAAGAAGCCCCCAAUGAAUCUUAUAUAUGCUAUAUUUUAACAAUUCUGAGCACACUCAACCUUGGUAUUAAUAAUAUUGUGUCGAAAAUUCCAGAAUUUAUAUCUAAUUCUCAUAGCCUAACUUUCCUUGACCUUUCCAUAUAACAAAUUUACAGUUAAUCCUGUGCUUGAAUCAGUAUUUGCAACCAAAAUUAUGCAAUUAUAGUGCAGGUAGUCUUCCAGUUCUUCCUACUCUAUGCUAUAAUUUCAUUUGAUACCAAUAAUUUUACGCUCUACACUCCAGGAUGAGCUCGCAUAUUAUUGACAGCUAUAAUCCUUCCAACAAUUUGCGAUGCAAAGCAGGGGGGCGCCUGUAUUUUCAUAUGUCUAUAUUAUUGGAGAUUAAAGUUGUAUGGACAAUUGUGUUGAUAAUUUGCCCAAUGUUAACAGGGAUAGGUUGGCUUAAUUUGCCCAAUGUUAACAGGGAUAGGUUGGCUUAAUUUGCCCAAUGUUAACAGGGAGAUUAAAUGGCUUGCAUUGCUCAACGUAUAUCUCAUAAUAGUCUUACCGGACAUAUGUUAUGCAUUAUUAUUAUGCUUUCAUCACUAUUUUCAAACAUUUCUCAAUAUAUAUUUUCAAAGAAUUCUCAAGCACUUGAACAUUUGGACCGGUUCUUUCGAAGCCAAGAUGCCCAGGGUAUCAUGGCCAUGCACAAAAAUGAAUAAAUUAAGAGAGAUUGCUCAGGGUCUCCCCAAGCCUUUCAGGACUCAUUCCAAGUCUUCGAGGACCACUGCCUCACUCUUUCAAAGAUGUGAUAGUAGCUCGAGAGCGAUAUAAAUGAUUUUCCUGACACUAAAAAUAAAAAAAUCAGAUCAAAUUAAUCAAUAAUAAAUUAAAGAUGCAAUCCAAAUUAAUCCUAAAUUUUGAUGAUAUAUAAAAAUUAUAAUUAUAAAUUAUAUAACCAAAUCAGAAUUGAAUUAACUUACUUGGUACUAAAAUUGAUAAAAACAGUAUAAUAAUUUAAUUGAUGAAAAUUCAAAGUCUUCUAAUAAAUCCAUAAAAAAUUUGAUAAUCAAAAUAACGAAAAUUAUAAUUGAAAAAUCAAAAUCAAUAGUGUAUUGGAAUAUUGUUCACACACUUAUAUAUCAAAAUUUGUGGUCCAAAAACUAUAGCACAAUAUCCUAAAUACACCACAUUAAAUAAUAGUUCAAAAAUAUUCAAUAGAUAAUUGAUUUCAUUCAUAAUUUUGUUAUUUUAAAAACUAAUAAUUUGGUUGAUGUUAACCUAUAUUUUAAUAUAUAAUUAUAUUAUUUUCAUCUUAUUUUAUUUAACCAGAAACAAUAUUUUUAUAAUAUUUAUUACAUUAUUUAUAUUAAAAAAUAUAAUUUCAUUAAAAAAAUUGAAUAAAAUUAAGAGGAUAACUCUAUGCCUCUCCAAGUCUACAAGACUCAUUUCAAGUCUACCUCGGACCACUACCUCAACCAUUCAGAGAUGUGAAAGUAGUUUGAGAGUGACAUAAAUUAUUUUCGUGACAAUAAAAUUUAAUAUCUAAUAUAAAUUAAUUAAAUUAGAUAAUAAUAAAUCAAAACUAAUUAUGAAUUAUGAUAAUAAUUAAAUAAAUUAUAAUUAAAUUAUAUAAAUCAACUCCAAAUGAUACAAAUAACACUAAACCUUGGUUACUUUGUUGGUAAAUAAAUAUAAUAUAAUAAUCAAAUUGAUGAGAAAUGAAAAUCAUCUAAUAAAUUCACAAAAAAUAUAUGAUCAUUAGUAUAUUAUAUUAGUAUCCACACACUUAUAUUUCAAAAUCUAUCCUCCAAACUUAUCAUCUCCGUAAACUAGCCACAUAAAAUAUAAAUUUAAAGAUAUUAGAUAUUUAGUUAUUUUCAUUAUAUAAUUUUUCCACACUAAACAACAAAAUAUUUUUAUCAAAAUUAUUAUUUAUGAGUUAAAUAUUCAAGUUAUAAUUCCAGCAUGCAGCGUAUAAAUAGAAGUGUGCAGUAUGAUAUCAGAUUCAUAACCCAGUUGAUCAGAAGAAACAUGGCCUACUCUGCAAAGCCUUCUCACCUUCUUCUCUUUGUUUUCUUUCUCUCAUCACUUGAAUCCAUUCUUGCAACAACACGAGAGGGAGAAGCUCUUGUGAAGUGGAAGAAUAGCCUAGCCCCUUCUUCUUUUCUCGACUCUUGGUCACUCACCAAUCUCGAAAAUCUUUGUAACUGGACUGGCAUUACUUGUAACUCUGCAGGUUCAGUCUCUGAGAUUAACCUUUUUGAGAAACAACUUAAUGGAAUGCUGUCCGAGUUCGGUUUCACUUCAUUUCCAAAUCUCAACAAUCUCACCCUCGCAUACAACUUCUUCUCGGGUCCAAUACCACCAGCCAUUGAGAAUUUAACACAGCUUCAAUAUCUUGAUUUAAGCAUGAAUAGUCUUAAUGGUCCCAUUCCGUUCCAGGUUAGCCAUCUUCAGAGUUUGCUCAUAUUAAACCUGUCACAGAAUGCAUUGCAAGCUCCAAAUUGGUCCCAUUUCUCUCCCAUGCCUGUUUUGCGCUUCCUCAAGCUCAGUAGAAAUCCUCUUGUGUCGAAAUUCCCAAAUUUUAUAUCCAAUUCUCAUAGCCUGACUUAUCUCAACCUUUCACAUAACAAGUUUAGUGGUGAUCUUGUACGUGAAUCAGUAUUUACCAAUCUGCAUCAUCUUGAAGUCCUCAGUCUUGUUGGCAACUCUUUUGAGGGGUCAUUUCCGCCAGAUAUAUUCAAGCUUUCCAAAUUAACACGUCUUGCCCUGUCAAGUAACAAAUUUUCAGGUUCAGUUCCCAACGACAUAAGGUUGCUUUGUGGUCUUGAAUACCUAUAUUUAGCUGACAAUUCCUUUGAAGGACCGCUUCCACCAGAUAUAUUCAAGCUUUCAAGAUUAAAACAUCUUGUUCUUUGGAGUAAUAAGUUUUCAGGUUCUGUUUCCAAUGAUAUAGGUUUGCUUUCUGAGCUUGAAGCCCUCAAUCUUGACUCUAAUUUUUUUGAGGGGCCGCUUCCCCUAAAUUUAUUCAAGCUCUCCAAACUAAAAUUUCUCACCCUGACAAGUAACAAAUUUUUAGGUUCAAUUCCCAAUGACAUAAGGUUACUUUGUGAUCUUGAAUACCUAUAUUUAGGCAACAAUUCCUUUGAAGGACCGCUUCCACCAAAUAUAUUCAAACUUUCAAAAUUAAAAGAUCUUGUUCUUUGGGGUAAUAAGUUUUCGGGUUCUGUUUCCAAUGAUAUAGGUUUGCUUUAUGAGCUUGAAACCCUCGAUCUUAACUCUAAUUUUUUUGAGGGGCCGCUUCCGCCAAAUUUAUUCAAGCUCUCCAAACUAAAGAUUCUUUCCCUUUAUAAGAAUAACUUUUCAGGUUUUAUUUCUAAGGAUAUAGGUUUGCUUUUCGAACUUGAAAGCCUCUAUCUUGGCUCUAAUUUUUUUGAGGGGCUGCUUCCCCCACAUGUAUUUAGGCUCUCCAAAUUAAGAGAUCUGGGUCUCUCAGACAAUAGAAAUUUAUUUGAAGGAAGUAUUCCUAUUGGACUGGGACUCUUGACUAACCUCAGGUACUUAGAUCUACAUUCCAAUAAUCUCGGUGGCUAUAUUCCAUCUGACAUUGGAAACCUGAAGCUACUAGUACUUCUUGAUCUCAAUUCUAACCAAUUGACUGGACCGCUUUUAAAGAUCGUUUCUAAUCUCACAAAUCUUAUGUUUCUUGAUGUAAGUGAUAAUAGUCUUAGUGGAAAUAUUCAGAGAGACUUGUGGAACUAUAACGAUCAUCCAACUUUGGAAUUCAUCAAUUUAAGUGGGAACCAUUUUACGGGUAUAGUUUUUCUCUAUAGAUCUUUCCUUUUGUCAUAUGUAACUAAGCUAGUAAUCUGAUUAAUUGCAGUUUUACCAAAGUUUCAACAAUCUUGACAGGUGAGCUUCCAACAACAAUUUGCAAUGUCACUUCCCUUUCGGUUCUUGAUUUGUCAAAUAAUGCAUUAAGUGGUGCACUUCCAAACUGUUUCGGGAAUCUUGCUGAUGGAUUGCUUUACAUUAAUCUUGCUAAUAAUCAGUUUCGAGGAACAAUACCAACUACUUUCUCCAGGAGUUGUCAGCUGACAUAUCUGAACAUGGAUGAUAAUCAGUUUGAAGGAUUGUUACCCCCAUCUUUAGCGAACUGUAAGCACUUGAGAAUCCUUGAUAUGGGCAACAAUAAAAUAGGUGAUACAUUUCCGUCAUGGCUUUAUGUACUUGGAGCGCUAGAAGUCCUUGUCUUGCGAUCAAAUAAACUCUAUGGUACAAUAAGGGCAAGGAGCAUAGAAGAUCCCUUCCCCAAGUUGCGGAUUGUGGAUCUGUCCAACAAUCAAUUCAUGGGCCAUUUGCCAAUUCAAUACUUUAAGAAUAUGAAAUCAAAUGAUAAUUUGUAUCGUUAUCUGAAUUCCACAGGAGAAAUAGAUAUCUCUUAUGAAGCAGCAGUCUCAUUAACUGUGAAGGGAACAGAGUAUGAAGUAGCAAAUAACCUUCAUAUUUACACAGCCAUUGAUCUGUCGUGCAACAAAUUUCAGGGAGAAAUUCCAAAGGUUGCCGGAGAGCUUAGAUGGCUUGCAUUGCUCAAUUUAUCUCAUAAUAGUCUAACAGGACCUAUCCCAUCAUUGCUGAGAAAUAUGAAAGAACUCCAAUCUUUAGAUUUGUCCUCAAAUCAACUGACAGGGGCUAUUCCACCUCAGUUAACUGCAUUGACAUUUCUAGAGGUCUUAAAUCUCUCGAACAACGAUCUCAGUGGAGAGAUUCCUCAGAAAGGACAGUUCAGCACAUUCAACAAUGAUUCUUAUCUAGGAAACUCCGCGUUAUGUGGAUCACCAUUGACGAAGAAAUGCGCAAACACAGCAUCACCUCCACAAGAAGUCAGAAAUGGUGAUGAAGAUGAUGCUGGUGAUGAAUGGACAUGGGAAGCAAUCGUGAUGGGAUAUGGAUGUGGACUGAUAUGUGGAUUGUCAUCUGCGUACAUUGUUCUCAAACUAGGAAGGCCUUGGUGGUUUGUGAGAUAUGUCGAAGUAUUGCAACUGAAGUUGAUGAAAAGAUAUGCUUGAAGAAUGGUAUUUGGUCUUGUACUAGCUGCAUAAGUAUUUGGCAUUGUGUAGUAUUCUGUUUGGUCUUGAAUUAUAAUGAUUUUUCUUGCUUCAGGGGUAUUAAUAUAAACCUUGCUAUCUUGCUCAGUGUUAAUGCAAAUUAAGAUGAAUGAAUAAACAAAAAAUAUGCAUCAAAUUAAGAAUUCAGAAAUGGUGAUACUCAUGCAGUGUCACCAACUCAAGAAUUCAGAAAUGGUGAUACUCAUGAAGAUGACGAUGCUGAUGAUGAACUUUGAUGUGGGACUUGGGUUGACCACUUGUUGGGCCGCACAACACCUGUUAAGCAUUAGUAUGACGUUGUCCGCUCUGGAUCGUGACCAAGCCCGCACGGAUUUGUUUUCGAGCUCCUCUCAAAAGGUCUAAAACUAAUGGAGUUGUUUGGCUGCUUAUAUUCAAGAUAAAUCUUUUUGAUGUGGGAUUUGGGUUGACACCCACACAACAAGACGUGAGGAAAUAUUGUUGUCUUGAGAUGACAUAUGUUCUGAAUUAUUAUUAUGCUUUCAACAAUAUUUUCAAACAUUUUUCAAUAUGUAUUUUUAAAGAAUUCUCAAGCACUCGUGACCCCUAUAAUUUUUUCUCAGGCAACGCCUAUAGUUUCAAAGAAUUCCCAGGCACUUAAACAUUUGGACCGGUUCUUUGGAAGCCAAGAUGCCCAGGUUAUCAUGGCCAUGCACAAAAUGCAGUACCAAAGAAAAAAAAUAAUAAAUUAAGAGAGAUUGCUCUGGGUCACCCCAAGCCUUCGAGGACUCAUUCCAAGCCUCGCCCUUUCAAAGAAGUGAUAGUAGCCGGAAAGUGAUAUAAAUUAUUCUCCGGACACUAAAACUAAAUAAUCAGAUCAAAUUAAUCAAUAAUAAAUUAAAGAUAUGAAAUCAAAAUUAAUCCUAAAUUUUGAUAAUAUACAAAAAUUAUAAUUAUAAAUUUUAUUAUCAAAUCAAGAUUAAAUUAACUUACAUGGCCGUUAAAAUUGAUAAACGCAAUAUAAUAGGGUUAAAAAUGGGGCGGGUUCGGGACGGGUACUUCAUUUCCCAGCCUCGUCCCAUAUAUAUUUUUCCUGCCCCGUCUCCGCCCCAUUCUCCACGAAGAUUUAUUUUUAAUCCCCAUUGCCGCCCGCCCCACCGGGGAUUGAAUAUAAUUUCGCCCCGCCCCGCUGCUAUAAUAUUACACUUUAAUUAAUUACCUUAAAAUUUAAUAAUCAGAAUUUAAUAAAAAUAUACGAGACAUGUAUAUUAAAAGCAAAAAACUAAAUAUAAUAGAAAUCAAAGAGACAUGUUAUACAUUGUAAAAUUAUAGUUUUAUGUAUUAUAUAAUAGAUAAUAUUAAAUAUAUUAUAUUAAAUAUAAUUAUUUAUUUUUAUUAAAUAUAUGCGGGGCGGGGUGGGGAAUCCCCGCGGGAAUUCAACAAAUACCAUGCUUGCCCCAUAUUUUAGCGGGGCAGAUAAUCAUUCUCCGUCACUACCCCAUUCCCCAUAGAGUAGUGCUAGAUGCACAAAAUUGGAUACAUAAUUUUACACAAAAUGACAUGGCAAUCUAGGUGGAGAGCUUUAAUUGGUAUUAUUAAUGCAUGUGCAGGGGCUCAUUCCAAUCACAAAUUGACACAUACUCAUUCUGUGAAUAUUUCUGUACUCAAUUCUGUGCAGGUAGCAUUUUUCUUCCCCAUAUUAGCGGGGCGCAUCGGCUCCAUUCGGGGCGGGUUCCCCAUUUUCCCCACCCAAUUUUUAACCCUACAAUAGUAAUCAAAUUGAUGAAAAGUCAAAGUCCUCUAAUAAAUCCAUAAAGAAUAUGAUAAUCAAAACUACAAAAAUUAUAAUUGAAAAAUCAAAAUCAUCCUAAUAAGUUCAUAGAAUAUAUAUGAUCAGUAGAGCAUUAGAAUAGUGUUCACACACUUAUAUGUCAAAAUUUGUGGUCCAAAGACUAUGACACAAUAUCCUAAAUACACCCCCAUUGAAUAGUAGUUCAAAAUAUUUAAUAUAUAAUUGUUUUCAUUCAUAAUUUUGUUAUUAUUUAAAAAAUAAUAAUUUAAUUGCUGUUAACCUUUAUUUUAAUAUAUAAUCAUAUCGUUUCCUUACAAUUUAAUUAUCUAGAAACAAUAUUUUUGUUAUAAUCAUUACAUUAAUUAUAUUAAAAAAUAUAAUUUUGUUAAAACAUUGAAUGAAAUUAAGAGUAUUAAUCUACGUCUCUCCAAGUCUACAGGACUCAUUCCAAGUCUGCGUGAGACCACUGCCACCACCUUUGAGAGAUGUGGAAGUGGAAGUAGCUUCAGAUUGACCUAAAUUAUUUCCUGACAAUAAAUUUAAUAUCCGAAAUAAAUUAAAUUAAACUAGUUUUUUGAAACAAUUAAAUUAAACUAGUUAAUAAUAAAUUAAGAAUAUAUAAAAUCAAAACUAAUCAUGAAUUAUGAUAAUAAUUAAAUAAAUUAUAAUUAAGCUAUAUAAAUCAACUCCAAAUGACACCAACAGCACCAAACCUUAGUUACUUUAAUAUUGGUAAAUAAAUAUAAUAUAAUAAUCAAUUGAUGAAAAAUCAAAUCAUCUAAUAAAUUCACAAAAAAUAUAUGAUCAUUAGUAUAUUAUAUUAGUAUCCACACACUUAUAUUUCAAAAUCUAUCCUCCAAAAUUAUCAUCUCGAUAAACUAGCCACAUAAAAUAAAAAUUUAAAGAUAUUAGAUAUUUAGUUAUUUUCAUUAUAUAAUUUUUCCACACUAAAUAACAAAAUAUUUUUAUCAAAUUAUUAUUUAUGAGUUAAAUAUUCAAGUUAUAAAUCCAGCAUGCAGCGUAUAAAUAGAAGUGUGCAGUAUGAUAUCAGAAUCAUAACCCAGUUGAUCAGGAGAAACAUGGCAUACUCUGCAAAGCCUUCUCACCUUCUUCUCUUUGUUUUCUUUCUCUCAUCACUUGAAUCCAUUCUAACAACACGAGAGGGAGAAGCUCUUGUGAAGUGGAAGAAUAGCCUAGCCCCGUCUUCUUUUCUCGACUCUUGGUCACUCACCAAUCUCGAUAAUCUUUGUAACUGGACUGGCAUUACUUGUAACUCUGCAGGUUCAGUUUCUGAGAUUAACCUCUGUGAGAAACAACUUGAUGGAAUGCUGUCCGAGUUCGGUUUCACUUCAUUUCCAAAUCUCAAGAAUCUCACCCUGGCAGACAACUUCUUCUCGGGUCCAAUACCACCAGCCAUUGAGAAUUUAACACAGCUUCAAUAUCUUGAUUUAAGCAUGAAUAGUCUUAAUGGUCCCAUUCCGUUCCAGGUUAGCCAUCUUCAGAGUUUGCUCAUAUUAAACCUGUCACAGAAUGCAUUGCAAGCUCCAAAUUGGUCCCAUUUCUCUCCCAUGCCUGUUUUGCGCUUCCUCAAGCUCAGUAGAAAUCCUCUUGUGUCGAAAUUCCCAAAUUUUAUAUCCAAUUCUCAUAGCCUGACUUAUCUCAACCUUUCACAUAACAAGUUUAGUGGUGAUCUUGUACGUGAAUCAGUAUUUAUACCAAUCUGCAUCAUCUUGAAGUCCUCAGUUUUUCACCGAAGAGUUGUGUGAGCCUAUUUUAGACAAUGGAUUCUCUUACAAUGGUAUAACCUCUGUAACAGUUGUGUCAUUUUUAAUGACACAACAUAUGUGCGUAUAAAAACCGUUGUCUAUUAGACACUACAGGACAAAAUUUACCUUUUUACAAUAAGACAAAAUUUACCUUUGACUGUUAUUGUUAAAAAAACAUACAUAAUAAACGUAAAAAAUUUUGAAUUUUUUUAUGUAUGAUUAAUAUUGUUAAUUCUCGAGAUCCGUACGGUCAGAUCAUCGAAAAAAAUAUUUAUAAAUUAAUACAGAGUUAAUCGUAUACAUAACAAAGAUUCUAUUGAGUACUUUCUAAAUUGUAACCAUAAAACAAAUACUAAUAUCCACAUCCGAACUACAAAAUUAUCUUCAUUGUACAAAUGAACAAUAUAUAUUUGCAUAUAUGCAUAAUAUAAAUAUAUGUUUUAAGAUAAACUGUGCAAAAAUUAGAAUUUAUCAAGGAAUAGAGAAUUUUUAACUUUUAAAAAGAAAAAUUAAUCAUAAAACAGUUUCAUUGCCAUAAAUAAUUAAUAAUUAAUUCAAUUGUAACCCCUAAAAUAAUUACUAAUUAAUAAUUAAUACAGUGCUAAUCGUAUAUAUAACAAAAAUUCUAUUAUGUACUUCCUAAAUUAUAACUUUAAACACAUACUAAUACUAUUAUAUAAUAUUUUUCAAUUAUUAAUAUUAUAAUAUAUAUUAUAAUACAACUAAUUCUUUUAAAUUUUCAAUUAAAUUUUAAUAUUCUAUAAUAUAUAGAUAUAUGAAUUUAAGUAAUAUAACUUUUAAUUAUAUUACACAUAUUUCUUCUUGUUUUUAAUAAAUUAUUUAAAUUAAGAUAAUAUUAAUUAUUUUCUUGACGCAAAAACAAUUUUAAUUAUUAAUUAAAGAAUUAAAAGGAAAAAAAAGUAGAUCUGCCCAAUGUACAGGUGAAAGUGAGAAGCGGCAAAGUUCCCCCCAAAACUAAAAACCACUGCCGAGUAAAAACCCCUAACCUGUACUCUCAAAAAACUUCUCACUCACAAACACUCUCCCUGGAUCUAUGUAUCUAUCAACACUCGGGGGGUUUGUUAUGUUUAAAUGGAAGCAAAACAAUGCUAUAGUCAUUUUCAGUAUCCAUGUGGUCCUCUUGCAUCUCGGUUUGCUCUGCUUUUCACAUGUUUGUGGCCAACAUGAAUCUUAUAUCUUGUUUAUGAGUUUAAUUUUGUUUAUUUGUAUUUGAGUGGCUUGAUUUUGUAUUUCUUCACUACUAAUUGUUAUUUUCUAAAUUAUCCAUGUGAUUAGGGCUCAUUUUUAGGGGAACUUUGAAUUAGGUCAUUAAAUUACAGUUUUGGUGAAUUGGGGCUUUCAUUGUAUAUAUUUGAUUACAUACAACUGUUAAUAUUUGAGCAGCCAAGGCUCAAGAGCUCAAAAGAUGACAUAUCGAUGGGGUGACAUGUAUGGCUAACAAUCGGAGUAAUUUGAAAGGAUUAUUUUUUCGUUGGGCUGACAGAGGUAUAUUGUUCUUGACACUGGUUUUUAACUUGCUGUCUUUAGUUUAGUUGUGAAUAAUGAGAUGGUUGGAUAUUCUAUUUCGUAUUGUUGUAUGUGGUCGUUAGCAGAAGCUCAUUAAGUCUGCUAUGGUUUAUAGAUUUUAUAACAUUGAUAAGUAUGGUUUGGGUGUCUAGGCUAGUUUUGUUUGUGUGUGUAAUGGAUGUGUUUUGAUUUUUCUGAUUUUUCUGAUUUUUCGAUCAUCUACUUCUUUUUUGUUGCGGGGUUGUUAUUUGUUUACUCUUGUUCCCUGCAAAGAAAUAAGUGUGGAUAGUUAUGCAUUGGAAUCAUAAGUAGCAAUUAAGUGUUAAUUUCCAAUUCAACGAGUUCAAUGCACGCCUGUCUUCAACUAGAUCCGUUUCUUAAUGAAUUUACAAGCAUGUUUGAGCACAAUACUGAGCAGGGUUGUGUGUAGGUCACUUUAUAUAUUUUAGUAUCAAGAGACGUAUUAUGUUGAUAUGUGCUGUAUAAAAUAUUUAAUUGAAGCUAGGUUUAUGUGUAACUGUUACUCAUCUGGCUAUGGAAUACAUUCCCAGAUUAAAAAAUUUGAUAAUGAUUGAUACUGUCUUGUCACUCCAUUAAACAUGACGUAACAUCUGUAUUCAACUUUGGACUUCAUUAAUUGGUGUUAGUCGUGCAAUAUGUUUAAAUUAAAAAAGUUAUGUUUCUUUUAUAUGUUCGAAUUUACUCCAAAUUGCAUGUGGGCGUUUCACUUCUUAUGAGCAGGCUGUGCUUUGGGAAGUUUAGGCAUGCUUUGAGAAUAGAUAUUUUAAUCAAACUGUGCACUUUAGAUAUAAAAAAUCUUGCUGUUCUGAUGGAUUGUAUGGUGUGGAACAAGAGCUGUGUUCCAAGUUAUGCUCAAGACUGUGGGUUUUUUUUGUUUUUAACACCCUUCCAUAACUUCUCCAUCUUAGUUAUUAAACUCUUUCAUUCUGUAUUCCUAACUAUACCAUUCUUUUUUCCACAUAAACCAAGCCAUAAUAAGAAACUGACUUUCUCAAGGAACAAAGGACUAUCACCACAUGGCAGGAUUGUGCAUAGGCGUGCAUAUGCUUGAGUAAGUACACUUUUGGACUUAUGUUGUGAAGUAUUAUUUUUACAAAUGUCAUCCUUCUGGUCAUAUGACAAAUCUUUUCCCUAUCAUUUCUGUAAUUUGUUUUAAAGGUUAGAGCAAGAGUGGAGAUGUCCCAAAUUGAUGCAGUUGCUUACAACAUUGGCAUGGCUUUGUGGAAAGUUUUUGGUGGAGCUUCUAGCACAAUAAAACAGAUAUAAUAGUUUAGUUUCCGAGCUACACCAUUUCCCGGCUCAUUUUGUCGGCUUCUAUCGACUCUAUACAGGCUCUUGCCAGUUGUGUGAAACAUUACAAGAUUUUACAUUUUUAUAUGUGGUUGUACGUUGAUACUAUAGUUGGUAAUGAAAAUUUUUGUUACUAAUUUAUGGCUUGUUAAUUAUAUUCUCCAGCAUAGUUUAAUUAGAUUAUGUAAAACCAUUGUCUGACAUAACUAAACACAAAAGGAAAAGAAAAAGAAAACAGUUGUCCCAAGACUUACAAACAACACAAUUUUAAAAAUAAAAUCGUUGUCUAAGACAUAUACAAAUAAGUAAAUAGUAGUAACAAACCAUUGUCUAAAUCAGUAUUAUUCAAGCAUUUUGAACAAAAACUGUUGUAGAAGAGCUUUCACACAAUUGUUUCAUUAUAUAAACUAUUGUUAUACGGAGCUUCACAGAAGUGACCACUGCUCUAAGCCCGUUGUACAAGGUAGUAAAACACGAGCCUCUAAAACGCAAACAAUCUUGUCUGAUACUCUUAUUAACAAGUAAAUAUAUCCACAAACUGUUGUGGAUAGUCCUAAUAACAACACAAAUUCCAAAUAUGACUGUUGUUAUAAAAUGUUUAUAACAACACUUUGUUAAACUAAUCUGUUGUUGUUUGUGGGUGUAACACAACACGCUGUUAAAUAUAAACCGUUGUGUUUCUUGAUCUCACACAACGGUACGUACCGUUGUCUGAGGCGCGUAUCAGACGGCAUCGCAAUAGACCACGGUUUUCUUGGGUAUCAGACAACGGGCAAAAACCGUUGUCUGAUGCUGUUUUUGUUGUAGUGACAAUUCCUUUGAAGGACCGCUUCCACCAGGUAUAUUCAAGCUUUCAAAAUUAAAACAUCUUUUUCUUUGGGGUAAUAAGUUUUCAGGUUCUGUUUCCAAUGAUAUAUGUUUGCUUUCUGAGCUUGAAAGCCUCGAUCUUAACUCUAAUUUUUUUGAGGGGCCGCUUCCGCCAAAUGUAUUCAAGCUCUCCAAAUUAAAGUUACUUUCCCUUCAGAAGAAUAACUUUUCAGGUUUUGUUUCCAAUGAUAUAGGUUUGCUUUCUGAGGUUGAAACUCUCGAUCUUCACUCUAAUUUUUUUGAGGGGCAGCUUCCGCCAAAUAUAUUCAAGCUCUCGAAACUAAGAUUUCUUGCCCUUUGGCAGAAUAACUUUUCAGGUUCUGUUUCCAAUGAUAUAGGUUUGCUUUCUAAGCUUGAAACCCUCGAACUUGACUCCAAUUUUUUUGAGGGGCCGCUUCCGCCAAAUAUAUUCAAGCUUUCCAAAUUAAGAGUUCUUUCCCUUGACAAUAAUAACUUUUCAGGUUGUGUUUCCAAUGAUAUAGGUUUGCUUUCUGAGCUUGAAACCCUCCGUCUUGGCUUCAAUUCUUUUGAAGGACCGGUUCCACCAAAUAUAUUCAAGUUUUCCAAAUUAACAGGUCUUGACCUCUCAGGCUAUAGAAAUUUAUUUGAAGGUAGUAUCCCUAUUGGACUGGGACUCUUGACUAACCUCAGCUACUUAGAUCUAAGUUCCAAUAAUCUCAGUGGCUAUAUUCCAUCUGAACUUGGAAACCUUAAGCUACUAGUAUUUCUUGAUCUCAGUUCUAACCAAUUGACUGGACCGCUUUUAAAGAUCGUUUCUAAUCUCACAAAUCUUAUAUAUCUCCAUGUACAAGAUAAUAGUCUUAGUGGGAAUAUUCGCAGUGACUUGUGGAAAAACUCUUUAUCCUUACGUUACAUUGAUCUUGAAAAUAAUUAUUUGUCUGGGAACAUUCCUAAGGAAUAUAACGAUCAUCCAACUUUGGAAUACAUCAAUUUAGGUGGGAACCAUUUUACAGGUAUAUUUUUCUCUAUAUAUCUUUUCCUUUUGUCAUAUGUAACUAAGCUAGUAAUCUGAUUGAUGCAGUUUUACCAAAGUUUCAACAAUCUUGACAGGUGAGCUUCCANNNNNNNNNNNNNNNNNNNNNNNNNNNNNNNNNNNNNNNNNNNNNNNNNNNNNNNNNNNNNNNNNNNNNNNNNNNNNNNNNNNNNNNNNNNNNNNNNNNNNNNNNNNNNNNNNNNNNNNNNNNNNNNNNNNNNNNNNNNNNNNNNNNNNNNNNNNNNNNNNNNNNNNNNNNNNNNNNNNNNNNNNNNNNNNNNNNNNNNNNNNNNNNNNNNNNNNNNNNNNNNNNNNNNNNNNNNNNNNNNNNNNNNNNNNNNNNNNNNNNNNNNNNNNNNNNNNNNNNNNNNNNNNNNNNNNNNNNNNNNNNNNNNNNNNNNNNNNNNNNNNNNNNNNNNNNNNNNNNNNNNNNNNNNNNNNNNNNNNNNNNNNNNNNNNNNNNNNNNNNNNNNNNNNNNNNNNNNNNNNNNNNNNNNNNNNNNNNNNNNNNNNNNNNNNNNNNNNNNNNNNNNNNNNNNNNNNNNNNNNNNNNNNNNNNNNNNNNNNNNNNNNNNNNNNNNNNNNNNNNNNNNNNNNNNNNNNNNNNNNNNNNNNNNNNNNNNNNNNNNNNNNNNNNNNNNNNNNNNNNNNNNNNNNNNNNNNNNNNNNNNNNNNNNNNNNNNNNNNNNNNNNNNNNNNNNNNNNNNNNNNNNNNNNNNNNNNNNNNNNNNNNNNNNNNNNNNNNNNNNNNNNNNNNNNNNNNNNNNNNNNNNNNNNNNNNNNNNNNNNNNNNNNNNNNNNNNNNNNNNNNNNNNNNNNNNNNNNNNNNNNNNNNNNNNNNNNNNNNNNNNNNNNNNNNNNNNNNNNNNNNNNNNNNNNNNNNNNNNNNNNNNNNNNNNNNNNNNNNNNNNNNNNNNNNNNNNNNNNNNNNNNNNNNNNNNNNNNNNNNNNNNNNNNNNNNNNNNNNNNNNNNNNNNNNNNNNNNNNNNNNNNNNNNNNNNNNNNNNNNNNNNNNNNNNNNNNNNNNNNNNNNNNNNNNNNNNNNNNNNNNNNNNNNNNNNNNNNNNNNNNNNNNNNNNNNNNNNNNNAAACCUGUCAGAGAAUGAACUGCAAGCUCCAAAUUGGUCCAAUUUUUCCCCCAUGCCUUUUUUGACCAUCCUCGACCUUUAUAAAAAUAAUCUUUUGUCAGAAUUUCCCGAAUUUAUAUCUAACUCGUGUAACCUUACGUACCUUGACCUCUCAUCCAACAAGUUUAGAGGGGAUCUUGCGCGAGAAUCAGUAUUAACCAAUCUAGGUGAUCUUGAAACCCUCUAUCUUAUUAGAAAUUCUUUCAAGGGGUCAUUUCCGUCAGAUUUAUUCAAGCUUUCUAAAUUAAAACGUCUUCACCUGUCGAGCAACAAAUUUUCAGGUUCAAUUCCUAAUGCCAUAAGGUUGCUUUGUGAUCUUGAAUUCCUAUAUUUAGGCAACAANNNNNNNNNNNNNNNNNNNNNNNNNNNNNNNNNNNNNNNNNNNNNNNNNNNNNNNNNNNNNNNNNNNNNNNNNNNNNNNNNNNNNNNNNNNNNNNNNNNNNNNNNNNNNNNNNNNNNNNNNNNNNNNNNNNNNNNNNNNNNNNNNNNNNNNNNNNNNNNNNNNNNNNNNNNNNNNNNNNNNNNNNNNNNNNNNNNNNNNNNNNNNNNNNNNNNNNNNNNNNNNNNNNNNNNNNNNNNNNNNNNNNNNNNNNNNNNNNNNNNNNNNNNNNNNNNNNNNNNNNNNNNNNNNNNNNNNNNNNNNNNNNNNNNNNNNNNNNNNNNNNNNNNNNNNNNNNNNNNNNNNNNNNNNNNNNNNNNNNNNNNNNNNNNNNNNNNNNNNNNNNNNNNNNNNNNNNNNNNNNNNNNNNNNNNNNNNNNNNNNNNNNNNNNNNNNNNNNNNNNNNNNNNNNNNNNNNNNNNNNNNNNNNNNNNNNNNNNNNNNNNNNNNNNNNNNNNNNNNNNNNNNNNNNNNNNNNNNNNNNNNNNNNNNNNNNNNNNNNNNNNNNNNNNNNNNNNNNNNNNNNNNNNNNNNNNNNNNNNNNNNNNNNNNNNNNNNNNNNNNNNNNNNNNNNNNNNNNNNNNNNNNNNNNNNNNNNNNNNNNNNNNNNNNNNNNNNNNNNNNNNNNNNNNNNNNNNNNNNNNNNNNNNNNNNNNNNNNNNNNNNNNNNNNNNNNNNNNNNNNNNNNNNNNNNNNNNNNNNNNNNNNNNNNNNNNNNNNNNNNNNNNNNNNNNNNNNNNNNNNNNNNNNNNNNNNNNNNNNNNNNNNNNNNNNNNNNNNNNNNNNNNNNNNNNNNNNNNNNNNNNNNNNNNNNNNNNNNNNNNNNNNNNNNNNNNNNNNNNNNNNNNNNNNNNNNNNNNNNNNNNNNNNNNNNNNNNNNNNNNNNNNNNNNNNNNNNNNNNNNNNNNNNNNNNNNNNNNNNNNNNNNNNNNNNNNNNNNNNNNNNNNNNNNNNNNNNNNNNNAAAACCAUUGAUAAGGAUGGUAAAUUCGACUCUAAAUCUUAUGAAGCUAUAUUCUUGGGUUAUUCUUUAACAAGUCGUGCUUAUAGAGUGUAUAAUCUUGCUAAACAUACUGUUGAAGAGUCUAUUGAUGUUUCAUUUCAAGAGUCUACUGAUGAUCUUGCAAGGGAUGAGGAAGAAUGUGCAGGUACAGGUACUAGCAGCAAGCUGACAGUGAAGGAAACUGGAAAUCAGCAAGCUGACAAGUCAACUGCCACAACUUCAGAAGGCAAUAAAGCUACUGAAUCCACUCCAUCUCUUGAAGAAACUUUGGAUAAGAUGUCUAAGCUCACAUUGGAUGAAUCCAGAGGUCAAACUUCAUCAGCAAGCCAAAAUGUUGUUGAUCAGACUCCUCCUAGGCAGACUACAAGGAAUGAAGAGGUCAUAGCUCAACAUAAUCUACCAAAAUCAACUAGAACAGUGAAGAAUCAUCCUCCUCAGUUGAUCAUUGGAGAUAAAUCAGCUGGAAUCAAGACAAGGAAAGCUCAAGCCAACAUUUGUGCUUAUGCUGCCUUCAUAGCUCAAGAGGAACCAAAGAAUGUUCAAGAAGCUUUACAAGAUGAAAAUUGGAUCAUGGCAAUGCAAGAAGAACUCAACCAAUUCGAAAGAUGUGAUGUUUGGGAACUUGUAGAUCCACCAGAGGAUGCUUCAAUUGUUGGAACCAAAUGGGUGUUCAAGAAUAAAGUUGAUGAAUUUGGUACUAUCACUCGGAACAAAGCUAGACUUGUUGCACAAGGAUACAAUCAGCAAGAAGGAAUUGAUUUUGAUCAAACAUAUGCUCCGGUUGCAAGAUUGGAAUCUAUUAGGAUGCUAUUAUCAUUUGCAUGCUACAAGAAGUUCAAGCUACAUCAAAUGGACGUCAAAAGUGCAUUCUUAAAUGGAUAUCUAAAGGAAGAAGUCUAUGUCAAGCAACCACCAGGAUUCGAGGAUGAAAAAUAUCCCAACCGUGUCUACAAGCUCAAGAAGGCACUAUAUGGAUUAAGGCAAGCACCUCGAUCAUGGUAUGAAAGGUUAAGUGAAUUUUUGAUCAAAAAUGGUUUCAUUAGAGGUAAAAUUGAUCCUACUUUGUUUACUAUCUUUAAAGGUCAAGAUAUAUUAGUUGUUCAAAUAUAUGUAGAUGAUAUUAUAUUUGGAUCUACUAAUGAUUCUUUGUGUAAGUGGUUUUCAAAGUGCAUGCAUAGUGAGUUUGACAUGAGCAUGAUGGGAGAGCUCAAUUAUUUCUUGGGGCUCCAAAUUAAGCAAACUCCAGAAGGAAUUUAUGUGCAUCAAUCCAAGUAUAUCAAGAAUCUACUCAAAAGAUUUGGAUAUGAGAAUAUCAAGGCGAAAUCAACACCAAUGAGCGUUGUCAGCAAGCUGACAGCAGAUGAAAAUGGUAAAGAUGUUGAUAUUCGAAUGUAUAGAGGUAUGAUUGGUAGUUUACUUUAUCUUACAGCCUCUAGACCUGAUAUUAUGUAUAGUGUUUGUGUUUGUGCUAGAUUUCAAGCAAAACCAAAGGAUUCUCACUUACAAGCUGUUAAAAGAAUAUUUAAAUAUUUAAGUGGAACCAUUACUUUGGGCUUAUUCUAUCCUAUCACAAAUGCUUUUGAUCUUGUUGGGUAUAGUGAUGCAGAUUAUGCAGGUAGUCAAACUGAUAGAAAAAGUACAAGUGGUGUUUGUGCAUUUUUGGGUCAAAGCUUAGUUUCUUGGUUAAGCAAGAAGCAAACUUCAGUUGCUCUAUCUACGGCUGAGGGGGAGUAUUUAGCAGCUGGUAGCUGUUGCUCUCAAAUGCUAUGGAUGAGACAACAAUUGAAGGACUUUGGAAUCAAAUGCAAGCAAACUCCUAUCUUUUGUGACAACACAAGUACAAUCAACAUUUCAGAAAAUCCAGUCAAUCAUUCAAGGACAAAGCAUAUUGAUGUUCGACAUCAUUUUCUGAGAGACAAUGUUGCAAAGGGUGCUGUCAAGCUGAUUUUUGUGGCUACAGCAGAUCAGCUAGCUGACAUCUUCACAAAACCUCUUCCUGAAGAACGAUAUGUCAUGCUGAGAAGGGAAUUGGGCAUGUGUGAUGUGCAGUCAGCAAGCUAAUAAGCUUGGUCCGGGUACUAUCAGCUUACUCUCAGUUAUUAUGACCAUUAUGUGCUGAUUUGGAUAAUUGUUGUGAUCUCGAUGACGAUGCUUGAUUUUCUACCCUUUUGAUGAUUAAGGGGGAGAAAAUUUAGGAACUUGGUUUGUGUUGUGAAUGUUGUGUUGUGAAUGUUAUAUUUGUUGUAUAGUUUAAUGUUAUAAGAUUGCUAUAUUCAGGGGGAGUAUUAUUACUUUUCCUAAAUAUAGUGUAAUCAUCAAAAAGGGGGAGAUUGAUACUCUCGAGAUUUUGAUGAUCACACUAACAGCAACUUGAUAACAUAAAACUGUACUCUGGUAGCUAGCUGAGAACGAGAUUAUAACUGUGCUAACAGCUAAUGUCUUUUGAAGUUAUCAUUGUUCUGUCAGCAAGCUUACAGGAAUAUUGACAGACUAUCAGCAAGCUCACAGCGUACUGACAGGAUGCUUAUCGGAUAAAGAUCAAGUCCUAUUUUCAAGGAGAUUUGUUAGGGAACGUUUUGUGAGGACUCUAAUACAUAUAUAUACAGUAUAUAAAUAUUAGAGCUCAUCUUUUAUCAAAGAGUUUUAUUCAAAAUCGUUUUCCUAAAAUAUAGGAGUUGAUUUCAAACCUUGUUUAUCCUUUUAGACUCCUACUUCUAUUCAAACUGUUUUGUUUUAUAAACAAACGUUUACUGAGUUGUUUCAAACGUCUUUAUGCUUUUACUCAGUAAAAAUACAUUGUUCAAACGUUCAUUAUUCAAGCAAAUUAAACGUGAGGUUGUUGGGCCAAGAACGUUGGAUAGUUUGUUGAGUUAUGACCGUUUGGAAUGAUGGUAUAUAAACUUGAGUGUGGUUUCCGUUUUGGUAGAGAACAAGAACACACUUCAAGCUUCUGAAAUACAACACACUUACAUUGCAAAAUCUUUACUUGAGCUCUAGUACUUAUAUUUGAUUAUAUAUCUAUAUUGAGUUCAUAGUUUCGGUUGUAUUACACUCAUACAUUGUAUUGUUCAAAGUGUAAAGGUUUGUUGCUGUGUAUCGAGCUUGUGAAACAAGGGAACAAGGGGACUAGUUAGCUAGAAGAGUAUACUUGGGAAGUAUAGGUCUUGGAGAGCUUUUGGUUCGUGGUUCAGGGGUUUCAGCAAGCUGAUAACAGGAACAAGGGAUAAAGGGAGUUAUAUUAUUGAAUCAUUGUAAUCGUUAACAUUAUUGAUUAAUAAUAUAAUCUCUUACCAGUUGGUAGGGGACCAGGACGUAGACCAUUAGGGUUAGGGGUCGAACCUGGCUAAAAUUCUCUGUGUUGCUAGCUUACUGAUUAUAUCUGUUUUGCAUUGCAUCUGCAUUGUUAGCUAGCUGACUGUUUACUCUGAAAUUAACAGCAAGCUGUCUGUGACAGUUUAACUAUUCGGUAACAAUUAAAAAUCGGUCAUAUUAGCCAUAACACCUAUUCACCCCCCUCUAGGUGUGUAAUUUCAGUUUCUUUUCGUUUUCAAAUCUCACCAAUCUCAUCAUUACACAUAACAACUUCACUGGUCCAAUACCACCCGAAAUUGGAAAUUUAACAGAUGUUCAGUACCUCGACUUUAGCUAUAGUAAUCUCAAUGGUACCAUUCCAUACCAGGUUAGCCAUCUUCAGAGGUCGGUCGUCUUAGGCCUCUCAUUUAAUCACUUGAAAGCUCCGAGCUUGUCCAAUUUUUCCCCCAUGCCUAUACUGGUUGGUCGCGGUCUUAGUGGUAAUAAGCUGGCAUCAAAAUUUCCAGAAUUGAUAUCUAAUUGCUAUAACAUGAUUAACCUUGAUCUUUCAUUUAACAUGUUAACUGGUAAACCUCUGUUCUAAAAGUCGGUGAUUAAUCACCGAUUAAUCCAUGUUUCCUAGCUCGCCAAACUGAUUAAAUAUCCGAUUAUUUUAAUUAAUGUCCGAUUAAUCACCGAUCAAUGCAAUUAAUCUACAAUUAAUCCUUAUUCUGGGACUUCACCGAUUAAGCUCGAUUCCCAUUUUUUACAACGACAUAACAGUGAAUCAUGAUUAUCAAGCAUCUGUCUUGUUAACAUUGAAACGAAGAGAGCAUGAAGUGAAAGGAAUCCUUUAUAUUUACGAUGUCAACAGCCCUACUGUCAAAAUUCCUUUCAAGUCGGGGCUUUUUACGAAUAAUUGGUAAUUCAGUGUUGAACUCCGCUCAACUUAUAAUUAGAUAAUCGAAAUCAAAAAUCUUGCAAUCAACAAAUAAAUUAUUAAGAACUUGCAAUUGAGUAAUGGCCGUCAAGUCACUUAACAAUACUAACCGGAAACUAACGUGACGGGCUGAUAUGUUUAAAAAAAUGCAUGAUGACUAUAUACUUGAUGUUUACGACCCUAACUAAAAUAUCCAACAAAUAAUACAUACAACCUGAUCUAAUAAUGUAAUACCUCUACUUAAGUAUAUUUUUAUGCCAAAUAUUUAUAGAUUUGUUUUUACAAAAAUGAUUAGAGACUUUGUAUAUACAAAAAUUGAGAAUUAUUGCUUGACUAGACGAAAAUAGGUGAGUUAUGAUUAUAAUAAAUAUUUAUUUCUACGAUGUAGUUUUUAUUAGUUAUAUAUAAAAAAAAUCUUGCUAUAUUUUGAUACUAGUGCAAUGAUUACUUCAAUUUAUUUUUUAUGAGAGUUACUAAGAUAUAUGACCAACUCAUCUUGCACUCGUAUUAAUUGUCUUAUAUAAUAAUAAUAAGAAAAAUAUGAGGCGGUGCUUAGUCAGAUGAUUUUAGUUGUUAAAAUAUUUUUUUGUUAUUUAUAGAUAGUGAAACAUGUCUAAUAUUUUAUCAAUUUUGUUUCGUUUCUUGAGAUUUCCAAAUAUUUAUUAGGACAUUGUACCAUGGUGUAUUUCAAGAUAUUAUUGUUAUUUAGAUAAUUAGUCAUAUUCAAUGAAUUUUGAGGACAAAAUUUAAAUAAGAGGAGAACAAUGUCAUAUCUCACAUAUUAGCAGUUUUAAUUAUUUUAUAUUUUUAUUUUAAAGAUAAGAUAAAGUUUAUUUAUUUAUUUGUUUUUAUCUUAAAAGCGAUUUUGAGUACUUUGUUUGAGUUAGAUAUAUACUUCUACUGUGGUUCAACUAGUUUUGCCGUCAGUGAAUAAUUUCCGGUCAAUAUUUUGAAAUUUGUUGUUAUCUUCUAAUUAAGAUAAGGGGUUAAAUAGCUUUUGAAAAAUGUGAAAAAAAUCAAAAAAAUUGGGAAACCAAAAGUGGCAAGCUUUUUUUUGUUCUUUUCAAAUUUUCUAAAAUCUGGGGAAAAAAGAACUUGCCACCUAAUUUUUUCCAAAUUUUUUCAAAUUCUUUUCAGAUGUUUGAAUUUUUUCCCAAUUUUUUCCUUUUUUUUUGAAUUUAUUAAGAUUUUUUUUGUUUUUUCUGCUUAUUCUGAAUUUUUUAAGAUUUAUUCGCAUUUUUUUUCAUAUUUUUAAAAAAUAUUUUUGAAAUUUCCGUUAAGUAAUUAAUGGAACUGACAGAGAGUGAUGCUUUUGAAAGUUUUUAAUUAUUUGAUGAUGCAUCUGAAAAUUUUUCAACAACAUGAUUCAGUUGCAAAUUUCCGGCGAGGUUAGUGAUAAAUUAGCUAUUUAACUCUUAAUAAAAUCUAUCUUAACAAUAUUAUAAAUAUUAUUGUUAUGGGUUCGAUGAGUCGUGUAAAACAUGGAAGAAGUUUAGGUGGGGUAAAAAGAGCCUAGCUGGGUGAUUUCCAUUCUGUUAUACGUGAUAUACUGUAGUUGAUCAUCUCCUUUGUCCGCUUCAUCCUGUGCAACCUUAACCUUUAAGGUAAAACUUAUGAGAUUCUCUGGAGCAUCUAAGGGGCCGUUUGGACAAACUUAAAAGAAGUGACUUCUUGCUUAAACUAGAGAAGUGGAGUAGAAGUGAGAAGUAAAUUAGUUAAUAAAGUGUUUGGAAAAAAAGCAGAAGCCAGAAGCAUCUUCGGCUUCUGUCAAACAAACAGGGCCUAAAUUUUUGUGUGAAAAAUGUUAGUCUCAAAUUAUUUUUCCUAAAAUGCUUACAUGUUACAUUUUAUAUGUAUGUCCUGUCUUUAAGUAUAAUUUAGCAUUUGUAUUUAGUAUUGUGUAAAAGUAAUUCAUUUUAUUCCGUCUUAUUAAAAAUAUAAUCAUGUUAUGCUGUAAAAGUAUUUGUGAAUUUCUUUGUUGCAUAUGUGUUUAAAUUAUUUUAUUUAUAUAUGUUUUACAAUUUUUACAAAUGUAUAGGUUGAGUAUUGCAUAAGAAUAUAAUUACACUCACAACUGUUAUGCGUGCAUGUAUAUUGCCGCUAAGUUUUAAACUUCUUACGAACCGGAAUAAUUUUGACAGAUGUGUGGAACUUGAUUAAUUUAGUUGCACUACAAGAGAAAGCGUUUUUACCAAUAGAAAUUGCUAAGGGAAAUUAGUCCGUCGGUAAUUUCCAACGAAUUUGUAACAAUUUGACUGGUCAAUGUUCUGCCAAUCAAUUCGCAACGAAAUACCCACGCUUAUUUACCAACGAGAUGUUCUGUUAGGAAAUAUAGCCACAUAAUGGAAUAAUAACAACAGCCCAAAGAAUGAGCAACAGACUAGCAACGAAAGCAUCUGUUACUACGUUCGUUGAUAUUCCGUUUAUAAAUACUAACAGUUCCGUUAGUAGUUAUUAGUUUUACAUUGGCAAUUGAUAUACACCAGAUGAGCACAUACACGGAUACAAUGCCAGUCUCUUAGUUGAAAUGUGUGUAAUGCUAAAGCCCAAUGAGCUUUAGUUGAUUAAAUUGAUUUGAGUUGUAGAAAAAAGCUAAUAAUAUAAUGGAUUUUGAUAUAUGUAUUGUAAAUAUUAAGUAAUUCUCUUGAAUUUAUAUAUGUAACAUAAUUGUUAAUUGGUUCAUCCUUGACUAGAAAUUUUAUAUUACAUUCUUAACUACAAAUUUUGUAUUUAAAAUUGUUUUAAAAAAUCAACUUUUAUUUGGCAUGUGGAUUUUGUAGUCAAAUGCGGUCAAUUUACUUAGCCUUUGAUCGAAUACCAACCUGAAACAUAAAAAUAUUUUUUAAUCAUUUAUUUUCGACGAUCCAACUAUAUUCUAUAAUUGUAAUGUGAUAAUAUUGAUUACAAAAUUUAAAAAAAAAAAUUAACCUUUUAUUUGGUAUGUGCAUUUUGUAGUCAAAUGCAAUUAAAUUACUUAGUCUUUAGUGAAAUCUUUACUCGAAACAUAAAACUUUUUCUUAAAAAAAAAUUGGACGAUCCAACCGUACAAAUGUUAUUGCAACGUGUUAAUAUUGGUUAAAAUAAAUUUUAAGAAAAUAUGUCUUUUAUUUGGUGUGUGGAUUUUGCGGUCAAAUAACUUAGCCUUUAAUUGAAUACUUACCCAAAACAUGAAACUAUUUUUUUUAAAUCAUUUCGGACGAUCCAACCGUACGGGUGUUAUUCUAACAUGAUAAUAUUGAUUAUUUUUUUUAAAGAAAAAAUAUAGCCUUUUAUUUGGUGUGUGGAUUUUGUAGUCAAAUGCAGUCAAAUUACUUAACCUUUAAUGAAAUGCUUACAUUAAACAUGAAAUUAUUUUUUUUAAAAUCAUUUGGAUGAUCCAAUCGUACGGAUGUUAUUAUGACAUGUUAAUUGAUUAAAAAAAAUAUUUAAAAAAUUGCUUUUUAUUUAGUGUGUGGAUUUUGUAGUUAAAUGCUACUUGGCCUUUAAUCGAAUACUUAACCGAAACAUGAAACUAUUUUUUUAAAAACCAUUUUGGACAAUCCAACCGUACGGAUGUUAUUGUAACAUGACAAUAUUGAUUGUUUUUUUAUAUAAUAACUUUUAUUUGGUGUGUGGAUUUGUAGUCAAAUUACUUAGCCUUUAAUCGAAUACUUACCUGAAACAUGAAACUAUUUCUUAGAAAAUUAUUUUAGAUGAUUCAACCAUACAGAUGCUAUUAUAACGUGAUAAUAUUGAUUAUUUUUUUUAAAAAAAUUAGUCUUUAAUUUGGUGUAUGAAUUUUAUAGUAAAAUGAUGUCAAAUUACUUAGUCUUUAAUGGUAUAUUUAUUAGAAUUAUGAAACUAAUUUUAAAAAUUUAGUUUGGACGAUCCAAACUGUAUGAAUGUUAUUUUAACAUGUUAAUAUUGAUUAAAAUUGUUUAAAAAAAUUUAGUGUUCUUUUAUGUGUGAAUUUUUAGUCAAAUAUGAUAAAAUAUUUAUUUAGCCUUUAAUGAAAUAUUAAAAAUCCCUACUUUAAAAGAAACUUGUCUAAAACUACCUAUACGCGUUAGAGAUUCAUCGAUUUAGUUAUCAAAUUAGUUAUAAUUAGGGUUUUACUCCGCUUUUCUCUGGUAUGAUGUUGAUUUUUGGGGUUCGAUUGGUCGACUUUCAUGUUUUAUAAGUUAUGUGAGUUCGAUUUUGAUGUUUUUACAAUUAGGUUUAUGUAUGUUUUUAUACGGGUUUUCAUGUUCAUGUUUUGAUUUGUUGAUUUCCUAUUUUUCCUAUUUGUUGAUUAGUUAUUUGUGUGGGUUUUGGAUUUUGAUGUGUGUGUAUGUAAUCUCCUGUAUUUUUUUUCAUUUUUUCUGGUUCGAACUCUUCGAUUAGUAGAUGAAAAAAACUGAUGCGGCAGUAGCGGCUAGCAAGGAGAUGGAUAACAAGAAAAGGACGAUUUUGAGGUCCUCUCGUGCAAGUCUUCAGGUAUAAUUUUGUUCCUUUAUGUUUUUAAUUAACAUAAAUUUUCACAUUUGCUGAUUAUAUUAUGGGGGAUUCUGGGUAUACUUGUAUAUAAUCUAGCAAGUAAUUAUAGUUCUGAAUGGGAAGCUUAUUGUGAAAUUAAAUUGAGGAAUAAGUUGUGUUAUUGGUUCUGGUGGAUUAAAUUUAUGUUAACACUUGAUAUAUGCAUUGAUGUCGUAAAAUAAGUUGUACAUCGAACUAUUUGGCUUGUUUAAGUUGUAUGGAGUAUGGUUGCCAAGCAUUGGUUGGUUGUACACGUAUAAACAAAAUGAUAUUUUAAUAUUUGAACAAAACAAUACAGAGCCCGUUUGGCUGAACUUGUAACUCAUAAAUUAACGUGAUUUAUGAUUUAACGUGACUUAUCUAAUAAGCUGAGAGUUUUAAAAUGUCUGUUUGGAUAAUUUUGACUUAUCAACGAUUUAUGGGUCAUUAAAAAUAUAAAAAUAAAAAUUAAAGUGUUUUAUGAGUAGGUUAUGAUUUAUGGAUAAUUUUUAUAUAAAAAAAAGUUCAAAAAAAUUAAGUUACUGGAAAAAUACCUCAAACUAAUUUCAGGCUUUAAGUCAGCUUCUGAUUUAUUAGUUUUUAAGUUUAAGCCGGCUUCUGACUUAUUAAAGCCAUCAGAAUAAUUUUAAACCGCAGCUCUAAGCUACGACAAACGGGCUCACAGUCAUAAACAGAUCGUGUCGGGCUGGACUGAUUGUGAUUUUCCUUUUUGGAACUCGUACUCGGCAUGUUCCACGCGAAUGAUAUUUAGAAGUAUACUCCAUGUCAUAAUAAGAGUUCUUUAAAUUUUUUAUAUGUAAUUUGAAGUAUAAAAAAAAUAUUUUAACAUAAUAUUUUUAAUUUUUUAUACAUAAAAAUAUAACAUCUAUAUUUUUAUUUAGAAAAAAAAAUUUGAAAAAUAAUAUAUAGAUGCAUGUUUUUUUUAUACGUGAAAUUACAUGUAAAAAUCAAAAGACUUUUAUUUUGAGUAAGAGAGAAUAUGAUGUACCAUAAAGUCAUCGAUUUUUUGUUAUCAAAUGAAUGUGAUAGUUAACUAUUUAAGAGCAAGUCCAAAAGUGUUCUAGUUCAUGCUCUAAAUAUAAUAUAAAAUAUUAUGUCCUAGUGAUUUGGGACAUAUUUUACUAACUUGGACUUCAACAAUGAGUCUUAAGGCUCAUUUGUUUUGAGCUUAACAUUGCUGAACGGAUUCCAGCUUACUGAUUAAUGCGAGUUCAGAUUGUUUGGCGACCAUAUUUUAUAAGCUUACCGAUUAAUGCGAGUUUAGAUUGUUUGACGAUCAUAUUUUAUAUUCUGAAUUGUUCAUAUACAGCUGAGCGGAUCAGUCUAAAGUGGGUGAAAGAAUCAUUCAGCGCCAUCCUUAUUAGCUUAUAAUACUGUAUGUCAACUUCAAUCUUAUAAAAAUAUAUUUUAUUUGUUUACUAUAUUUUAUAUAUAUGUUGAUUUUAUCCCAAGUUUUGUUCGUAUCAACUGAAAAUAAUAACUCUUUCAAAAAAUUAAAAAUAAUAUAAUAAUAAUCGAUAUAAUUUUUAACUUUAUAAUUAUUUUGAAUAAUAAUAUGUGAAUUUUUUUUAUAUGUCUAAAUAAGUUUUCAUCUUAUUAAAAAUCAAGUGAUAUAUAUUUUAUUCAAGUGAUAUAUAUUGUUUUAGUGAUAAAAAAGUUCACUAAAACAAUUUAUCAUAUUUAUAAUAUAUUAUUCAGAUAUUUCAAAUAUUAUUCAUCAAACAAUAUUAUUCAUUCAGAAUUCAGAUGAUUCAUCCGUUAAGAUCAUUCAGGUAUAUUAAUCAUUCAAUUCAGAUUUGCCAAAUGACCCCUUAUUCUCACACGAUGUUUAAUAUUUUAUUAUUAGAGAGAGAAAAGGAGUGUUGAUAAGAAUUAAUAACAAAAUAUGGACAGGGUAAGGAAAGAUGUACCUCAAAAAUAGGACUUGAGAAGGUUGUCCCAGUGAUAUAAGGCAUCACUAGGACAUUGUUGGAUCAAUUUUUUACAUCAAAUGCCUUAAAUAACAACUUAGGACGACAUAUAUGGAAAUUGUUGGACUUGCUCUAAGUUGUUACUCCUUCCAAGUAUAAAAGAUGAGUAAAGUUAAAUGAAGACGUGGUAAAAUAAUGUGACCUAUUUAUAUUUAAUAAUACAUUUGAAAUAGUGGAGGAAAGUAACAUGUGUAAUAACGUUUAUAUUAUUAUUGCAUAUAGAUAAGAAGAAAGCAAUGGGUAUAAAAGUGUAUUAUAUUAUUAAAAUUAUUAUUUUUAAAAUGUUUAGAAAUAAUGGGGCAUCCAAAAAGAAAACUGUAUAGAAAUGAAAAAGGAAAUACAAUUCAAAAAGUCAUAUAUCUAAAUUCAAACUAGGUAAUAUAUUUAUGAAUUAUAUUAAAAAAAAUAUUUGACAUUCAAAUAUAAAAAUUUAUUUUAUCAUCUCAACAAUGAAUAUUCGAUUAUUAACUUUCGUAAAUAACAUUAAUUUUUCAUUAUAAUAUACUCUAAACUUUUAUUUUAUGUGCCUGUUUGUUUACGAGAAGCUGGAAUUUACUUCUCUUGACUCGUUUGUGUAAAAAAGUAAAAGGUGCUUUUAAAAAGUACUGAGAACGAAAUGGAAGUAGAAAAUGCUAGCUUUUCUUUAUAAUAUCUAUUUCUUUUCCAGACAUUUUAAUAAUUUAUAAUUAUUAAUUUAUUUGUCAUUUCUACUUAUUUUUUUUAGAGAACUUUUUUUAAACUAACCGGCUCCUAUAACUAGUAAUUACUUCUAAAUCACAAAUUACUGAUAAAUCAUCACUUUUAUUAUUAUUAUUAUUAUUAUAUUUUUAAUAACUCAUAAAUUAUUAAUAAGUCAAAAUUAGUCAAACAGAUAUUUUUAAGUUGAGCUUAUGAGAUAACUAACGUUAAGUCUUCUGAGCCCCCAUUGGCUCACAAUUGGCCCAAAAAAUAUUUGGUUAUGCAUUGCUAUUCACACACUUAGACAUCAAAAUUUAUCAUCCGACAGCUAACUGCACACUAUUUUUCCCACAAGCUCAAAAAUCAACGAUCAAUUAAUUUUUUCUUAUCAAUUACUAAUAAAGUUAUGAUUUCACGUACACGGCAGGCAAAAUGCUAAUAAAUAGACGAGUGCAGUAUAGUAUGGGUUCAUGAUCCCCUUGAGAUUUAAUUGAAAAAUAUUAUGGUGAUAUAGAUUAAAUUAAAUUAUAAUAUUUUGAAAAGUUAUAAAUAAUUUUAAUUACUAAUAAUAUUUAUUUGUACAUUUAAAUAUUUUUAUAAAAACACAAUAAUAGCAUUAUACUCAUUUAAGUUUCUCGUAUCCGCCUCCUCUUCUUGGAGAUUGUGGAUUUGCGAUAUUUGUAUUGAUUAUUAUAGGAAAAUGUUAUUUUCAGAGCAAACAUUUUUAUUUCUGGAGCAAAUUCAAUUCCCACUUCCUUGUCCUUGUAGCUACAUAAAUCAUACAACUUCAAUACAAACUUUUCCAAAUUGUUCUGGAAAUUAAAAAAUUGAUAUGGAUAUAACAAUUCCCUUAUUAUAUCCUAUGUAUAUUACAUUAAUGCAAUUAACAUGGUUGGUUGUUUUAGUAUAUAAUUAUAUUAGUGUGGCCUUUUAGUAUAUAAUUAUAUUAUUUUUGUUAUAUUUUAUGCAUCUAGAAACAAUUUUUUUAUGAUAUUUAUUAUAUUAAUUAUAGUAAAAGAUAUAAUUUUGUUUAAAAAAUUGAAUAAAACUAAGAGGGAUAGCCUACGUCUCUCCGAGUCUUCGAGGACUCAUUCCAAGUCCGCAGAGGACCACCGCCUCAACCUUUAAGAGAUGUGAAAGUAGCUUGAGAGAGACAUAAAUUAAUGUUUGAUAAUAAAAUUUAAUAAUCAAAUAAAUUAAAUUAAAUUAAACUAGUUUAUAGUAAUCGAUUAAAAAUAUAUAAAUCAAAAUUAUUCCUGAAUUAUGAUAACAAUUAAAAUCAUAUUAAAAGUUGCAAAAAUCAAACCCAAAUCGAACAAAUUCCCCUAACACUAAAAUGUAGUUGCUUUAUUGUAGAUAAAAACAGUAUAAUAAUCGUAUUGAUGAAAAAUCAAAUUCAUCAAAUAAGUUUAUAAAAAAUACAUGAUUUUAGUGUGUUGUAUUAGUAGUGUGUCCACGCAUUUAUAUAUUAAAAUCUAUCCUCUAAAAACUAUCGAUCUAUUUACACAACUAUUGAUCUGUCGUGCAACAAAUUCCACGGAGAAGUUCCAAAGAGAGCUUAAAUGGCUUGCAUUGCUCAAUCUAUCUCAUAAUAGUCUUAACGACAUAUGUUCUGAAUUAUUAUUAUGCUUUCAACAAUAUUUUCAAACAUUUCUUAAUAUGUAUUUUCAAAGAAUUAAGAGAAUGCACAAAAAUUAAGAGAGAUUGCUCUGGGUCUCCCCAAGCCUUUCAGGACUCAUUCCAAGUCUUCCUAGGACCACUGCCUCACCCUUUCAAAGAUGUGAUAAUAGCUCGAGAGUAAUAUAAAUUAAUUUACGGACACUAAAAAUAAAAAAUCAGAUCAAAUUAAUCAAUAAUAAAUUAAGGAUGAAAUCCAAAUUAAUCCUAAAUUUUGAUAAUAUAUAAAUAUUAUAAUUAUAAAUUAUAUAACCAAAUCAGAAUUGAAUUAACUUACUUGGCACUAAAAUUGAUAAAGACAGAAUAAUAAUUUAAUCGAUGAAAAGUCAAAGUCUUCUAAUAAAUCCAUAAAAGAUAUGAUAAUCCAAAUAACACACUUAUAUAUCAAAAUUUAUGGUCCAAAAACUAUAGCAAAAUAUCCUAAAUACACCACAUUAAAUAAUAGUUCAAAAAUAUUCAAUAAACAAUUGUUUUCAUUCAUAAUUUUGUUAUUUUAAAAACUAAUAAUUUGGUUGAUGUUAACCUAUAUUUUAAUAUAUAAUUAUAUUAUUUUCAUCUUAUUUUAUUUAACCAGAAACAAUAUUUUUAUAAUAUUUAUUACUUUAUUUAUAUUAAAAUAUAUAAUUUCAUUAAAAAAAUUGAAUAAAAUUAAGAGAAUAACUCUAUGCCUCUCUAAGUCUACAAGACUCAUUUCAAGUCUACCGAGGACUACUACCUCAACCAUCGAGAGAUGUGAAAGUAUAGUUUGAGAGUGACAUAAAUUAUUUUCCUGACAAUAAAAUUUAAUAUCUAAUAUAAAUUAAUUAAAUUAGAUAAUAAUAAAUCAAAACUAAUUAUGAAUUAUGAUAAUAAUUAAAUAAAUUAUAAUUAAAUUAUAUAAAUCAACUCCAAAUGUACAAAUAACACUAAACCUUGGUUACUUUGUUGGUAAAUAAAUAUAAUAUAAUAAUCAAAUUGAUGAGAAAUCAAAAUCAUCUAAUAAAUUCACAAAAAAUAUAUAAUCAGUAUAUUAUAUUAGUAUCCACACACUUAUAUUUCAAAAUCUAUCCUCCGAACUUAUCAUCUCUGUAAACUACCCACAUAAAAUAAAAAUUUAAAGAUAUUAGAUAUUUAGUUAUUUUCAUUAUAUAUAAUUUUUCCACACUAAAUAACAAAAUAUCUUUAUCAAAUUAUUAUUUAUAAGUUUUUUGAAUAUCAGAUUCAUAACCCAGUUGAUCAGGAGAAACAUGGCCUACUCUGCAAAGCCUUCUCACCUUCUUCUCUUUGUUUUCUUUCUCUCAUCACUUGAAUCCAUUCUUGCAACAACACAAGAGGGAGAAGCUCUUGUGAAGUGGAAGAAUAGCCUAGCCCCUUCUUCUUUUCUCGACUCUUGGUCACUCACCAAUCUCGAAAAUCUUUGUAACUGGACUGGCAUUACUUGUAACUCUGCAGGUUCAGUCUCGGAGAUUAACCUUUGUGAGAAACAACUUGAUGGAAUGCUGUCCGAGUUUGGUUUCACUUCAUUUCCAAAUCUCAACAAUCUCAUCCUCGCAGAUAACUUCUUCUCGGGUCCCAUACCACCGGCCAUUGAGAAUUUAACACAGCUUCGAUUUCUUGAUUUAAGCUUUAAUUCUCUCCAUGGUCCCAUUCCGUUCCAGGUUAGCCAUCUUCAGAGCUUGCUCAUCUUAAACCUGUCACAGAAUGCAUUGCAAGCUCCAAAUUGGUCCCAUUUCUCUCCCAUGCCUUUCUUGCGCAUCCUCAACCUCAGUUACAAUCCUCUUGCGUCGAAAUUCCCAUAUUUUAUAUCCAAUUCUCAUAGCCUGACUCACCUUAGCCUUAAUUAUAACGAGUUUACUGGUGAUUUAGUACGUGAAUCAGUAUUUGCCAAUCUGCAUAAUCUUGAAGUGCUCAGUCUUGUUGGCAAUUCUUUUGAGGGGCCAUUUCCGCCGGAUGUAGUCCAGCUUUCCAAAUUAAAACGUCUCUUCCUGUCAGGUAACAAAUUUUCAGGUUCAAUUCCCAAUGACAUAAGGUUGCUUUGUGAUCUUGAAUACCUAUAUUUAGGCAACAAUUCCUUUGAAGGACCGCUUCCACCAAAUAUAUUCAAGCUUUCAAAAUUAAAAAAUCUUGUUAUUUGGAGUAAUAAGUUUUCAGGUUCUAUUUCCAAUGAUAUAGGUUUGCUUUCUGAGCUUGACACCCUCAAUCUUCGCUCUAAUUUUUUUAAGGGUCCGCUUCCGUCAAAUAUAUUCAAGCUUUCCAAAUUAACAAGUCUUGACCUCGCAGACAAUAGAAAUUUAUUUGAAGGAAGUAUUCCUAUUGGACUGGGACUCUUGACUAACCUCAGGUUCUUAGAUCUACAUUCCAGUAAUCUCAGUGGCUAUAUUCCAUCUGACAUUGGAAACCUGAAGCUACUAGUACUUCUUAAUCUCGGUUCUAAUAAAUUGACUGGACCGCUUUUAAAGAUCGUUUCUAAUCUCACAAAUCUUAUAUAUUUUGAUGUAAGUGAUAAUAGUCUUCGUGGAAAUAUUCAGAGUGACUUGUGGAUAUAUAACGAUCAUCCAACUUUGGAAUACAUCAAUUUAAGUGGGAACCAUUUUACGGGUAUAGUUUUUCUCUAUAGAUCUUUUCCUUUUGUCAUAUGUAACUAAGCUAGUAAUCUGGUUAUUGCAGUUUUACCAAAGUUUCAACAAUCUUGACAGGUGAGCUUCCAACAACAAUUUGCAAUGUCACUUCCCUUUCAAUUCUUGAUUUGUCAAAUAAUGAAUUAAGUGGUGCACUUCCAAACUGUUUCGGGAAUCUUGCUGAUGGAUUGCUUUACAUUAAUCUUGCUAAUAAUCAGUUUCGAGGAACAAUACCAACUACUUUCUCCAGGAGUUGUCAGCUGACAUAUCUAAACAUGGAUGAUAAUGAGUUUGAAGGAUUGUUGCCCCCAUCUUUGGCGAACUGUAAGCACUUGAAAAUUUUUGAUAUUGGCAAUAAUAAAAUAGGUGGUACAUUUCCGUCAUGGCUUUAUGCACUUGGAGAGCUAGAAGUCCUUGUCUUGCGAUCAAAUAAACUCUGUGGUACAAUAAGUGGAAGGAGCAUAGAAGAUCCCUUCCCCAAGUUGCGGAUUGUGGAUCUGUCCAACAACCACUUCACAGGCCAUUUGCCAAUUCAAUACUUUAAGAAUAUGAAAUCAACUGAUAAUUUGUAUAGUUAUCAGCUUUUCACAGCAGUUUUUUCUUUCCAUUAUGAAGCAGCAGUCUCAUUAAUUGUGAAGGGAACAGAGUAUGAAGUGGCAAAUAACCUUCAUAUUUACACAGCCAUUGAUCUGUCGUGCAACAAAUUUCAGGGAGAAAUUCCAAAGGUUACUGGAGAGCUUAGAUGGCUUGCAUUGCUCAACUUAUCUCAUAAUAGUCUAACAGGACCUAUCCCAUCAUUGCUGGGAAAUAUGAAAGAACUCCAAUCUUUAGAUUUGUCUUCAAAUCAACUGACAGGGGCCAUUCCACCUCAGCUAACUGCAUUGACAUUUCUAGAGGUCUUAAACCUCUCGGGAAACCAUCUUAGUGGAGAGAUUCCUCAGAAAGGACAGUUCAGCACAUUUAACAAUGAUUCUUAUCUAGGAAACUCCGCGUUAUGUGGAUCACCUUUGACGAAGAAAUGUGCAAACACAGCAUCACCUCCACAAGAAGUCGGAAAUGGUGAUGAAGANGAUUUGUCUUCAAAUCAACUGACAGGGGCCAUUCCACCUCAGCUAACUGCAUUGACAUUUCUAGAGGUCUUAAACCUCUCGGGAAACCAUCUUAGUGGAGAGAUUCCUCAGAAAGGACAGUUCAGCACAUUUAACAAUGAUUCUUAUCUAGGAAACUCCGCGUUAUGUGGAUCACCUUUGACGAAGAAAUGUGCAAACACAGCAUCACCUCCACAAGAAGUCGGAAAUGGUGAUGAAGAAGAUGGUGGUGAUGAAUUGACAUGGGAAGCAAUCGUGAUGGGAUAUGGAUGUGGACUGAUAUGUGGAUUGUCAUCGGCAUACAUUGUUCUCAAACUAGGAAAGCCUUGGUGGUUUGUGAGAUAUAUCGAAGUACUGCAACAGAAGUUGAUGAAAAGAUGCUUGAAGAAAGGUACUGGUCGAUCAAGACGAACUUGAAAGUUGUUGUCCAUGUGGACAUUUCUGAACCAGUAGUGUACUAGCUGCAUAAGUAUUUGGUAUUAUGUAAUAUUCUGUUUGGUGGGGAAUCAUAAUAAUUUUUCUUCCUGUAGGGGUAUUAAUAUUAACCUUGUUAUCUUGAUCAAUGUUAAUGCAAAUUAAAAUGAAUGAAAAAACAAAAAAUAUGCAUCAAAUCCACUCCUGCUGUACCAAGAUCCAUUAAUUUGCUUUGGUCUUUUACAUAACAAUUUAACAGCGCACUUCCCCACUGUUUGAAAGAAUUUAAUAAUAAACUCGAGUUUUCCAGGACUGCACCAAGUUCACAUAUUCAAUAUCACACAUUCCAGUCUCAGCUUCAGCUCCCAGGGUAGAAGAGAAGUUUUAUGUACAAUAACAGUUAAUUACCAUAGCUACUUUAGUCUUGGUUCAGUUUUUGCAGAGAUAAUUACCAGAUUUUGAAAUCCUUCAUGUGAGGAAACAAAUAUCGAGAGACAUUUCUGUUUACAAAUAUAGGUUUUCUAGACAUAAUUACAGGAACUUUUACCAUUAUACACUUUUAUAGUACUGGUUAAGAGUUUGUUGUUCAGCCUAGUGAAAGAAAUAAUUCCUCUGCUAUUUCAUUAACAUUGCUGGUAUAUAUACAAUGUACAACACACCCUUCAAGGCUAUAAUCAGGGAACCUAAAAUAUAUCCAAAACUAAUCAUAGAAACAGACUAACUAAUUACAAUAAAUCAUAUCCAGAAAUAUCUCCACAGAUGUCGCAUAGAUAUCUUUAACACACCCCCUCAGUCGAAGCGGGAGGUAAACGAACACUGAGACUGUCUCUGAAGUCUUCAAAAAGAACACGCGGAAGACCUUUUGUAAAAAUAUCUGCUACUUGAUAUCUGGAUGGCACAUGAAGAACCCGUACUUCACCUCGUGCAACUUUUUCCCGAACAAAGUGAAUAUCCAUCUCAAUGUGUUUAGUACGUUGGUGUUGUACUGGAUUACCCGAUAAAUAAAUAGCACUGACAUUGUCGCAAUACACCACAGUUGCCUUUGUAACUGGACAAUGCAAUUCCAACAACAGAUUUCGGAGCCAACAUGAUUCAGAGACCACAUUAGCUACACCCCUAUACUCGGCCUCUGCACUGGAUUUGGAAAGAGUCGGUUGUCGCUUAGAAGACCAGGAAAUCAAGUUGUCACCCAAAAACACACAAUACCCAGAUGUAGACCGCCUCGUGUCGGGGCACCCACCCCAGUCAGCGUCAGUAUAUGAAACAAGAGAGGACUGUGAAGAGGAAUAGAGAUGUAAACCAUAGUCCUGUGUUCCUUGAAUGUACCUAAUGAUUCUUUUAAGAGCUUGCAUAUGAGUAACCCGUGGAUCAUGCAUGUGCAGACAUACUUGUUGAACCGCAUAAGAAAUAUAUGGACGUGUGAAAGUCAGAUAUUAAAGUGCCCCAGCAAGACUCCGAUACAAUGAAGGAUUCUCAAACACAGAACCAACAGACGCACUAACCUUGGCCUUCGUAUCAACUGGUGUAGGUGAUGAUUUACAAGAGGACAUGCCAGCCCUCUCAAUUAUCUGUUGUGCAUAAUUCUUCUGUGACAGAAACAUGCCAGCCUUAUGACGAGUGACUGAUAUACCAAGAAAAGAACUCAAGGGGCCAAGAUCCUUCAUAGCAAAUUCUGAACUAAGAAGCUUUAUAAUCGAGACACGGAGAUCAUCAGACGACGCAGUGAGAAUUAUGUCAUCGACGUAAACCAGAAUAUAGGCCAUGUGAGAACCGUUGCGAUAAACGAAUAAUGAGGUGUCACAUUUGCUUCUAAUGAAACCAAUAGACAGAACAAAAUCAGCAAACUUCUCAGACCAAGUCCGGGGGGACUGCCUCAGGCCAUAAAUUGAUUUACGUAACAAACACACAUAAUCCGGAUGAGCACGAUCACGAUACCCCAAAGGUUGAUGCAUAUAUAUUGUUUCCUUUAAGUCACCAUGAAGGAAGGCAUUCUUUACAUCUAGCUGAUGAAUUGACCAGCCAUUCGAAAGAGAGAGAGAAAGCACUGUGCGGAUUGUAGCUGGUUUCACUACCGAGCUAAAAGUUUCGCCACAAUCAAUACCCACCAGCUGAGUUUUUCCAUUUCCGACAAGGCGAGCUUUAUGCCUCUGAAACACACCAUCCGAAUUUUCUUUAUGAGCAAAAACCCACAUAGACCGAAUAACAUUAACAUCAGGUGGACGGGGCACCAAAUCCCAUGUCUUAUUUUGAAUAAGUGCAUUAUACUCCUCAUCCAUGGCUAUUUUCCAAUUCGGGUCCCGAAGAGCAUCAACAGGGCUAUGUGGUAAAGGUGACCGAGGAGCUGUUGUGUUAUAUGCAUGAUCAGAAUAUCGCAUAUUUGGUUUAAAAAUACCUCGUUGGCUCCUGGUAACCAUUGGGUGCUGGUUUAUAGGAGUAGGGGAAGAUGUUGAUGUUUGUGGACUCGAGGAGGAAGAUGAACUCAAUGAGGAGGGAGAUGGCGACGUUGAUGAAAGUAAGGGAGAGGAGGAUUGGUUUGAGAGUACUGGACUCGGUGAAAGAGAAUGAGGAGAACUCCCAGGGGAAGGUGAGAAACUACCAUGUCGUGUCUCAUGUGUGUGAGUACUGUCUGGGUGAGCAGACACAGACACAGAAGGACUUUGAUUUUGCAGAUGAUACACUGAAUAAGGUGAUAAGCCAUCUGCUAAAAAAUCAUAGGUAGAAGUGGAUGAAUCAUGUAACUUAGCAAACGGAAACACAUGCUCGUCAAAUAACACAUGGCGACAAAUUAUAAUCUGUGCUGUGAUGAUAAAUCAUAACAUUUGUAACCACGGUGAUUAGCCGGAAACCCCAAGAAAACACAAGGUGUUGAACGAGAUUGCAAUUUAUUAAUUGUGGUAGAGGGAAUGAGAGGAUAGCACAAGCAACCAAAGACCCGAAUGUGAGAAAAUGAGGGAACCCGUUGAUAUAGGAUUUCAAGAGGUGAUAAAUUGCCUAAGACCUUGUUCGGAAGAACAUUUAGAAGAUAGGUGGCCAUUUGUAAUGCAUGAUUCCAAAAAGAUGAAGGAAGAGAUGCAUGAGCUAAGAGUGUUCGAGUGACAUUAUUAAUAGUUCGAAUUUUUCUUUCUGCUUUCCCAUUUUGAGAAGAAGUAUGAGGACAAGACAACCGAAAAGUCAUGCCAUUGUUCUUAAAAAAAUCCCAGAAAUGAUGAUUAGUAAAUUCCCUCCCAUUAUCGCAUUGCACAUUUUUAAUGGUACACUCGAAUUGGGUGAGAAUAUGAUUGUGAAACGCCACAAAUUUAUCAAAGACAUCAGAUUUCUUAGCAAUUGGAAAAGUCCAAAGAAAAUUGGAGAAAUCAUCUAAUAACACAAGAUAGUACUUAUGACCCAUAGUACUCAAAACCGGAGAUGUCCAAAGAUCACAAUGAAUUAUAUCAAAUGGCUUUAAAGUACUUGAACUAGACGAAACAAAUGGCAUCUUGAUAUGUUUUCCAAACACACAAGAUCGACAAAUGCUAGAAUGUGAAAGCUUAGAACAAUGAAUGCUUUUAUUGAGUCGAAGAGCAUCCAAAACUUGUGCACCGGGAUGGCCUAAACGAUCAUGCCAAAGAGAGGAAUUGAUGGCUGCAAAAGUAGAAUGAAGAGCUCGAUUGUUGAUAGAUUGUGUAAGAGGAUAAAGAUCGCCUUGGCUCUCACAUCUCAUUAUUAGCACUCACGUCUGUAAAUCCUUCACAGAAAACCCAAAAGGAUCAAAUUCCACCGUAACAGAAUUAUCAGUGGUAAAUUUGCGAACAGAAAUAAGGUUUUUAACAAUUUUGGGAGCGUGGAGGACAUUUUUAAGGGACAAAGGAAGGCCAGGAGAUGGUAAUGCAGUAUGACCAUAUCCUUGAAUUGAAAUAAUAUUGCCAUCACCCACAACAAUGCCAUUAUGAUGAGAAUUAUGUUGAUUGCUCAAAUUAACAUAGGACGAGAAAUUACCAUUUGAGGAUGUCAUAUGAGAUGUAGCACCAGUAUCCAUGUACCACGACGGAUCAGGUUGAUUGAGAGUCAUGGUAUGCAUUGCAGAUUCAAUAUCCGUUGGAACAAAAGAAGCUGACUGCCCAACCGUUGUUCCUGUGAAAGCCUGCUGUGGUCGAGGACCAAGAACUCCAGGCUGUGGUUGUUGAACUCCCGUGGAACGGGGCUGAGUCCAGCCCUGAGUUGGGAAUGGACAAGGGGGAGCGGACCAUCCCUGCAUCCAAGGUGGAGCAGCCAAGAUUGGAAAUAACCCGGUGCCCACUGUUGUGAACCCCAUUGCAUCCUAUUCUGUUGUUGUCCACCACCACGGCCUUGACCCAUACGACCCCCACCAGAACCACGACCUCCACCUGAACCAGAUCGUUUAUUAUUUUUCCUGUGGUUAUUAUGCUUAUUGCCACGGGGAGGUGCGGAUCCCUGAUUCGAGCCUGUGUCGUCAAAAUCCGUCUGUGAGGCAACCAACAUUGCAGAGUCAGACCCUGUGGCAGCUUCUUUUGCUAAAGCAGCCUCCUCUAAUGUUAACAUAGACCGGGCUUGAUAGAAUUGUGGGAGAGGGUCACUCUGUCGAAUUAAGGUCCCAACACCACGGUAUGCCCUUGGAAGGCCGGAAACCAGUUGAAUAACAAGUCUACUAUCCGAGAUUGGUGCACCAACAUUUUUCAGUUGAUCAGCAAGAGAUUUGAGACGCUGACAGUAAGCCGAAACAUUCGGAAAAUUCUCCAUUUUUGUACUGGAGAAUUCAGCCUCCAAAGUUACCACACGGGAAUUCUUGUUGUCCUGGAAUAUGUCACGCAACCUGUUCCAUGCCUCCAUAGCAGUGGCAUCUGGUUCAAUGAUCGUAUGUAAAAGAUCAUUGGAGAUAGUCGCAUAAAUCCAAGACAGAACCGUAGCAUCAAGCGUCGACCACAAUUCCUUUUCAUCCUCAGUAGAAAGAACCUUCUCUUUGCCUGUGGCAGGAGGAAUAAUAUGAGAAAGCACCUUAUGAGAACGUGCGGUAAUUUUGAAAAGCUCCGCCCAUGUCGAGUAUUGACCAUUCUCCAUCUCAAGAAUAAUGGGGAUAUGAUUGCGGAUAUUUGACACCGCAAGAGCUGGAUGAAAGGAGCUCUUGUUACCAGACAUUGGCUGCUGAUUAGUUGUAUCAGUCAUGAUAAUGAGAAAAGAAAAGAAGAUGAGUGCUUAGCGGAAGAAAAGAAAGAAAGAAAGAUCGUGGUAUUGCCUUAAGGCUCUGAUACCAUGAAAGAAAUAAUUCCUCUGCUAUUUCAUUAACAUUGCUGGUAUAUAUACAAUGUACAACACACCCUUCAAGGCUAUAAUCAGGGAACCUAAAAUAUAUCCAAAACUAAUCAUAGAAACAGACUAACUAAUUACAAUAAAUCAUAUCCAGAAAUAUCUCCACAGAUGUCGCAUAGAUAUCUUUAACACCUAGUCCUAAACUAAAAUUAUCAGUUCGAUGUGAAAUACGAAAUCAUAUUGCAGACGUCAUUCGUUGUUCCACCUAGUCCAAAACUACUCUAAAACUAUAUUGCUGGUAGUCUUUCAGUUCAUCCUACUGUAUGCAAUAGUUUCAUAUAUAGGUAACUCGGCCUUGUGUGGACUUCCUUUAACAAAAAAAUGUCUGCACUCAGUGUCACCACCACUGGAAGUCGAAAAUAGUGAUGAUGAAGAUGAUGCUCAUGGUGAACUUAAUUGGGAAGUAAUCCUGACGGGAUGUGGAUGUGGAUUGAUUUGCGGAUUGUCUUCUGGGUACAUUGUUUUCAAAAUAGAAAGGCCUUGGUGAUUUCUGCAAAGUGCUGCAACUUAAGUUGAUGUUACGAAGCACGAAAAAUAUUGUUCGACCAAGAUCAACAACUUGAAAAUGUGUUCUGAAUCUGUAUUAAUAUUAAAAUAUUAUAAUAUUAUUCAUUUAACACUAUCGUCCAAUCAAUUUAAUUGAUUAUCAUUUAAUCAAUAUAUUAGAUAAAUAUUAAUUGUCUUCCUUACCUCUAACCAAUGAUGAAAUUAAUAACCUCCCUAUAAAUCUAUUAAGACAGCUUUGAGUUGUCAAAGUCCUCAAACAUAUUAAACACUUUGAAAAAUUUGUUUCUGCAAGUCAAAAUUGCAAACAACACUUUGAAAACUUAGGUGCCGAAUAGUCCUUAUAUUGGAUUAAUCAGAUUUAAAUAUUUAAUGGCGCUAACAAAAUCUGUUGAAGUUAGCAGUUAUAAGGCAUAUAAUUAGAAAAAUGGCACAGUAUAUAAAGCCUCAUCAUCUUUUUCACUCUGUUUUAUUUCUCUCAUUACUUCCAUCCAUUCUUACAACACUAGCUGAAACAAGACGAGAGGGAGAAGCUCUUGUGAAAUGGAAGAAUAGCCUAGCCCCGUCUUCUUUUCUCGAUACUUGGUCACUAACCAAUCUCGAUGAUCUUUGCAACUGGACUGGCAUUACUUGUAACUCUGCAGGUUCAGUCUCUGAGAUUAACCUUAAACAAAAACAACUCAGUGGAACGAUUUCUGAGUUUGGUUUCACUUCAUUUCCAAAUCUCAACAAUCUGAACAUAGCACGAAACAACUUUUACGGUCCAAUACCACCAGCCAUUAAGAAUUUGACACAGCUUCAAUACCUUGAUUUAAGCUUUAAUCAUCUCAACGGUUCCAUCCCGUACCAGGUUAGCCAUCUUCAGAAAUUACAAAUCUUACACCUGUCGCAUAAUGAAUUGCAAGCUCCAAAUUGGUCCAAUUUCUCUUCCAUGCCUUUUUUGCGCAUCCUCGGCCUCGGCAGCAAUAAUCUGGAGUCAGAAUUCCCAGAAUUUAUAUCCAACUCUCAUGGCCUCACUUUCCUUGACCUUUCUUUUAACAAGUUUACAGGUGAUCUUGUGCAUGAAUCAAUUUUUACCGAUCUACGUAAUCUCGAAAACCUCCAUCUUGCUAAAAAUUACUUUGAGGGGCCGAUUCUACCUAGUAUAUUUAAGCUUUCCAAUUUAAAAAUUCUUGAACUAUCAGGUAAUAAAUUUUCUGGUUCUAUUUCCAACUAUAUAGGUUUGCUUUCGGAGCUUGAGACCCUCUAUCUUGACUUCAAUUUUUUUGAAGGACCAAUUCCACCAAAUAUAUUCAACCUUUCUAAACUAAAAAUUCUUGAACUAACAGGUAAUAACUUUUCAGGUCCUGUUUCUAAUGAUAUAAGUUUGCUUUCCGAGCUUGAAAACCUCAAUCUUGCCUUAAAUUCUUUUGAUGGGCCUUUUCCAUCAAAUAUGUUCAACCUAACCAUAUUGAGACAUCUAAAUCUCUAUGGCAAUAAAAAUUUAUUUAAAGGAAGUAUCCCACUGGAUAUCAAAAUAAGUCACAAGGACUAAUUAAUUACAUCUAUGAAGCAUCUAUCUCCUUAAAUGUGAAAGGAACAGAGUAUGAAGUGAAAAACAUUCUUCAUAUUUACACAACCAUUGAUCUGUCAUGCAACAAAUUUCAUGGACAUGUUCCAAAGAGAGCUUAAUUAAAUGGCUUGCAUUGCUCAAUCUAUCUCAUAAUAGUCUUAACAGACAUAUGUUCUGCAUUAUUAUUAUACUUUCAUCAAUAUUUUUAAACANAACAAAAACAACUCAGUGGAACGAUUUCUGAGUUUGGUUUCACUUCAUUUCCAAAUCUCAACAAUCUGAACAUAGCACGAAACAACUUUUACGGUCCAAUACCACCAGCCAUUAAGAAUUUGACACAGCUUCAAUACCUUGAUUUAAGCUUUAAUCAUCUCAACGGUUCCAUCCCGUACCAGGUUAGCCAUCUUCAGAAAUUACAAAUCUUACACCUGUCGCAUAAUGAAUUGCAAGCUCCAAAUUGGUCCAAUUUCUCUUCCAUGCCUUUUUUGCGCAUCCUCGGCCUCGGCAGCAAUAAUCUGGAGUCAGAAUUCCCAGAAUUUAUAUCCAACUCUCAUGGCCUCACUUUCCUUGACCUUUCUUUUAACAAGUUUACAGGUGAUCUUGUGCAUGAAUCAAUUUUUACCGAUCUACGUAAUCUCGAAAACCUCCAUCUUGCUAAAAAUUACUUUGAGGGGCCGAUUCUACCUAGUAUAUUUAAGCUUUCCAAUUUAAAAAUUCUUGAACUAUCAGGUAAUAAAUUUUCUGGUUCUAUUUCCAACUAUAUAGGUUUGCUUUCGGAGCUUGAGACCCUCUAUCUUGACUUCAAUUUUUUUGAAGGACCAAUUCCACCAAAUAUAUUCAACCUUUCUAAACUAAAAAUUCUUGAACUAACAGGUAAUAACUUUUCAGGUCCUGUUUCUAAUGAUAUAAGUUUGCUUUCCGAGCUUGAAAACCUCAAUCUUGCCUUAAAUUCUUUUGAUGGGCCUUUUCCAUCAAAUAUGUUCAACCUAACCAUAUUGAGACAUCUAAAUCUCUAUGGCAAUAAAAAUUUAUUUAAAGGAAGUAUCCCACUGGAUAUCAAAAUAAGUCACAAGGACUAAUUAAUUACAUCUAUGAAGCAUCUAUCUCCUUAAAUGUGAAAGGAACAGAGUAUGAAGUGAAAAACAUUCUUCAUAUUUACACAACCAUUGAUCUGUCAUGCAACAAAUUUCAUGGACAUGUUCCAAAGAGAGCUUAAUUAAAUGGCUUGCAUUGCUCAAUCUAUCUCAUAAUAGUCUUAACAGACAUAUGUUCUGCAUUAUUAUUAUACUUUCAUCAAUAUUUUUAAACAUUUCUCAAUAUGUAUUUUCAAAGAAUUCUCAAGCACUUGAACAUUUGGACCGGUUCUUUCGAAGCCAAGAUGCCCAGGUUAUAUCAUGGCCAUACACAAAAAUGCCCAAAAAUAAAUAAAUUAAGAGAGAUUGCUCUGGGUCUCCCCAAGCCUUCCAGGACUCAUUCCAAGUCUUCUGAGGACCACUGCCUCGCCCUUUCAAAGACGUGAUAGUAGCUCAAGAGUGAUAUAAAUUACUUUCCGGACACUAAAAAUAAAUAAUCCGAUCAAAUUAAUUAAUAAUAAAUUAAGGAUGAAAUCCAAAUUAGUCCUAAAUUUUGAUAAUAUAUAAAAAUUAUAAUUAUAAAUUAUAUAACCAAAUGAGAAUUGAAUUAACUUACUUGGUACUAAAAUUGAUAAAUACAGUAUAGUAAUUUAAUUGAUGAAAAGUCAAAGUCUUCUAAUAAAUCCAUAAAGAAUAUGAAAAUCAAAAUAACGAAAAUUAUAAUUGAAAAAUCAAAAUCAAUAGUGUAUUGGAAUAUUGUUCACACACUUAUAUAUCAAAAUUUGUGGUCCAAAAAUUAUAGCACAAUAUCCUAAAUACACCACAUUAAAUAAUAGUUCAAAAAUAUUCAAUAAAUAAUUGUUUUCAUUCAUAAUUUUGUUAUUUUAAAAACUAAUAAUUUGGUUGAUGUUAACCUAUAUUUUAAUAUAUAAUUAUAUUAUUUUCAUGUUAUUUUAUUUAACCAAAAACAAUAUUUUUAUAAUAUUUAUUACAUUAAUUAUAUUAAAAGAUAUAAUUUCAUUAAAAAAAUUGAAUAAAAUUAAGAGGAUAACUCUAUGCCUCUCCAAGUCUACAAGACUCAUUUCAAGUCUACCGAGGACCACUACCAUUGAGAGAUGUGAAAGUAGUUUGAGAGUGACAUAAAUUAUUUUCCUGACAAUAAAAUGUAAUAUCUAAUAUAAAUUAAUUAAAUUAGAUAAUAAUAAAUCAAAACUAAUCAUGAAUUAUGAUAAUAAUUAAAUAAAUUAUAAUUAAAUUAUAUAAAUCAACUCCAAAUGAUACAAAUAACACUAAACCUUAGUUACUUUAUUGGUAAAAUAAAUAUAAUAUAAUAAUUAAAUUGAUGAAAAAUCAAAAUCAUCUAAUAAAUUCACAAAAAAUAUAUGAUCAUUAGUAUAUUAUAUCAGUAUCCACACACUUAUAUUUCAAAAUCUAUCCUACAAAAUUAUCAUCUCUGUAAACUAGCCACAAAAAAUAAAAAUUUAAAGAUAUUAGAUAUUUAGUUAUUUUCAUUAUAUAAUUUUUCCACACUAAAUAACAAAAUAUCUUUAUCAAAUUAUUAUUUAUGAAUUAAAUAUUCAAGUUAUAAUUCCAGCAUGCAGCGUAUAAAUAGAAGUGUGCAGUAUGAUAUCAGAUUCAUAACCCAGUUGAGGAGAAACAUGGCACACUCUGUGAAGCCUUCUCACCUUCUUCUCUUUGUUUUCUUUCUCUCAUCACUUGAAUCCAUUCUUGCAACAACACGAGAGGGAGAAGCUCUUGUGAAAUGGAAGAAUAGCCUAGCCCCUUCUUCUUUUCUCGACUCUUGGUCCCUCACCAAUCUCGAUAAUCUUUGUAACUGGACUGCCAUUACUUGUAACUCUGCAGGUUCAGUCUCUAAGAUUAACCUUUUUGAGAAACAACUUAAUGGAAUGCUGUCCGAGUUCGGUUUCACUUCAUUUCCAAAUCUCAACUAUCUCACACUCGCAGACAACUUCUUCUCGGGUCCGAUACCACCAGCCAUUGAGAAUUUAACACAGCUUCAAUAUCUUGAUUUAAGCAUGAAUAGUCUUAAUGGUCCCAUUCCGUUCCAGGUUAGCCAUCUUCAGAGCUUGCUCAUCUUGAACCUGUCACAGAAUGCAUUGCAAGCUCCAAAUUGGUCCCAUUUCUCUCCCAUGCCUUUCUUGCGCAUCCUCGACCUUAGUUUUAAUAAUCUUGUGUCGAAAUUCCCAGAAUUUAUAUCCAAUUCUCAUAGCCUGACUCACCUUAACCUUUCAAAUAACAAGUUUACUGGUCAUCUUGUGCAUAAAUUUACCAAUCUACAAAAUCUUGAAACCCUCUACCUUCAGAUCAAUUCUUUUGAGGGGCCGUUUCCACCAGAUAUAGUCCAGCUUUCCAAAUUAAAACGACUCUCCCUGUCAUGUAACAAAUUUUCAGGUUCAAUUCCCAAUGACGUAAGGUUGCUUUUUGGUCUUGAAUCCCUAAAUUUAGGCAACAAUUCCUUUGAAGGACCGCUUCCACCAGAUAUAUUCAAGCUUUCAAAGUUAAAACGACUUGUUCUUUGGAGUAAUAAGUUUUCAGGUUCUGUUUCCAAUGAUAUAGGUUUGCUUUCUAAUCUUGAACACCUCGAUCUUGACUCUAAUUUUUUUGAGGGGCCGUUUCCGUCAAAUAUAUUCAAGCUCAGAUUAAAAAUUCUAAACCUCUCAAACAAUAGAAAUUUAUUUCAAAGAAGUUUUCCUAUUGGACUGGAACUCUUGAGUAACCUCAGCUACUUAGGUCUACAUUCCAGUAAUCUCAGUGGCAAUAUUCCAUCUUACAUUGGAAACCUGAAGCUACUAGAAUUUCUUGAUCUCGGUUCUAAUCAAUUGACUGGACCGCUUUCCAAGAUCGUUUAUAAUCUCACAAAUCUUAUACUUCUUGAUGUAAGUUAUAAUAGUCUUCAUGGAAAUAUUCAGAGUGACUUGUGGCAAUAUAACGAUCAUCCAACUUUGGAAUACAUGAGUUUGAGUGGGAACUAUUUUACGGGUAUAGUUUUUCUCUAUAGAUCUUUUCUUUUGUCAUAUGUAACUAAGCUACUAAUCUGAUUAAUUGCAGUUUUACCAAAGUUUCAACAAUCUUGACAGGUGAGCUUCCAACAACAAUUUGCAAUGUCACUUCCCUUUCGGUUCUUGAUUUGUCAAAUAAUGAAUUAAGUGGUGCACUUCCAAACUGUUUCGGGAAUCUUGCUGAUAGAUUGCUUUUCAUUAAUCUUGCUAAUAAUCAGUUUCGAGGAACAAUACCAACUACUUUCUCCAGGAGUUGUCAGCUCAAAUAUCUAAACAUGGAUAAUAAUGAGUUUGAAGGAUUGUUGCCCCCGUCUUUGGAAAACUGUAAGCACUUGAGAAUUCUUGAUAUUGGCAAUAAUAAAAUAGGUGGUACAUUUCCGUCAUGGCUUUAUGUACUUGGAGAGCUAGAAGUCCUUCUCUUGCGAUCAAAUAAACUCUAUGGCACAAUAAGUGGAAGGAGCAUAGAAGAUCCCUUCCCCAAGUUGCGGAUUGUGGAUCUGUCCAACAAUCAAUUCACAGGCCAUUUGCCAAUUCAAUACUUUAAGAAUAUGAAAUCAACUGAUAAUUUGUAUCGUUUCCAGGAUGGCAAAGGAGUUUUUUGUUUCCGUUAUGAAGCAUCUGUCUCAUUAACUGUGAAGGGAACAGAGUAUGAAGUGAAAAAAAUCCUUCAUAUUUACACAACCAUUGAUCUGUCCUGCAACAAAUUUCAAGGAGAAAUUCCAGACGUUAUUGGAGAGCUUAGAUGGCUUGCAUUGCUCAACUUAUCUCAUAAUAGUCUAACAGGACCUAUCCCAUCAUUGCUGAGGAAUAUGAAAGAACUCCAAUCUUUAGAUUUGUCUUCAAAUCAACUGACAGGGGCUAUUCCACCUCAGUUAACUGCAUUGACAUAUCUAGAGGUCUUGAACCUCUCGGGAAACCAUCUUAGUGGAGAGAUUCCUCAGAAAGGACAGUUCAGCACAUUCAACAAUGAUUCUUAUCUUGGAAACUCCGCGUUAUGUGGAUCACCUUUGACGAAGAAAUGUGCAAACACAGCAUCACCUCCACAAGAAGUCGGAAAUGGUGAUGAAGAUGAUGCUGGUGAUGAAUUGACAUGGGAAGCAAUCGUGAUGGGAUAUGGAUGUGGACUGAUAUGUGGAUUGUCAUCUGCAUACAUUGUUCUCAAACUAGGAAAGCCUUGGUGGUUUGUGAGAUAUGUCGAAGUACUGCAACUGAAGUUGAUGAAAAGAUAUGCUUGAAGAAUGGUACUGGCCGAUCAAGACGAACUUGAAAGUUGUUGUCCUUGUGCAUUUCUGAACCAGUUGUGUACUAUUCUCUUUGUGGCUGCAUAAGUAUUUGGUAUUGUGUAAUAUUCUGUUUGGUCUUGAAUCAUAAUGAUUCUUCUUGCUCCAGGGUUAUUAAUAUAAACCUUGGUAUUGUGUGCUAGCUGUAAUAUUCUGUUUGAUCAAUGUUUAUACCAGUAAUUUUAUGCUCCGCAGUGCAUCAUGCAGCUCUCAUAUUAUCUCUAUGAUUAACCUGAAUUCAGUUUCAUUUUGUUUCCGAAUCUCAACUACUUCAACUUGAGCUACAAUAGCUUCACUGGUCUAAUACCCCCAGAUAUUGAAAAUUUAACAGAGCUGCAAUACCUUGAUUUUAGCUCUAAUAAACUCACUGGUGCAAUUCCGGACCAGGUAAGCCAUCUUCAAACAUUGCGAACCUUAAACCUGUUGGAUAAUCACUUGGAAGCUCCAAACUGGUCCGCUUUUUCCCCUCUGCCUUCUCUGACAAACCUCUGUCUCAAUAAUAAUAAUCUUUCGUCGAAAUUCCCAGACUUCAUAUCAAAUUACAUCUUUUAUACGAUAUAUUAUGAAAACACUAUAUUUUGUAAUGUUCAUCUUAUCCUACCAGCAAAAUUACAUCGCUAACAAAAUUAUAUCAAUUUUAUUUUAUAAACUCAAAUAAUUUAAUUUAUGAAACAACUCUAUGAGAUUCUUAUCAUGAGUUAGAAUUCAAAUAAAUAAAGAGUUCAUAUUGAUAAGUGGAAUUGAUGUGCAAGUAAGGGGUAUAAAAAAAUCUCAAAAUAACUCCAAAAAGCACAUGACAUGUUUGAUUUAAUAGAACUGGUACAUAAACAGGGGGACCAUUAUAUUUAUAAGCAAGUGACCAACAAUAGUUUACUACUGAUAUUUUGUGAUAUUUUUUGUGAUAUUUUUUGAGACCUUUAACAUUAUUCUGUGAAGUGGUAUACUACUGUUACUAGUUCUGAAACUUCAAACAAAGUAGGCGCAACAUUGUAAGAGUGAUUAAUAAAGUUGAGAAACAGUGUGUACAUUGAGCAGUAUGACAAUCAGGUUCAGCAUAUAAUACAAUCAGAUUCACAAUCAGGUUCACGAGAAACAUGCUGCAUUCCAAAAAGCCUUAUUAUCUUCUUCACUAAAUAACAAGGCAAAUACAGCAUAUAAAUACAAGUGUGCAGUGUGGUAUUAGAUUCAUAACCCAGUUGAGGAGAAACAUGGCACACUUUGUAAGGCCUUCUCACCUUCUUCUCUUUGUUUUCUUUCUCUCAUCACUUGAAUCCAUUCUUGCAACAAGACAAGAGGGGGAAGCUCUUGUGAAGUGGAAGAAUAGCCUAGCCCCUUCUUCUUUUCUCCACUCUUGGUCACUCACCAAUCUCGAAAAUCUUUGNNNNNNNNNNNNNNNNNNNNNNNNNNNNNNNNNNNNNNNNNNNNNNNNNNNNNNNNNNNNNNNNNNNNNNNNNNNNNNNNNNNNNNNNNNNNNNNNNNNNNNNNNNNNNNNNNNNNNNNNNNNNNNNNNNNNNNNNNNNNNNNNNNNNNNNNNNNNNNNNNNNNNNNNNNNNNNNNNNNNNNNNNNNNNNNNNNNNNNNNNNNNNNNNNNNNNNNNNNNNNNNNNNNNNNNNNNNNNNNNNNNNNNNNNNNNNNNNNNNNNNNNNNNNNNNNNNNNNNNNNNNNNNNNNNNNNNNNNNNNNNNNNNNNNNNNNNNNNNNNNNNNNNNNNNNNNNNNNNNNNNNNNNNNNNNNNNNNNNNNNNNNNNNNNNNNNNNNNNNNNNNNNNNNNNNNNNNNNNNNNNNNNNNNNNNNNNNNNNNNNNNNNNNNNNNNNNNNNNNNNNNNNNNNNNNNNNNNNNNNNNNNNNNNNNNNNNNNNNNNNNNNNNNNNNNNNNNNNNNNNNNNNNNNNNNNNNNNNNNNNNNNNNNNNNNNNNNNNNNNNNNNNNNNNNNNNNNNNNNNNNNNNNNNNNNNNNNNNNNNNNNNNNNNNNNNNNNNNNNNNNNNNNNNNNNNNNNNNNNNNNNNNNNNNNNNNNNNNNNNNNNNNNNNNNNNNNNNNNNNNNNNNNNNNNNNNNNNNNNNNNNNNNNNNNNNNNNNNNNNNNNNNNNNNNNNNNNNNNNNNNNNNNNNNNNNNNNNNNNNNNNNNNNNNNNNNNNNNNNNNNNNNNNNNNNNNNNNNNNNNNNNNNNNNNNNNNNNNNNNNNNNNNNNNNNNNNNNNNNNNNNNNNNNNNNNNNNNNNNNNNNNNNNNNNNNNNNNNNNNNNNNNNNNNNNNNNNNNNNNNNNNNNNNNNAUUAAAACGUCUUUUUCUUUGGAGUAAUAAGUUUUCAGGUUCUGUUUCCAAUGAUAUAGGUUUGCUUUCUGAGCUUGAAUUUCUCAAUCUUUACGAUAAUUUUUUUGAGGGGCCGCUUCCAUGCAUCAAAUAUAUUCAAGCUCUCCAAAUUAAGGGUUCUUUACCUUAACGGUAAUAAACUUCUAGGUUCUCUUUCCAAUGAUAUAGGUUUGCUUUCUGAGCUUGAAAGCCUCGAUCUUAACUCCAAUUUUUUUGAGGGGCCGCUUCCGCCAAAUGUAUUCAAGCUCUCCAAACUAAAGAUUCUUUCCCUUUAUGAGAAUAACUUUUCAGGUUUUAUUUCUAAGGAUAUAGGUUUGCUUUCUGGACUUGAAACCCUCUAUCUUGACUCUAAUUUUUUUGAGGGUCCGCUUCCCCCACAUAUAUUUAGGCUGUCCAAAUUAAGAGAUCUGGACCUCUCAUACAGUAGAAAUUUAUUUGAAGGAAGUAUUCCUAUUGGACUGGGACUCUUGACUAACCUCAGGUACUUAGAUCUAUAUUCCAAUAAUCUCAGUGGCUAUAUUCCAUCUGACAUUGGAAACCUGAAGCUACUAGAAGGUCUUAUUCUCGGUUCUAAUAAAUUGACUGGACCAGUUUCAAAGAUCAUUUCUAAUCUCACAAAUCUUAUAUAUCUUGAUGUAAGUGAUAAUAGUCUUAGUGGAAAUAUUCAGAGUGACUUGUGGAAAUAUAACGAUCAUCCAACUUUGGAAUACAUCAAUUUAAGUGGGAACCAUUUUACGGGUAUAGUUUUUCUCUAUAGAUCUUUUCCUUUUCUCAUAUGUAACUAAGCUGGUAAUCUGAUUAUUGCAGUUUUACCAAAGUUUCAACAAUCUUGACAGGUGAGCUUCCAACAACAAUUUGCAAUGUCACUUCCCUUUCGGUUCUUGAUUUGUCAAAUAAUGCGUUAAGUGGUGCACUUCCAAACUGUUUCGGGAAUCUUGCUGAUGGAUUGCUUUACAUUAAUCUUGCUCAUAAUCAGUUUCGAGGAACAAUACCAACUACUUUCUCCAGGAGUUGUCAGCUGACAUAUCUGAACAUGGAUGAUAAUGAGUUUGAAGGAUUGAUGCCCCCAUCUUUGGCGAACUGUAAGCACUUGAAAAUUUUUGAUAUUGGCAAUAAUAAAAUAGGUGGUACAUUUCCGUCAUGGCUUUAUGUACUUGGAGAGCUAGAAGUCCUUGUCUUGAAAUCAAAUAAACUCUAUGGUACAAUAAGUGGAAGGAGCAGUGAAGAUCCCUUCCCCAAGUUGCGGAUUGUGGAUCUGUCCAACAAUCAAUUCACAGGCCAUUUGCCAAUUCAAUACUUUAAGAAUAUGAAAUCAACUGAUAAUUUGUAUCGUUAUCAGAAUGACACAAGAGUUUUUUCUUUCCAUUAUGAAGCAGCAGUCUCAUUAACUGUGAAGGGAACAGAGUAUGAAGUGAAAAAAAUCCUUCAUAUUUACACAACCAUUGAUCUGUCCUGCAACAAAUUUCAAGGAGAAAUUCCAGACGUUAUUGGAGAGCUUAGAUGGCUUGCAUUGCUCAACUUAUCUCAUAAUAGUCUAACAGGACCUAUCCCAUCAUUGCUGAGGAAUAUGAAAGAACUCCAAUCUUUAGAUUUGUCUUCAAAUCAACUGACAGGGGCUAUUCCACCUCAGUUAACUGCAUUGACAUAUCUAGAGGUCUUGAACCUCUCGGGAAACCAUCUUAGUGGAGAGAUUCCUCAGAAAGGACAGUUCAGCACAUUCAACAAUGAUUCUUAUCUUGGAAACUCCGCGUUAUGUGGAUCACCUUUGACGAAGAAAUGUGCAAACACAGCAUCACCUCCACAAGAAGUCGGAAAUGGUGAUGAAGAUGAUGCUGGUGAUGAAUUGACAUGGGAAGCAAUCGUGAUGGGAUAUGGAUGUGGACUGAUAUGUGGAUUGUCAUCUGCAUACAUUGUUCUCAAACUAGGAAAGCCUUGGUGGUUUGUGAGAUAUGUCGAAGUACUGCAACUGAAGUUGAUGAAAAGAUAUGCUUGAAGAAUGGUACUGGCCGAUCAAGACGAACUUGAAAGUUGUUGUCCUUGUGCAUUUCUGAACCAGUUGUGUACUAUUCUCUUUGUGGCUGCAUAAGUAUUUGGUAUUGUGUAAUAUUCUGUUUGGUCUUGAAUCAUAAUGAUUCUUCUUGCUCCAGGGUUAUUAAUAUAAACCUUGGUAUUGUGUGCUAGCUGUAAUAUUCUGUUUGAUCAAUGUUUAUACCAGUAAUUUUAUGCUCCACAGUGCAUCAUGCAGCUCUCAUAUUAUCUCUAUGAUUAACCUGAAUUCAGUUUCAUUUUGUUUCCGAAUCUCAACUACUUCAACUUGAGCUACAAUAGCUUCACUGGUCUAAUACCCCCAGAUAUUGAAAAUUUAACAGAGCUGCAAUACCUUGAUUUUAGCUCUAAUAAACUCACUGGUGCAAUUCCGGACCAGGUAAGCCAUCUUCAAACAUUGCGAACCUUAAACCUGUUGGAUAAUCACUUGGAAGCUCCAAACUGGUCCGCUUUUUCCCCUAUGCCUUCUCUGACAAACCUCUGUCUCAAUAAUAAUAAUCUUUCGUCGAAAUUCCCAGACUUCAUAUCAAAUUGUCGAAACCUGACUUACCUUGAUCUUUCAUUAAACUUGUUAACAGGUGAUUUGGUUCUUGGUAAUACGGAAUCGCUCUAUCACAGAAGUAAUUCUUUUGAGGGGUCAUUUCCACCAAAUAUAUUAAAACUUUCAAAAUUAAGAGUUCUUUCCCUAUCNCUUUCCCUAUCAUAUAAUAGAUUUUCAGGUUCUAUUCCGCAUGAUAUAGGAAUGCUUCGUGUUUUGGAAUCCCUUUUUUUUAGUAGCAGUUCUUUUGAUGGCCUGCUUUCACCAAAUUUAUUUAAGCUUCCAAAAUUAAAAGUUCUUUCCAUGUCAUUUAAUAACUUUUCGGGUUAUAUUCCAAAUGAAAUAGGAUUGCUUCAUGAUUUAGAGUCCCUUUAUUUUAAUGGAAAUUCUUUUGAGGCCGUUUCCACCAAAUAUAUUCAACCUUUCCAAAUUAAAAGUUCUUUACCUCUCAAAUAAUAACUUUUCAGGUUCUAUUCCUAAUGAUAUAAGUGUGCUUCGUGAUCUUGAGAUACUUGAUUUGUCCUCUAAUUCUUUUGAAGGGAUUAUUCCAUUGGAGCUGGGGUUCUUGAAUAAGCUGAGCUAUUUAUAUCUUGAUUCCAAUCAAUUGACUGGACCGCUUUUGAAGAACAUGUAUAAUCUCAGUAAUCUUAUUGAGAUCAACUUUAGUGGAAACCGCUUAACAGGUUUGCUAUUCAUUCUUGUUUUCUUCUUUAUGUAACUUCUUUAUGUAACUUCUUCAAUGCUGAUGAAAUGAUCACGAACCACAAUUUCACCAAAGCUCCUUUAAUUUCAACAGGUGAGUUUUCGACAGCAAUUUACAGAGAGAGAAUUACGAUGUUAUUAGGGAAAUCUAAAGAGAAGGUGCAGAGACCUCGGCAUAAUGAUCCUCCAACCUCUCAUUAACAAUGUCCAGGUUUCUUUAAAAGUAUUAAAUGUUAUUAACAUAGUACUUAAUGGUGUUAUAAAGAGAGUCGUGAUGUAACACUAUAUUUUGUUUACGAGAUAUUUUAAGUGUAAGAAGGUCCAUGCUGAGUUGUGAACAAUUAUUCUCACGUAUAUUAUCAAUGGUGAACAUCUUUAUUAGUAAGAUUGUGCUUUUUAGUUGGAUUGUGGUCCUUCUGUUGCUCCUUGGUAAGAUUUUUCGUCCUAGGUGGGAUUGUUAGGCACAAUGCCAGUCUAAUCAAGUUUGCGAAGGAAGUGUUAAAUACUAGAAUUAUUAAACCUGUAUAUAAAUUUAGAUGUCUGCACAGCGUUGUUACAUUGUCGAGUAGACAACUAAUUUUAAUCUGGUGGCAGGAAAUAGGGAAUCAAGAAGAAGAUGCAGCCAACAAUGAGAAGCUAGAGAAGCAAUUGAACUACUCGAACAAGAGCAAAAGCGGAUAGAAGCAGAACCAGAUGUUAAACUAGAGGCAAAAAAGAGAGCCUCCAACAGGCUUAUUUUAAGGUAAAUUACAAGAAAAGAAAGUCUGCCAUCAAUGUUAGACAAAAAGAUAUGCCGAUGCUCACAGAUAAUAAUAGUAGCAGGCGUACUUACUCUCUCUACAUAUAAUACUGUAACAAAGGUUUUCAAUGAGCCAAUUUAUUCCAACUAAGCAGGCACUAAGCAGCCACGUCAGAUCCACCUUAGCAAUCACUUUGCAUUUGUGAUGAUGAUCACAAUUAAAUCUUUAUCCCAAUGAUUUUUCUAUUAAUCUUUUGUGGAAUUCUAUGUCUGCAGAGAGAGCAAUACGUGUUGGUCAUGGUUUCUAUAAGUGAAGGUGAGACAACAAUGGUGUUCUCUUUGCCUCAAUUACACCCCUAAUUGCUGGCUAUUUGAGCUGCUGAAAGUUUAAUAAUGGCAAUCGUUUGUAGCUCGAAGAGAAUGAUGUAAGAAUUUAAUCUCAAUAGGAAGCUGUAGAACACAACAAUAUUGCAUAUAGAAGCCAUCCAGCUGCACACCCUGAUCACGGAGUUUUUGAGUCUUUAGAAUGCAAAAAUACAAUGCACAUGGGUAUGCCUACAAGUGGAGAUAUUUAGAAAACUGCUUCUUGUGCACAGUUAGUUAAAUAUUUACUAAUAAUAUAUCUUCAAUAACAACAUUACAGCUACAGUUCAGCAAUGAAUGAUCAUCAAAUGGCUUCUGCAGCACCGACACAGAAUGCCAGUGGACUAGUGGAGUAAUUCCAGGGGAUGCUCUGAUCAUAAAUUCUCGCUGGUGAAUUGAAGAAUUGAGCUUGAGCUAAGAAGGUGAUCUGCAUAUAAUCUUUAACCAUUUUCUGAUGGUACAAAUGUUGCUAUUUAAAAAAAUAAAGAUCAAAUAAACAAAUAUUACUUUACUAAUAUUUUACAUAGCUGCUGCUGUCGAAAACUGGAAACUUGUUGUGUAUUAUAAAAAUAGCAAGGAACUGAACUAAAUAAGCGAGGCAGGUAACUAUUGGAACAAACUGGCAUAUACCUUCUCUUUUCUUAUACUUCUUGCUUGGGGGCAAUAAGUCGUCUCUACCAUAAUAAAGUAAAAAGUAGUCAAAUUACAACUCCCUUGGGUUUCCGUUUGAAUUAGGACAUGUGUGGUGCACCAUACUCUCUUGUCAAAUAUUUUGAAGUUUUGCAUAUUGCAGUUUCACUUUUCAAAGAAACCUCUCUGUCAUUGCUAUAUUAGUAUGCGACUGUUAUUUGGAUUAGUUAUGAUCUGUAUCUAAAAUUAAUGGCACAGAUCUUGAUUUCUAGAACACCAGGUAAUAUUCUCAGAAACAGUGAUAUUCUGUUACAAAGUGAUUGUUGUCGACCAUCUUUACACAUUUUUCUUAUUAUUAAAAAAUAAAUUUUAUAAAAUAGAUUUUUAAAAUAUAGAUACUAUUGAUAUGGUCUUUAUAAUAGAUAUUAGAUAUUAAAAUUUUUAUUUAUAAAAAUUUAUGGAUGAGUUAUUGUAAUAACUGAUUGUCGAGAUCCUAGGUUCCUGGCUAAAUAGGAGUCCAUAUAUUUUGUUAUAAUAUAAUCAAAUAUCAAAACAUUCCUAGGAGGUCUAUAAGUUUAUAACGGUCCGAUAAAGGAAACAUGAAUAAAAUUGAUCAAAAUAUUUUGACCAUUUCAGGUGAUAAUGAUCAUAUAAUUUUCAUAUGACAGAACAAUAAGCCGUAGAGUUUGCUUAGGGGAUUAUGUAGGUUGCAGCAAGAUUUUCAAAAUAAAGCUGAUUUAUCAUUCAUAUAUUUUUUUGGUCCUCUUGGUUUAUGAGUGCUCUUUGUAUCUCUUGCUCUUAGCAUGCAUCCCCUCCCUUUAGUAAAUCAGCUUUGUGCUCAAUUACCUAAUUAUAGAUGAUGUUUCCUAAAUGGAAUAUUUCAAUUAAAUAUAUUAAUUGCUAAGCAACAGCCAAUAUGUUGUGUUGGUUAUUAAAUUAUUGUAGGCAUUUAUUCUUACAGAUGGUUUGGAGAUAAUUUCGAGCAAUCUAUGAGUUUGAAUAAUAUGUCUUAACAGUAUAUAGGGCCAUGAGGAGCUUGGCGCUGCCAGCUUGCGCUUGCGGGAAGAUGAAGAUUUUACGAGAUUUAAAAAUAUUGCAACUAUAGAGCUAGGAAGAUAAGAGAUUGGAAGUUGGUAAUUCUCCCCUUUCCCAUCAGAAUUCAAUGACUCUUUGAAACUGUACUUUCGUGAAUUUUGUCUUAAUUUCAUCAGGCGACCAGAACAACUUCAGAGACAUAUGGUGAGUUGUUGUCGAGUAUUUUGAAGAGUAUCGUUCGCAGGGAAGGAUUGAUAUCAAUACCAAUUUCAAGUCUUUUAUCUCUUAUGAUUCAGAAGUGUGGAGAAGAAUUUGGUGGGAUUUUCUAUCAACUAAUUAAUGUAAUAAGUAAAUAAAUAUAAUAAAUAUGAGAGAAAACAACCCAAGAAUUAGAGUUCUUCAAUCGCUAUCAUGAAUGUCUAAUUUGUGUCUCUUGUUUGCUAAAAACAAUCCUUCUAAUAUUAAUAAACUCCUCUCCCAAGGUAGAUUAUAAUGCUUACAAUUAUCCAUUAAAAGCCACUCCCAUGGUCAAUCAAAGAACACUUGUAAACUAUUAAGAACCAAGGAUUUUAAGUCUCACAAUUCUCAUAUCAAUCUCCCGAUCUAAUACUCAAAUUGUGUCCAUCAUAUCAUGUACUAGAAUUAUAACUCCUCUCCCGAUUCGUUAUAACUCCUAGAGAUUCAAUCACAAGUUAGCUACUCCUGUAAUUGUAUAAAGAGCUCAAUGACAGAUUAACAAAUCAAGAGAAAACACAAUCCAACUAAACAAACAUAUUAAGCCAAAGAAUACUACCUAACUCUUGGAUCAAAGGAUUAGCUACUCAUGAUAAGAUGAAACAAAUAUAUAUUUAUACCACAAACCAUGAGCGUAAGAAUUUAAAUACGAAGAAUACAACUUGACGAAAGAGCUUGAAGUCCGGAUGAAUCCCUUCACUCCUUCUUCCAAUAUCUCUCACAAGUGCUUCUCUCCCUUUUCUCUCUAAAAAAGCUAUCUCUAUAUUAUUCUAUAUGAUACAAAGUUAGUUGUCUCUAAUCUCUAUCAAAACCCUAAUAUAUAUAAGAGUUUUCUUAAUUUACAAGAAAAUAAAAUAAUAUCCUAAAACUAGUUGGAUUCUGAUGCUGAAAUUCGUAGGCUUCUGUUCAGGCCUGAUUCUGGGCUGAUCCAGUUGGAUUUUGACAUCUGGACCACCUUAAACUUGUAGAAAAUUCCUAUAUCUUCGCGUGGGCUGUUGAAUCGCCCAAUUCUGACAUCCAGAACUCAAGUUACGGCCCAAACAAGAUUUGCUUCGCUGGCUAUAUAUAAAGUCCGAAUUUCCAUCUAAUUAAGCCCAAAUAAGCUUGAUUUAAUCCAACUUUAGGAAUAUUUAUUUUCCUGCCACUAAACACUUAAAAUCAAUUAGUAAUAACCCGAUUAUUUACAAAAUACUAAAAUUAUGGGAAUAAAAUCAUAUAAAAACAUAUAUAAAUAUAUGCUCUAUCAUGAGUUUUGUGUCCUGCUUCUCAUUUCACAUACAUUGCCUUUUAAGAAGGGUGUUCUUAUAUAAUUUUGGAAGUGCUAUUGCUAAUUUGUUUCAGGUAAUAGCUGCACCGCAUAUAUAAAAUAUACAAAAAAUGUUUUUCCCGGCCUUCUUAAAAGUUUGAAUAAUAUUCCCCCUGUCUUGUGAUUGCAAACAAUAAUUGUUUUUGUAUCCAAGUACUUAAGCUUUUCCAUUAACUUUUUGGAUUUUGAACCAUGAUUGCCAAUGAGCAUUGAUAAUAUAGCCUAGGCCUCGGUCAUUUGAAUUUUUUGGAUAUUGUCUAAAGGCUUUCAAUGUAGUGAUUCUGUGACAACGUUGGACAAUAAUGUGUACAAGCUGGAUUCAGCAGAUUUCUAACAUGUGUUGAUUAUUACUAAUUAUGGAUUUACUGGUAUAGCAAGAAAUUACAGGCCCGAGGUCUUAAAGUUUGGGUGUCAUCACUUUUCUGGUCUACUUGCAAUCUUUUCUUCUUACUACCUCUUCUAGCAGUGUGUAGUUCCACUUUGCUAUUAAAUGAGCAAGUUAAUGACUGUUUAGGGGAUUGAGAUCUGACAAGUCUUGCUACUUUUGAUGGGUUUGAUAGGUUUGAUGAGUGCUUAAGUGAUAUUAAUCACCAAACUUAUGUAUAUGCAUUUUGAUGUGUUGAUUAUUUAGCAUAGUUGCUGCAUAACAAAUAUUAGUUAAAGGAUGAGAUCUUCUAAAAGAAGUCAGAAAUGUAAAAGCCAAUGUCAAAGUGGAUUUGAUCAAAAAGAGAUUCGCAUGCUGAUUAUUACUUUUUUGUGCAGAAAAAAUGUGAUCUCAAACAUCCCCUGGCAAUGAGAUAUAUCGCAGGGCACAUUGUCAAUGUUUUAGAUAUGUUUACAUGUUUAGCUGAUCUGCAAAUUCCUUUACGUCUUGGUUUCUGUCUCAUGUGAUUAUAUUCUCAGCGUUUGGAACUUGGAAUUGCAUAGCUUACCGCCAACACAAUUAUACAACUUCUUUUACUCAGUGAAUGAUGCUACACUUGAGACUUUCAUUAUGAUAUUUAUCUUGAGACACAUGUUCCCCAGUUUUAUAACUGGUAUAUUUGGCCUUGCUUUGUAUUUUUAAAUAUUACUGUUCAAUGGACUUAUACUAAACCCUUGCUUAUAAACAAGUACUCUUCAUCUGUUUGUUUGUUUAACUAUAUGACAUUUUACAUGUUUUUAUAGGUAGAUGGGAAAAAGAAUAAGGUUUAUGGGCAGAAUCUUUGUUAUCUGGAAAAAUUGUUUCUUGAUUACAAAACACUAUAUUAUAACGUCGAUUCACAAUAACUUAAUUGAUCAGCGCUCGGAGUCUCCUUUCUAAUCAAGGCUGUGGAGUGUGGAGGCCUAGGGCCUGAGCAUAUAAGGAUAUUCACAAUAAUUUUUUUUUUUUAUGAAUUUAUUUUCAUAGAUAUUUGUGUGUAGUUCCUUAAAUUGGGAAUACGGCUCGAGAGGAUAAGGGAUUGUUUGGUUGUUUAGUGUGAUUGGUAUUUUACUAGAUCAGAGAGUUUAUUACCACAAGCAUCCUAUGCAUUAACACUUGUCAGCAGCUGAAUUCCUGACAUAACACAUGAAUUCAGAAGACAUGACACAUGAAUUCAGUAUUUGGAAUUUGAUUGAAAUUCUGAAUGAUUUAUUGUUUACCAGAGGUUAUAACCACUACUUGUAUAUGGUAUCGGGUGUGUCCAUCUCCGGAAGAUCUAAUUGGCGUUAUAUGUUAAAUUUUCAAUAAAUAUCUCCGGAAGAUCUAAUUGGCGUUAUAUGUUAAAUUUUCAAUAAAUAUCUCCGGAAGAUCUAAUUGGCGUUAUAUGUUAAAUUUUCAAUAAAUAUCUGGAUGUGUAUUUUUGAUUAUCGAAAGAGUUCCCAUAUUAUUAUGUCGUUUUAUUUUCCUUCACUUUUGGCAGCCCCAAGUGAAAGUGAUGACUAUUGGUACUUGAGUUUUUUUGGCUGAAAUCACUAAUAUAAUUGUUACACUACAACAAAACUGGCAUCAGACAACACUAGUCACACAACGGACGCUGGAAAAAGUGUUGGCCGAAACAAAGACACAACACUUUAUUUUCGUCCUCGAAAAACUAUUGUCUAACACCUACGACCUACAACGGUUAAAAAACUGUUGUCUAAUAAAUUUAAUCAGACAACGGUCUCUUAACUGUGGUAUUGUGUAAUGAUGCACGUUAGACAACUGUUUUUAGAGCCGAUGUGUGAAGAAACUUCAGACAAUAUUCCGAGAAACCGUUGUUGUAAUGAGACAAGUGUUUUAUUUGUUGUGUUGUUUACGAAAAGAUCAGACAAGGGUUCCAUAGAGUGUUGUGUGACUGGGAAGCUAACAUACAAGUGUUUUUGUUAGCAUCGUAUCAUGGCCUUAUAGACAAGCCUUUAGCUAGUAAAACGUUGUCUGACUGAAUGACUUAUAAGAAAAUAAAUGUACAUAAAAGAGUGCAAACAUUCAAAAGUCCUAACCAAAGUUACAAAUAUAUAUUCAUUUUCUUAGUAGUCAUAGGCUUUUCUAGCAUUAGAUCAAGUAUUGAUCAAGGAAAUGCGAAUUUUUAACUCAUAAAAAUGAAAGUUUAUUAUACAACGGUUUUCUUCCCAUAAAUCGUUGUGUCAUUUUCAAUGAUACAACUUAGAUGCUUAUAAAAACCGUUGUGUGUUAGACACUACGGGACAAAAAAUACCUUUUUAUAAUAAGACAAAAUUUACAAUUAACAAGUAAUGUUAAAAAAACAUACAAAAUGAAUAUAAAAAAUUUAGAUUUUUUUUAUACAUGACUAAUAUUGUUAGUUCUCGACAUCCGUACGGUUAGAUCAUCGAAAAAAAUAUUUAAAAAUUAAUAUUAUGCUCAUCUUAUACAUAACAAAGAUUNNNNNNNNNNNNNNNNNNNNNNNNNNNNNNNNNNNNNNNNNNNNNNNNNNNNNNNNNNNNNNNNNNNNNNNNNNNNNNNNNNNNNNNNNNNNNNNNNNNNNNNNNNNNNNNNNNNNNNNNNNNNNNNNNNNNNNNNNNNNNNNNNNNNNNNNNNNNNNNNNNNNNNNNNNNNNNNNNNNNNNNNNNNNNNNNNNNNNNNNNNNNNNNNNNNNNNNNNNNNNNNNNNNNNNNNNNNNNNNNNNNNNNNNNNNNNNNNNNNNNNNNNNNNNNNNNNNNNNNNNNNNNNNNNNNNNNNNNNNNNNNNNNNNNNNNNNNNNNNNNNNNNNNNNNNNNNNNNNNNNNNNNNNNNNNNNNNNNNNNNNNNNNNNNNNNNNNNNNNNNNNNNNNNNNNNNNNNNNNNNNNNNNNNNNNNNNNNNNNNNNNNNNNNNNNNNNNNNNNNNNNNNNNNNNNNNNNNNNNNNNNNNNNNNNNNNNNNNNNNNNNNNNNNNNNNNNNNNNNNNNNNNNNNNNNNNNNNNNNNNNNNNNNNNNNNNNNNNNNNNNNNNNNNNNNNNNNNNNNNNNNNNNNNNNNNNNNNNNNNNNNNNNNNNNNNNNNNNNNNNNNNNNNNNNNNNNNNNNNNNNNNNNNNNNNNNNNNNNNNNNNNNNNNNNNNNNNNNNNNNNNNNNNNNNNNNNNNNNNNNNNNNNNNNNNNNNNNNNNNNNNNNNNNNNNNNNNNNNNNNNNNNNNNNNNNNNNNNNNNNNNNNNNNNNNNNNNNNNNNNNNNNNNNNNNNNNNNNNNNNNNNNNNNNNNNNNNNNNNNNNNNNNNNNNNNNNNNNNNNNNNNNNNNNNNNNNNNNNNNNNNNNNNNNNNNNNNNNNNNNNNNNNNNNNNNNNNNNNNNNNNNNNNNUUUUUUUAUACGUGACUAAUAUUGUUAGUUCUUGACAUCCGUACGGUUAGAUCAUUGAAAUAAAUAUUUAUGAAUUAAUACACAACUAAUUGAAUACAUAACAAAGAUUAUAUCUACUACUUUUUAAAUUGUAAACAUAAAACACAUACUAAUACAUGCGUCCGAAGUACAAAAUUGUCUCGGUUUUACACAUGAACAAUACAUAUUUGCAUAUAUACAUAACAUAAAUAUAUUUUUUUAAUACAAAGAGUGCAAAAACAAGAAUUAAUCAAGGAAAUGCGAAUUUUUAACUCAUAAAAAUUACCUUUUUAUAAUAAGAAAAAUUUUANACGAUUGACUAGUGUUGUUAAAAACCGUUGUCUGAUGCUGUUUUUGUUGUAGUGUUAUAUUAAAUUCUUGUGCUAAAACUUGUAUGGUUUGCCCCGCCCGCGGCUUCAAACAGCCAACAAGGUAAGCUAUUAUACUCAGGGGACCGAAAAAGGUAACAAAUGCAUAAACGAUUAGCUUUUCUUCUUUGCUGCAUAGUUUUUUUUUUUUUGUCAGGUUCUUUGCUGCAUAGUUAAUAACAAAUAACAUGAUCUCAAAAAAAAAAAAGAGGCGCGUACUAUGAAUGUAAAAAUAACAAUUUCAAUACUCUUUUUCACUAUAGAAAAACAAAAUUAUUGUGCUAGAUCUUUGCCCGUGCCUUGCACGGGCUUUAAAGCUAGUUUUUUAUUAAUAUGUGAAACUCCAAUAUAUAUUAUUAUACGAUAUAUUAUGAAAACACUAUGUUUUGUAAUGUUCAUCUUAUCCUACCAGAAAAAUUACAUCGCUAACAAAAUUAUAUCAAUUUUAUUUUAUAAACUCAAAUAAUUUAAUUUAUGAAACAACUCUAUGAGAUUCUUAUCAUGAGUUAGAAUUCAAAUAAAUAAAGAGUUCAUAUUGAUAAGUGGAAUUGAUGUGCAAGUAAGGGGUAUAAAAAAAUCUCAAAAUAACUCCAAAAAGCACAUGACAUGUUUGAUUUGAUAGAACUGGUACAUAAACAGGGGGACCAUUAUAUUUAUAAGCAAGUGACCAACAAUAGUUUACUACUGAUAUUUUGUGAUAUUUUUUGUGAUAUUUUUUGAGACCUUUAACAUUAUUCUGUGAAGUGGUAUACUACUGUUACUAGUUCUGAAACUUCAAACAAAGUAGGCGCAACAUUGUAAGAGUGAUUAAUAAAGUUGAGAAACAGUGUGUACAUUGAGCAGUAUGACAAUCAGGUUCAGCAUAUAAUACAAUCAGAUUCACAAUCAGGUUCACGAGAAACAUGCUGCAUUCCAAAAAGCCUUAUUAUCUUCUUCACUAAAUAACAAGGCAAAUACAGCAUAUAAAUACAAGUUAUAAGUACAAGUGUGGUAUUAGAUUCAUAACCCAGUUGAGGAGAAACAUGGCACACUUUGUAAGGCCUUCUCACCUUCUUCUCUUUGUUUUCUUUCUCUCAUCACUCGAAUCCAUUCUUGCAACAAGACAAGAGGGGGAAGCUCUUGUGAAGUGGAAGAAUAGCCUAGCCCCUUCUUCUUUUCUCCACUCUUGGUCACUCACCAAUCUCGAAAAUCUUUGUAAAUGGACUGGCAUUACUUGUAACUCUGCAGGUUCAGUCUCUGAGAUUAACCUUUGUGAGAAACAACUUGAUGGAAUGCUGUCCGAGUUCGGUUUCACUUCAUUUCCAAAUCUCAAGAAUCUCACCCUGGCAGACAACUUCUUCUCAGGUCCAAUACCACCAGCCAUUGAGAAUUUAACACAGCUUCAAUAUCUUGAUUUAAGCAUGAAUAGUCUUAAUGGUCCCAUUCCGUUCCAGGUUAGCCAUCUUCAGAGCUUGCUCAUCUUGAACCUGUCACAGAAUGCAUUGCAAGCUCCAAAUUGGUCCCAUUUCUCUCCCAUGCCUUUCUUGCGCAUCCUCGACCUUAGUUUUAAUAAUCUUGUGUCGAAAUUCCCAGAAUUUAUAUCCAAUUCUCAUAGCCUGACUCACCUUAACCUUUCAAAUAACAAGUUUACUGGUCAUCUUGUGCAUAAAUUUACCAAUCUACAAAAUCUUGAAACCCUCUACCUUCAGAUCAAUUCUUUUGAGGGGCCGUUUCCACCAGAUAUAGUCCAGCUUUCCAAAUUAAAACGACUCUCCCUGUCAUGUAACAAAUUUUCAGGUUCAAUUCCCAAUGACGUAAGGUUGCUUUUUGGUCUUGAAUCCCUAAAUUUAGGCAACAAUUCCUUUGAAGGACCGCUUCCACCAGAUAUAUUCAAGCUUUCAAAGUUAAAACGACUUGUUCUUUGGAGUAAUAAGUUUUCAGGUUCUGUUUCCAAUGAUAUAGGUUUGCUUUCUGAGCUUGAAACCCUCCAUCUUUACUCUAAUUUUUUUGAGGGGCCACUUCCGCCAAAUUUAUUCAAGCUCUCCAAACUAAAAGAUCUCACCCUGUCAAGUAACAAAUUUUCAGGUUCAAUUCACAAUGAUAUAAGGUUACUUUGUGAUCUUGAAGACCUAUAUUUAGCUAACAAUUCCUUUGAAGGACCGCUUCCACCAGAUAUAUUCAAGCUUUCAAGAUUAAAACGUCUUUUUCUUUAGAGUAAUAAGUUUUCAGGUUCUGUUUCCAAUGAUAUAGGUUUGCUUUCUGAGCUUGAAAGCCUCGAUCUUAACUCCAAUUUUUUUGAGGGGCCGCUUCCGCCAAAUGUAUUCAAGCUCUCCAAACUAAAGAUUCUUUCCCUUUAUGAGAAUAACUUUUCAGGUUUUAUUUCUAAGGAUAUAGGUUUGCUUUCUGGACUUGAAACCCUCUAUCUUGACUCUAAUUUUUUUGAGGGUCCGCUUCCCCCACAUAUAUUUAGGCUGUCCAAAUUAAGAGAUCUGGACCUCUCAUACAGUAGAAAUUUAUUUGAAGGAAGUAUUCCUAUUGGACUGGGACUCUUGACUAACCUCAGGUACUUAGAUCUAUAUUCCAAUAAUCUCAGUGGCUAUAUUCCAUCUGACAUUGGAAACCUGAAGCUACUAGAAGGUCUUAUUCUCGGUUCUAAUAAAUUGACUGGACCAGUUUCAAAGAUCAUUUCUAAUCUCACAAAUCUUAUAUAUCUUGAUGUAAGUGAUAAUAGUCUUAGUGGAAAUAUUCAGAGUGACUUGUGGAAAUAUAACGAUCAUCCAACUUUGGAAUACAUCAAUUUAAGUGGGAACCAUUUUACGGGUAUAGUUUUUCUCUAUAGAUCUUUUCCUUUUCUCAUAUGUAACUAAGCUGGUAAUCUGAUUAUUGCAGUUUUACCAAAGUUUCAACAAUCUUGACAGGUGAGCUUCCAACAACAAUUUGCAAUGUCACUUCCCUUUCGGUUCUUGAUUUGUCAAAUAAUGCGUUAAGUGGUGCACUUCCAAACUGUUUCGGGAAUCUUGCUGAUGGAUUGCUUUACAUUAAUCUUGCUAAUAAUCAGUUUCGAGGAACAAUACCAACUACUUUCUCCAGGAGUUGUCAGCUGACAUAUCUAAACAUGGAUAAUAAUGAGUUUGAAGGAUUGGUGCCCCCAUCUUUGGCGAACUGCAAGCACUUGAAAAUUCUUGAUAUUGGCAAUAAUAAAAUAGGUGGUACAUUCCCGUCAUGGCUUUAUGUACUUGGAGAGCUAGAAGUCCUUGUCUUGCGAUCAAAUAAACUCUAUGGUACAAUAAGUGGAAGGAGCAUAGAAGAUCCCUUCCCCAAGUUGCGGAUUGUGGAUCUGUCCGAUAAUCAAUUCACAGGCCAUUUGCCAAUUCAAUACUUUAAGAAUAUGAAAUCAACUGAUAAUAUGUAUAAUUAUCUGAAUUCCACAGGAGGAAUAUAUUUCACUUAUGAAGCAGCAGUCUCAUUAACUGUGAAGGGAACAGAGUAUGAAGUGACAAAUAACCUUCAUAUUUACACAGCUAUUGAUCUGUCGUGCAACAAAUUUCAGGGUGAAAUUCCAAAAAUUAUUGGAGAGCUUAGAUGGCUUGCAUUGCUCAAUUUAUCGCAUAAUAGUCUGACAGGACAUAUCCCAUCAUUUCUGAGAAAUAUGAAAGAACUCCAAUCUUUAGAUUUGUCCUCAAAUCAACUGACAGGGGCCAUUCCACCUCAGUUAACUGCAUUGACAUUUCUAAAGGUCUUAAAUCUCUCGAAAAACCAUCUCAGUGGAGAGAUUCCUCAGGAAGGACAGUUCAGCACAUUCAACAAUGAUUCUUAUCUAGGAAACUCCGCGUUAUGUGGAUUACGUCUGACAAAGAAAUGUGCAAACACAGCAGGGAUUCCUCAGAAAGGACAGUUCAGCACAUUCAACAAUGAUUCUUAUAUAGGAAACUCCGCGUUAUGUGGAUCACCUUUGACGAAGAGAUGUGCAAACACAGCAUCACCUCCACAACAAGUCGGAAAUGGUGAUGAAGAUGAUGCGGGAGAUGAAUUGAGAUGGGAAGCAAUCGUGAUGGGAUAUGGAUGUGGACUGAUAUGUGGAUUGUCAUCUGCGUACAUUGUUCUCAAACUAGGAAGGCCUUGGUGGGUUGUGAGAUAUGUCGAAGUACUGCAACUGAAGUUGAUGAAAAGAUAUGCUUGAAGAAUGGAACUGGCCGAUCAAAACGAACUCGAAAGCAGUUGUCCUUGUGGACAUUUCUGAACCAGUAGUGUACUAGCUGCAUAAGUAUUUGGUAUUAUGUAAUAAUCCACAUAUUCAAUAUCACACUCUUCCUGUGAGGAAACAAAUAUGGAGAAACAUUUCUAUUUACAAAACUUUUACCAUUAUACACUCUUAUAGUACUGGUUAAUAGUUUGUUGUUCAGCCUAGUCCUAAACUGAAAUUAUCAGUUCUAUGUGAGUAUGCUUUCAAAUAAGAAUUAGGUGAUCUGCCUAGUCCAAAACUACUCUAAUACUAUAUCGCUGGUAGUCUUUCAGUUCAUCCUAUUGUAUACAAUAGUUUCUUCCUUUGACACAAAAAUGUCUGCAGUCAGUGUCACCACCACAGGAAGUCGAAAAUGGUGAUGAAGAUUGAUUUGCGGAUUGUCUUAUGGGUACAUUUUUUUCAAAAAAGGAAGGCCUUGGUGGUUUGUGAGAUACAUCGAAGUGCUGCAACUUAAGUUGAUGUUACCAAGAAUGAAAAAUAUUGUUCGACCAAGAUCAACAACUUGAAAAUGUGUUCUGAAUCUGUAAUAAUAUUAAAAUAUUAAAAUAUUAUUCAUUUAACAAUAUCGUCCAAUCAAUUUAAUUGAUUAUCAUUUAAUCAAUAUAUAUAGAUGGAUAUUAAUUGUCUUCCCUAGCUCCAACCAAUGAUGAAAUAACCUCCCUAUAAAUCUAUUGAGUCAAAAUUGCAAACAACACUUUCAAAACAUAGGUGCCGAAUAGUCCUUAUUUUAAAUUAAUCAGAAUUGAAUAUUUGAUGGCGCUAAAAAAAUCUGUUGAAAUUAGCAGUUUAUAAGGCAUAUAAAUAGAAGUGUGCGUUACUUUAAGGAUUCAUGAUCAAGUUGAGGAGAAAUAUGCACAGUAUAUAAAGCCUCAUCAUCUUUUUCUCUUUGUUUUCUUUCUCUCAUUACUCCCAUCCAUUCUUACAACACUAGCUGAAACAAGACGAGAGGGAGAAGCUCUUGUGAAAUGGAAGAAUAGCCUAGCCCCUUCUUCUUUUCUCGACUCUUGGUCCCUCACCAAUCUCGAUAAUCUUUGUAACUGGACUGGCAUUACUUGUAACUCUGCAGGUUCAGUCUCUAAGAUUAACCUUUUUGAGAAACAACUUGAUGGAAUGUUGUCCGAGUUUGGUUUCACCUCAUUUCCACAUCUCAACAAUCUCACCCUUGCAGACAACUACUUCUCGGGUCCGAUACCACCAGCCAUUGAGAAUUUAACACAGCUUCAAUUUCUUGAUUUGAGCAAUAAUUAUCUAGAUGGUCCCAUUCCUUUCCAGGUUAGCAAUCUUCAGAGGUUGCUCAUCUUAAACCUGUCACAGAAUGCAUUGCAAGCUCCAAAUUGGUCCCAUUUCUCUCCCAUGCCUUUUUUGCGCAUCCUCAACCUCAGUAGCAAUCCUCUAGCGUCGAAAUUCCCAAAUUUCAUAUCCAAUUCUCAUGGCCUGACUCACCUUAGCCUUAAUUAUAACGAGUUUACUGGUGAUUUAGUACGUGAAUCAAUAUUUGCCAAUCUGCAUAAUCUUGAAGUCCUCGGUCUUGUUGACAAUUCUUUUGAGGGGCCAUUUCCCCCGGAUAUAUUCAGGCUCUCCAAAUUAAAACGUCUCUCCCUGUCAGGUAACAAAUUUUCAGGUUCAGUUCCCAAUGACAUAAGGUUGCUUUGUGAUCUUCAAUCUCUAUAUUUAGCUAACAAUUCCUUUGAAGGACCGCUUCCACCAAAUAUAUUCAAGCUUGCAAAAUUAAAAGAUCUUGCUCUUUGGGGUAAUAAGUUUUCAGGUUCUGUUUCCAAUGAUAUAGGUUUGCUUUCUGUGCUUGAAAUUCUCAAUAUUCACUCUAAUUUUUUUGAGGGGCCCCUUCCGCCAAAUAUAUUCAAGCUCUCCAAAAUAAGGUUUCUUUACCUCGGGGGUAAUAACUUUUCUGGUUCCGUUUCCAAUGAGAUAGGUUUGCUUUCUGAGCUUGAAUCCCUAUAUCUUGGUUCUAAUGUUUUUGAGGGGCCGCUUCCACCAAAUAUAUUCAAGCUUUCCAAAUUAAAAUGGCUUGACCUCGCAGACAAUAGAAAUUUAUUUGAAGGAAGUAUUCCUAUUGGACUGGGACUCUUGACUAACCUCAGCUACUUAGAUCUAAGUUCCAGUAAUCUCAGUGGCUAUAUUCCAUCUGUCAUUGCAAACCUGAAGCUACUAGUAUUUCUUGAUCUCAGUUCUAAUCAAUUGACUGGACCACUUUCGAAGAUCGUUUCUAAUCUCACAAAUCUUAUACUUCUUGGUGUGGAUUAUAAUAGUCUUAGUGGAAAUAUUCAGAGUGAUUUGUGGAAGAACUCUAUAUCCUUACGUUACAUUGAUUUUGAAAAUAAUUAUUUUUCUGGAAACAUUCCUGAGGAAUAUAACGAUCAUCCAACUUUGGAAUACAUCAAUUUAAGUGGGAACUAUUUUACAGGUAUAUUUUCUUAAUAUAUCUUUUCCUUUUGUCAUAUAUAUGUAACUAAGCUAGUAAUCUGAUUAUUGCAGUUUUACCAAAGUUUCAACAAUCUUGACAGGUGAGCUUCCAACAACAAUUUGCAAUGUCACCUCCCUUUCGGUUCUUGUUUUGUCAAAUAAUAAAUUAAGUGGUGCACUUCCAAACUGUUUCGGGAAUCUUGCUGAUGGAUUGCUUUACAUUAAUCUUGCUAAUAAUCAGUUUCAAGGAACAAUACCAACUACUUUCUCCAGGAGUUGUCAGUUGACAUAUCUAAACAUGGUUAAUAAUGAGUUUGAAGGAUUGAUGCCCCCAUCUUUAGCGAACUGUAAGCACUUGAAAAUUCUUGAUAUAGGCAAUAAUAAAAUAGGUGGUACAUUUCCGUCAUGGCUUUAUGCACUUGGAGAGCUAGAAGUUCUUGUCUUGCGAUCAAAUAAACUCUAUGGUACAAUAAGUGGAAGGAGCAUAGAAGAUCCCUUCCCCAAGUUGCGGAUUGUGGAUCUGUCCAACAAUCAAUUCACAGGCCAUUUGCCAAUUCAAUACUUUAAGAAUAUGAAAUCAAAUGAUAAUUUGUAUCGUUAUCUGAAUUCCACAGGAGAAAUAUAUAUCUCUUAUGAAGCAGCAGUCUCAUUAACUGUGAAGGGAACAGAGUAUGAAGUAGCAAAGAACCUUCAUAUUUACACAGCCAUUGAUCUGUCGUGCAACAAAUUUCAGGGAGAAAUUCCAAAGGUUACCGGAGAGCUUAGAUGGCUUGCAUUGCUCAAUUUAUCUCAUAAUAGUCUAACAGGACCUAUCCCAUCAUUGCUGGGAAAUAUGAAAGAACUCCAAUCUUUAGAUUUGUCCUCAAAUCAACUGACAGGGGCUAUUCCACCUCAGCUAACUGCAUUGACAUUUCUAGAGGUCUUGAACCUCUCGGGAAACCAUCUUAGUGGAGAGAUUCCUCAGAAAGGACAGUUCAGCACAUUCAACAAUGAUUCUUAUCUAGGAAACUCCGCGUUAUGUGGAUCACCUUUGACGAAGAAAUGUGGAAACACUGUAUCACCUCCACAGGAAGUCGGAAAUGGUGAUGAAGAUGAUGCGGGUGAUGAAUGGACAUGGGAAGCAAUCGUGAUGGGAUAUGGAUGUGGACUGAUAUGUGGAUUGUCAUCUGCGUACAUUGUUCUCAAACUAGGAAAGCCUUGGUGGUUUGUGAGAUAUAUCGAAGUACUGCAACAGAAGUUGAUGAAAAGAUAUGCAUGAAGAAAGGUACUGGUAGAUCAAGAUGAAAAGAUAUGAAGAAGUAUUUGGUAUUAUGUAAUAAUCCGUUUGGUCGGGACUCAAAAUGAUUUCUCUUGCUUCAGGGGUAUUAAUAUUAACCUUGCUAUCUUGUUCAAUGUUAAUGCAAAUUAAAAAGAAUAUAAAAGCAAAAAAUUUGCAUCAAACACCUGUUGUACCAACAUGCAUCCAUUAAUUUGCUUUCAUCUAUUAAGUAACAAUUUAAGAGCGCUUCCACUCUGUUUAAGCAUGGAGAUUACACAAAGAAGGCAAGUCCAUGGAUUAACACGUAGUCCACAUCUAUGCUACGAACAAUUCACAUUGAUCUUAUAUCUGUUCAACAGUCUCCCGAAGAUAGGCCAUAAAUGUCAUCUGUGGCUCUUAUGUUUGUCAGUAAAGGAGAAUCUCUGAUGCCUAUAACCUGGUUUUCUUACAAGAUGCCCAGGUUAUCAUGGCCAUGCAGAAAAAUGCCCAAAAAUGAAUAGCUCAGGUCUCCCCAAGCCUUCCAGGACUCAUUCCAAGUCUUCGGAGGACCACUGCCUCCCCCUUUCAAAGAUGUGAUUGUAGCUCGAAAGUGAUAUAAAUUAUUUUCCCCACAUUAAAAAUAAAAAAUCAGAUUAAAUUAAUCAAUAAUAAAUUAAGGAUGAAAUCCAAAUUAAUCCUAAAUUUUGAUAAUAUAUAAAAAUUAUAAUUAUAAAUUAUAUAACCAAAUCAGAAUUGAAUUAACUUACUUGGCACUAGAAUUGCUAAAGACAGUAUAAUAAUUUAAUUGAUGAAAAGUCAAAGUCUUCUAAUAAAUCCAUAAAGAAUAUGAUAAUAUGAAAAUUAUAAUUGAAAAAUCAAAAUCAAUAGUGUAUUGGAAUAGUGUUCACACACUUAUAUAUCAAAAUUUGUGGUCCAAAAACUAUAGCACAAUAUCCUAAAUACAUCACAUUAAAUAAUAGCACAAAAAUAUUCAAUAAAUAAUUGAUUUCAUUCAUAAAUUUGUUAUUUUAAAAACUAAUAAUUUGGUUGAUGUUAACCUAUAUUUUAUAUAUAAUUUCGUCUUAUUUUAUUUUACUAGAAACAAUAUUUUUAUAAUAUUUAUUACAUUAAAUAUAUUAAAAGAUAUAAUUUUAUUAAAAAAAUUGAAUAAAAUUAAAAGGAUAAGUCUCGGCCUCUCCAAGUCUACAAGACUCAUUUCAAGUCCACCGAGGGCCUCAACCAUUGAGAGAUGUGAAAGUAGCUUGAGAGUGAUAUAAAUUAAUUAAAUUAGUUAAUAAUGAAUCAAGACUAAUCAUGAAUUAUGAUAAUAAUUAAAUAAAUUAUAAAAUUAAAUUAUACAAAUAACACUAAACCUUAGUUACUUUAUUGGUAAAAUAAAUAUAAUAUAAUAAUUAAAUUGAUGAAAAAUCAAAAUCAUCUAAUAAAUUCACAAAAAAUAUAUGAUCAUUAGUAUAUUAUAUUAGUAUCCACACACUUAUAUUUCAAAUCUAUCCUCCAAAAUUAUCAUCUCGAUAAACUAGCCGCAUAAAAUAAAAAUUUAACGAUAUUAGAUAUUUAGCUAUUUUCAUUAUAUAAUUUUUCCACACUAAAUAACAAAAUAUCUUUAUCAAAUUAUUAUUUAUGAAUUAAAUAUUCAAGUUAUAAUUCCAGCAUGCAGCGUAUAAAUAGAAGUGUGCAGUAUGAUAUCAGAUUCAUAACCCAGUUGAGGAGAAACAUGGCACACUCUGUAAAGCCUUCUCACCUUCUUCUCUUUGUUUUCUAUCUCUCUUAACUUGAAUACAUUCUUGCAACAACACAAGAGGGAGAAGCUCUUGUGAAAUGGAAGAAUAGCCUAGCCCCUUCUUCUUUUCUCGACUCUUGGUCACUCACCAAUCUCGAUGAUCUUUGUAACUGGACUGGCAUCACUUGUAACUCUGCAGGUUCAGUCUCUCAGAUCAACCUUUUCGAAAAACAACUUGAUGGAAUGCUGUCCGAGUUUGGUUUCACUUCAUUUCCGAAUCUCAACAAUCUCACCCUCGCAUACAACUUCUUCUCGGGUCCGAUACCACCGGCCAUUGAGAAUUUAACACAGCUUCGGUAUCUUGAUUUAAGCUUUAAUUCUCUCCAUGGUCCCAUUCCGUUCCAGGUUAGCCAUCUUCAGAGCUUGCUCAUCUUAAACCUGUCACAGAAUGCAUUGCAAGCUCCAAAUUGGUCCCAUUUCUCUCCCAUGCCUUUUUUGCGCAUCCUCAACCUCAUUAGCAAUCCUCUUGCGUCGAAAUUCCCAAAUUUUAUAUCCAACUCUCAUAGCCUGACUCACCUUAGCCUUAAUUUUAAUGAGUUUACUGGUGAUUUAGUACGUGAAUCAGUAUUUGCCAAUCUGCAUAAUCUUGAAUUGCUCAGUCUCGUUGAAAAUUCUUUUGAGGGGCCAUUUCCGCCGGAUAUAUUCAGGCUUUCCAAAUUAAAACAUCUUCACCUGUCAAGUAACAAAUUUUCAGGUUCAAUUUCCAAUGACAUAAGGUUGCUUUGUGAUCUUGAAUCCCUAUAUUUAGGCAACAAUUCCUUCGAAGGACCCCUUCCAUCAAAUAUAUUCAAGCUUUCAAAAUUAAAAAAUCUUGUUAUUGGGAGUAAUAAGUUUUCGGGUUCUGUUUCCAACGAUAUAGGUUUGCUUUCUGAGCUUGAAAGCCUCUAUCUUGACUCCAAUUUUUUUGAGGGGCCGCUUCCGUCAAAUAUAUUCAAGCUCUCCAAAUUAAGGAUUCUUUCCCUUUGGCAUAAUAACUUUUCAGGUUCUAUUUCUAAGGAUAUAGGUUUGCUUUCUGGACUUGAAACCCUCUUUCUUGACUCUAAUUUUUUUGAGGGUCCGCUUCCCCCGCAUAUAUUUAGGCUCUCCAAAUUAAGAGAUCUGGGUCUCUCAGACAAUAGAAAUUUAUUUGAAGGGAGUAUUCCUAUUGGACUGGGACUCUUGACUAACCUCAGGUACUUAGAUCUAUAUUCCAAUAAUCUCGGUGGUUAUAUUCCAUCUGACAUUGGAAACCUGAAGCUACUAGAAGUUCUUGAUCUCAGUUCUAAUCAAUUGACUGGACCGCUUUUAAAGAUUGUUUCUAAUCUCACAAAUCUUAUGUUUCUUGAUGUAAGACAAAAUAGUCUUAGUGGAAAUAUUCAGAGUGACUUGUGGAAAUAUAACGAUCAUCCAACUUUGGAAUUCAUCAAUUUAAGUGGGAACCAUUUUACGGGUAUAGUUUUUCUCUAUAAAUCUUUUCUUUUGUCAUAUGUAACUAAGCUAGUAAUCUGAUUAAUUGCAGUUUUACCAAAGUUUCAACAAUCUUGACAGGUGAGCUUCCAACAACAAUUUGCAAUGUCACUUCCCUUUCAAUUCUUGAUUUGUCAAAUAAUGGAUUAAGUGGUGCACUUCCAAACUGUUUCGGGAAUCUUGCAGAUAGAUUGCUUUUCAUUAAUCUUGCUAAUAAUCAGUUUCGAGGAACAAUACCAACUACUUUAUCCAAAAGUUGUCAGCUGACAUGUCUAAACAUGGAUAAUAAUGAGUUUGAAGGAUUGUUACCCCCAUCUUUGGCGAACUGUAAGCACUUGAGAAUUCUUGAUAUUGGCAACAAUAAAAUAGGUGGCACAUUUCCGUCAUUGCUUUAUGUACUUGGAGAGCUAGAAGUCCUUGUCUUGCGAUCAAAUAAACUCUGCGGUACAAUAAGUGCAAGGAGCAUAGAAGAUCCCUUCCCCAAGUUGCGGAUUGUGGAUCUGUCCAACAAUCAGUUCACAGGCCAUUUGCCAAUUCAAUACUUCAAGAAUAUGAAAUCAACUGAUAAUUUGUAUUGGUAUCGUAUUUCCACAGGAGAAUUAUUUUUCCAAUAUGAAGCAGCAGUCUCAUUAACUGUGAAGGGAAGAGAGUAUGAAGUAGCAAAUAACCUUCAUAUUUACACAGCCAUUGAUCUGUCGUGCAACAAAUUUCAGGGAGAAAUUCCAACGGUUACUGGAGAGCUUAGAUGGCUUGCAUUGCUCAAUUUAUCUCAUAAUAGUCUAACAGGACCUAUCCCAUCAUUGCUGAGAAAUAUGAAAGAACUCCAAUCUUUAGAUUUGUCCUCGAAUCAACUGACAGGGGCUAUUCCACCUCAGUUAUCUGCAUUGACAUUUCUAGAGGUCUUGAACCUCUCGAAAAACCAUCUUAGUGGAGAGAUUCCUCAGAAAGGACAGUUCAGCACAUUCAACAAUGAUUCUUAUCUAGGAAACUCCGCGUUAUGUGGAUCACCUUUGACGAAGAAAUGUGCAAACACAGCAUCACCUCCACAAGAAGUCGGAAAUGGUGAUGAAGAUGAUGCUGGAGAUGAAUUGACAUGGGAAGCAAUCGUGAUGGGAUAUGGAUGUGGACUGAUAUGUGGUUUGUGAGAUAUAUCGAAGUACUGCAACAGAAGUUGAUGAAAAGAUAUGCAUGAAGAAUGAUACUGGCCGAUCAAGACGAACUUGAAAGUUUGUUGUCCUUGUGGACAUUUCAGCUGAACCAGUAGUGUACUAUUCUCUUUGUGACUGCAUAAGUAUUUUGUAUUGUGUAAUGUUCUGUUUGGGCUUAAAUCAUAAUGAUUUUUCUUGCUUCAGGGGUAUUAAUAUAAAACCGUUUGGUCGGGACUCAUAAUGAUUUCUCUUGCUUCAGGGGUAUUAAUAUCAUCCUUGCUAUCUUGAACAAUGAUAAUGCAAAUUAAAAAGAAUGAAAAAACAAAAAUAUUGCAUCAAACACCUGUUGUACCAAGAUCCAUUAAUUUGCUUUCAUCUCUUACGCAACAAUUUAACAGCACUUCCACACUGUUUGAAAGAUUAUCAUAAAUUCGAGUUUUCCUCUCCAGCACCAAAUCCAAAUUAAUAUACAAUGCCACACAUUCCAGUCUCAGCUUCAGCUCCCAGGGUAGCAUUCAUUUAGCCAAGCACGACAGUGGCCGCUUACGUGCCUAACAAUAACAGUUGGGGAUUUGAGUGAACUUGCCUUGGUCCUGCCUUCAAAUGUCUGACAAUAACAGUUGGAUAUGUCGACAAAAAAAUUGUUCCUCACAGAGGAGCUAAUAGCAAUUGACUUCGAAUAAAUCCGACAGUUCUUUUCAUCCAGUUAUUAUUUCAGCAAUAUGUCUAGCAAAUAUGUAGUGCACUGGACACCAUACUACCAACACAAGUAGUAAAAGGAGAGACCAUUGUUUCGAAUGCUCGGAAAUUUGAACAGGGUUUUUUCCACCUGCCCCCUGACUUUUUACACAAACAGGUCAAGAAAAACAGAAGCCGGCUUCUGGAAAAAUGAAGCACUACUUUAUGAGUGACCAUUGUUUUGAAUGCUCGGAGAUGUGAAGUGGAUUUUUUCAGCCUGCCCCCAGACUUCUUUUUGUAAAACUAGAUUUCUUUAGCUCCGGUGUCUUAGUAUUGGAGAUUAUGAGUGACUGUAGAAAAGACUUUAAUAUGAGUGUGAGAUAUACCCCGGUGGAAACAGGACCUUGAUCCAAAGGGUCACGGGUUCAAACCUCACCUGAUCGGGUUCCACUCCACGCUCGGUCCACAUCUAUGCUGGAUUCAUAUUAAAAUGAUAAUGGAACACGGGCGUCCAUGGUUGGGGAUAUCAUAUUAAAAAGAUUAGCUGGGCACAGAUGAAUAUUUAUAUGGAUUUUAAAAACAAACUAUGACUUAAUAUAAGAAAAAUCAUUAUUUUUUAUUUUUCCGACUAAACAUUUGUUAGCCUUCUCUGGUGCCCAUCCAAAUCAUUCAGCGGGUUCUACUUUCAGCUCAUCACAAGAACAUCAUUCUGCAGGUACUUUCUUAUAUUGUUUGCCAGCGGUGACCGAGCCAGAAACUUUUUCGAGGAGGGGCCGGAAUAGAAAUAUUAUUUAAAUUUGAAAAUAUUAUAUAUCAUAUUGAAAAUAGUAUUAGUAACAAAAAUCCAUUUAUUUUAGGUUUCUAUGAGAAAACUCAGUCGUUUCAUUAAGAAAAUUUAAUUACUUAAUUACCAAACGGUUGAGGAUGAAGAUUUGAAAGAACGAGUUGCAACGGGGAGACUCAUAGACGCGACAGAAAAAAAUAGAAAAAGAUAUUGUUCAACAACCGAGUCUAUAUUAUUAAAAUUUAUGAUAAAUGAGAUAAUUUUAUUUUAUAAACUAACUAAAUACAUAUAAUAUAGUAUUAUAUGUAAUGCUACGUAAAAUUGGAUACAAGAUUUUGCACAAAAUGAUAUGAUAACUAAAGUGAAAUAUUUUAAUUGGUGCUAUUAAUGUAUAUAUACAUUUAUUACAAUUAAAACUUAACACAUAUUAUUAAUUUUGUGAAUAAAAUAUUUUUCUUAAUAAUAUAUAAGUAAAAAAAAUAAAAAUCUAGGAGGGGCUCAGGCCCCCUCUGGACCCCUCUAGCUCCGUCUGUAUACACCUAUCAUAUUAUUGACAGGUGGCUCUCUCAUAUUGCUCACAGGCGAACUCCUGCAUAUACUUUGUGAACCAAUCAUGACAAAAAUAUCAUCAUCCAAUCAAUUCGAUUAAUUAUUCUUUAAAUCAGUACAAAUAUUGUUAAAUAUAUGGAUGAUUAUCGUGUUUCCGCGAACCAAUCAUGAAAUGAAAUUACCUCUGUAUAAAUCCAUCGGAAAUAAGACAAUUAAUGGGGCCGUUUGGGCAAGCUUAAAAGAAGUGACUUCUUGCUUAAACUAGAGAAGUGGAGCAGAAGUGAGAAGUAAAUAAGUUAUUAAAGUGUUUGGAAAAGAAGCAGAAGCUGUGAGACAAAAGCUAGCAUUCUCAGCUUUUUAAAAGUGACUUCUUUACACAAACGGGUAAAAAAAGCAGAAGCCAGAAGCAGCUUCUGCUUCCGUUAAACAAACAGGCCCAAUAUCUCAAUCGAAUACACCCCGUGAGUUGUCAAACUCCUCGAAACGUAUUAAUCACUUUAGAAAUUUGUUCCACUGGCGCCAUUCAGUUCCAGAGUUGGUGGUAGGGGCCGUGCUUCUUGUGUUUCUUCUUUUCAUUAUUGACAUUGUCAUCUAGGUCCUUGCUUCUGGGCUUUGGAGAAGUAAACAAUGGAUCUAUUAGUCUUCCAUAUCGCUGAUACGCGCUAACGCGCAUUAUAGUGGAUUGAUCUUUAUUAGUGAUUUCUGUGGAGAUGCAUAAUCAUUAUAAGCUCCAAUAUAAAAUAAACCUAAUUUAAAGUUAGUAUGGGCAUUUGUGUUGAUAAUUUACGCAAUGUUAACAGGGAUUGCUCCCAAGUCUUGGACGGAUUCUUUCCAAGUCUUCUGAGGACCUAUUUGCACACUAAUUUGUCGCCAACUAAAAAUUCAACGAUAUUGCUAGCUCCCUCUACUAAUUUUUUGCGGGACGUUUUUUACUUUUAACACAUAUCUUUAGAUAGAAUUAGUAUUGUAAAAAGCGGGAAUCAGACUUAAUCGGUGAAGUCACAGAACAACGAUUAAUCGAUGAUUAAUUGGAUUGAUUGGGUAUCAAUCGGAUGAUUAAUGAAAUAAUCGGAUAUUUAAUCCGUUCGACGAGUUACGGAACAGGGAUUAAUCGUGAUUAAUCACCGACUUUUAGAACAGAGGAUAGGAUAAUAAAAUUAUUAUUUUUGAUUAUUUUUUUUGUGAAUAAAAAUUUUGAUUAUAUAUUUUUAUUAAAAAAGAAUUUAAAAUAAUAUUUUUAACUAACCGGUCCAAACAGCUAAAAGUGUGUGCCCAAGCGUCAUAUAAAAACGGAGGGAGCGAGCAUGUGCUGACUAACGGUUCAACUAACAGUUUACAAGUACUCCAUCUGUCCCAUUUAGUCCUAUUUAAUUAUAUACGUUUUUUUUUAACUGUUUGACACGCACUUCAAUGCUCUUCUAAAAUAUGGUUCUAUAACUUAUUUUUAAAAUUUUCUUUUUCUGAAUAAAAAUAUAACAUUCAAACUUUUAUUCAGAAAAAAAUAUCGUAAAAAUAAGUUAUAGAAUUAUAUUUUAUAAGAGCAUUAAAGUCCAUGUCGCGUCCCCGUCUUCUGAUGUAUAAAUUUGCGCAAUGUUAACGGGGAUUGCUCAUUUGCUCUCAAGUCUUGGACGGACCAAGUCUUCUAGGACCCAUCUGCACACUAAUUUGUCUGCCAACUAAAAAAUCAACGAUAUUGCUGCCUCUGCUAUUUUUUACCAGGACGUUUUUUACUUUUAACACAUGUUUAGAUAGGAUAAUAAAUAUUAUUAUUAUUGAUUAAUUUUUUUGUGAAUAAAAAUUUUGAAUAUAUAUUUUUAUCAAAAAAAGAAAAUUUUAAAAAUAAUAUUUUUAAGGGAAAUUAUUAAUGGUACUAUUGUGCUACUGGCUUUUCUAAAUGGUACUAUUUUGGUGUUUUCGACUUACAUGCAUUAUCACUUCCAUUAACGAUACUACCAUUCCGUCCCUCAAAACGUUAAAACCAUUAGUUGACCGUAUUUAUUUUGUAUUUUCCUUGUAAAAAAAACAAAAGAAUACAACUAAUAUUUGUAUUUUUUGUUUGUGUUCAAAUCGUCGAGAUAUGGAAGAGGUUAUCAGAAUUUUAGAAUUGAUUCGAUGUCCUUCAGAAAGUCAGGGGGAAACGGAAUGAGAUACGAGUUUUGAACAAGAAUCCAGUUUAGUUGUUGUUUAUCUUGAAAAACAGAUUUGGAAGUCAUAUAUUUUCAGCCUUUGGCUUCAUGUAUUUCUGUCUCAUCAUUCCCAGAUACUUGCUGAGGUUUAUAGUCACUGUUUAUUAAAUGUUGUCGUACAUUUUCCUGUAUUAUGCACCCAUGUGGCGCCUGUGUUUUGCAUGUCAUGCACAAUUUGCUCAACUACAUACAGGUCACAGGAUGAGUGCAUGUGCCAAAGGGAUUAGUGCAUUGAUCUGUGUAGUGUGAGGACACUGUGAUACAAGGCACAAUUUCUCAGAUUUCUUCUGUCAACACCACUCCCAUCCAUAGCUCCCACCUUUUCUCUCUCAAUCUCAUGUUUCUCUCUUUCUCUCGCAGCUCCGCCGCCACCACUACAUCAGUCUUCAAGAACUCAAGAAAAAAUAUGGAUAUCAGUUAUAUUUUUUGUGUUUUUUAAAGAAGUAUAUGAAAUAAAUAUAGUCAACUAAUGUUUUUAACGUUUUGAUGGACCGAAUGGUAGUAUCAUUAACGGAUCAUAAACUGAGUGGUACCACUUGUAAGUAAAAACCAGUGUUGUAAAAAGCGGGAAUCGGAUUUAAUCGGUGAAGUCACGGAACAAAGAUUAAUCGGAGAUUAAUCGGACUAAUCGGUGAUUAAUCGGAUAUUUAAUCAGUUCGGCGAGCUACGGAACAGGGAUUAAUCGGUCGUGAUUAAUCACCGACUUUUAGAACAGAGGUAAAAACACGAAAUGGUAUUAUUCAUAAAAGCCAAUACCACGAUGGUACCAUUAAUAAUUUCCCUAUUUUUAAUUACCGAGUCCAAAUAUUUAAACGUGUGUGCCCAAAAUUAAAGCCGCAUAUAAAAAAACGGAGGGAGCAUGUACUAACCGUUUCCAUAACAGUUUACAAGUAUAAGUUAUACUCCCUCUCAAUUUUUUUAUUUUUUUAUAUGACGUUUUGAUCUUGGGCACACAUUAUUAAGUGUUUUGACCGGAUAGUUAAAAAUAUUAUUAUUUAAAUUUUCUUUUCUGAAUAAAAAUAUAUAACCAAAAAUUUUAUUCACAAAAAUUUUUAGUGAUUUUUUCGUGAAUACCUAAGGCCAAUUUUUCAAAUAUUUUGUAAAAAUACCAAUUUUUUGAAAAUAUUUGCAAAGAUAAUGUAUUCAACCACAUGCAACCAUACUUAUAACCAGAUGUAACCAUAAUUGCAACCUCUGCGGGACCAAUUAACUGAAUUUGUAUUUGGUUGCACUAGUUAGUAUUUUCUUAAAGUUAGUAUUUUUGUAAAUAUUUUUAAAAAAAAGUAAAAUCGCAAAAAAAAAAAUCGAAAAAAUGGUUUGAUAAAUUUCUAAAUAUUUAAUCACAGAACAAUAACUUUUACAAUCCGAUCAACUCAUUUAAAAAUGUGUGUCAAAAGUAAAAAUGUCAUAUAUAUAUAUAUCAUAUAAAUGUCAUAUAAAUUUAAAACAAAGGGAUNCAUAUAAAUGUCAUAUAAAUUUAAAACAAAGGGAUAUAUAUUUUUUAAUAAAAUAUACUCCCUCUAUCCCAAAUAAGUGUCAGUGACAUUUUGCAAAAAUAGCUUGGGACAAUAGAUUUUUUUGCCACUCAACUUAAUGUGUUUUUAGAAAUUCGCCACCCAACUAAUUUUUUUUUCCUUUUACUCACUAAUGUUAGGUUUGGAUUUUUUUUAGCCACCAACUUAGGUUCGGAUUUGAUUACUAGUAUUAUGAUAAUUUUAUUUAUCACUAAACUUACUGCGUCUUUAGGAAUUAACCACUGAACUAUAAUUUUUUUAUUUUACUCACUAAUGUUAGGUUCAUUUUUUUUGUCACUGAAGUUAGGUUCGGAUUUGAUUAUUAGCAUUAUAUUAAUUAUGUGUAACAUUAUUAAAAUAUAGUGGUCUAUAAUAUUUUGAUGAUUUGGUAUAUGUCUGUAUCUUUAUAUAUAGUACUUUUUAUGUCUCCAAUGUCGUUUAACUUGAGUGGUAAGAAUUUUACACGCAUUUUAUGGCUUUUAAAAGAUGUAGUUUCAUAAAUAAUUUUAUUUUUUUCUUCCGAAUAAAAAUUCAGCGUUUUACACACAAAAAAAUAACAAAAAAAAGUUAUGAAGCUAUGUUUUAUAAGAGUCUUAAAAUACGUGCUAAGCAGUAGAAAAAACUGUAAACUAAUGAGAGGGACAUGUAGUAAUAAUAAUAAAAUGAUGCAUUAUAGAGGACAAUCAUCGAAAAUUAAGUUAACCUCUCUAUUUAUUUAUCUUGAAAAUUGUAGUAAAAUAAAGUUAUUAAAAUUUAUGAAGAUAAAUUUGAGAGAGAUCUUGGACUGAGCUAGUCAAUUGAAACUUUAAUAGCGAAAGAUGAUGCAUCAUAUCAAUCAAUUACACUUUAUCUUCUUAUCAUCAGGGAGGGUGAAUUGUUUGAAGUCAUUGAUUUCAUAUUCAUGAUUUAUUGAAUUUUAGAAUUCUAAUUACGAUUUUUCCUGGUUUUAAUUUUUCAUCGGCUCAUUUUAUAUUAUUUUUGUUAUAUAUAAGGAUAUAAACAUACGACACAUCAUCAAAAUAUUACAUACUAUCACUAUGUAUAAAUGAUGCGACAAAAAUUAUCAUAAUGCUAGUAAUUAAAUCCGAACCUGAGUAGUGGCUAAAAAAAAAUCCAAACCUAAUAUUAAUGGUAAAAGGAAAAAAAAAAUAGUUAGGUGGCAAGUUUCUAAAAACACUAUAAAUUGAGUGGCAAAAAAAAUCUAUUUUCCAAACAUAGCUUGGGGUAAUAACAAAACCUUAAUCAACGCAAGCACAGCAGACCGCAGGCAUAAGGCUUAUAAAUAGAAGUGCAGUAUUGUGUUGAUGGUCAAGUUGAGUGGAAAUAUGGUACACUUUGUAAAGCCUUGUUAUCCUCUUCUCUUUGUUUUCUUUCUCUCAUUACUUCAAUCCAUUCUAACAACACUACCUGAAUCCAGACGAGAGGGAGAAGCUCUUGUGAAAUGGAAGAAUAGCCUAGCCCCGUCUUCUUUUCUCGACUCUUGGUCACUCACUGAUCUCGAUAAUCUUUGUAACUGGACUGGCAUUACUUGUAACUCUGCAGGUUCAGUCUCGGAGAUUAACCUUUGUGAGAAACAACUUGAUGGAAUGCUGUCCGAGUUUGGUUUCACUUCAUUUCCAGAUCUCAACUAUCUCACCCUCGCAGACAACUUCUUCUCGGGUCCGAUACCAUCAGCCAUUGAGAAUCUAACACAGCUUCAAUAUCUUGAUUUAAGCAUGAAUAGUCUCAAUGGUCCCAUUCCUUUCCAGGUUAGCCAUAUUCAGAGCUUGCUCAUCUUAAACCUGUCACACAAUGCAUUGCAAUCUCCAAAUUGGUCCCAUUGCUCUCCCAUGCCUGUCUUGCGCAUCCUCGACCUUAGUUUUAAUAAUCUUGUGUCGAAAUUCCCAGAAUUUAUAUCCAAUUCUCAUAGCCUGACUCACCUUAACCUUUCAGAUAACAAGUUUACUGGUGAUCUUGUGCGUGAAUUUACCAAUCUACAAAAUCUUGAAACCCUCUACCUUCAAGAUAAUUCUUUUGAGGGGCCGUUUCCGCCUGAUAUAGUCCAGCUUUCCAAAUUAAAACGUCUCGCCCUGUUAGGUAACAAAUUUUCAGGUUCAAUUCCCAAUGACAUAAGGUUGCUUUGUGUUCUUGAAUACCUAUAUUUAGGCAACAAUUCCUUUGAAGGACCACUUCCACCAAAUAUAUUCACGCUUUCAAAAUUAAAAUUACUUGUUCUUUGGGGUAAUAAGUUUUCAGGUUCUAUUUCCAAUGAUAUAGGUUUGCUUUCUGAGCUUGAAACCCUCGUUCUUGACUCUAAUUAUUUUGAGGGGCCACUUCCGCCAAAUAUAUUCAAGCUCUCUAAAUUAAAGGUUUUUUCCCUUGUGUACAAUAACUUUUCAGGUUCUGUUUCCAAUGAUAUAGGUUUGCUUUCUGAGCUUGAAUAUCUCCGUAUUGGCUGCAAUUCUUUCGAGGGACCGUUGCCAACAAAUAUAUUCAAGCUUUCCAAAUUAAGUAAACUUGACCUAUCAAAUAAUAGUAAUUUUUUUGAAGGAAGUAUUCUUAUUGGAUUGGGACUCUUGACUAACCUCAGCUACUUAGAUCUAGAUUCCAAUAAUCUCAGUGGCUAUAUUCCAUCUGAGAUUGGAAACCUGAAGCUACUAGUAUUUCUCGAUCUUAGUUCUAAUCAAUUGACUGGAUCGCUUUCAAAGAUCUUUUCUAAUCUCACAAAUCUUAUAUAUCUUCAUGUAUAUGAUAAUAGUCUUAGUGGAAAUAUUCAGAGUGACUUGUGGAAAAACUCUGUAUCCUUGCGUUUCGUUGAUCUUGCAAAUAAUUAUUUGUCUGGAAACAUCCCUAAGGAAUAUAACGAUCAUCCAACUUUGGAAUACAUUAAUUUAAGUUGGAACCAUUUUACAGGUAUAUUUUCUCUAUAUAUCUUUUCCUUUUCUNCUCAUAUGUAACUAAGCUUGAUUAUUGCAAUUUUACCUAAGUUUCAACAAUCUUGACAGGUGAGCUUCCAACAACAAUUUGCAAUGUCACUUCCCUCUCGGUUCUUGUUUUGUCAAAGAAUGGAUUAAGUGGUCCACUUCCAAAUUGUUUCGGAAAUCUUGCUGAUAGAUUGCUUUCCAUUAAUCUUGCUAAUAAUCAGUUCCGAGGAACAAUACCAACUACUUUCUCCAGCAGUUGUCAGCUGACAUAUCUAAACAUGGAUGAUAAUGAGUUUGAAGGAAUGUUGCCUCAAUCUUUGGCGAAAUGUAAGCACUUGAAAAUUCUUGAUAUUGGCAAUAACAAAAUAGGUGGUAUAUUUCCGUCAUGGCUUUAUGUACUUGGAGAGCUAGAAGUCCUUGUCUUGCGAUCAAAUAAACUCUAUGGUACAAUAAGUGGAAGGAGCAUAGAAGAUCCGUUCCCCAAGUUGCGGAUUGUGGAUCUGUCCAACAAUCAAUUCACCGGCCAGUUGCCAAUUCAAUACUUUAAGAAUAUGAAAUCAACUGAUAAUUUGUAUCGUUAUCGGAAUUCCACAGGACCAUUAUCUUUCUCUUAUGAAGCAGCAGUCUCAUUAACUGUGAAGGGAACAGAGUACGAGGUAGCAAAGAACCUUCAUAUUUACACAGCCAUUGACCUGUCAUGCAACAAAUUUCAGGGAGAAAUUCCAAAGGUUACUGGAGAGCUUAGAUGGCUUGCAUUGCUGAAUUUAUCUCAUAAUAGUCUGACAGGACCUAUCCCAUCCUUGCUGAAAAAUAUGAAAGAACUCCAAUCUUUAGAUUUGUCCUCAAAUCAACUGACAGGGGCUAUUCCACCUCAGUUAACUGCAUUGACAUUUCUGGAGGUCUUCAACCUCUCGGGAAACCAUCUUAGUGGAGAGAUUCCUCAGAAAGGACAGUUCAGCACAUUUAACAAUGAUUCUUAUCUAGGAAACUCCGCGUUAUGUGGAUCACCUUUGACAAAGAAAUGUGCAAACACAGCAUCACCUCCACAAGAAGUCGGAAAUGGUGAUGAAGAUGAUGCUGGUGAUGAAUGGACAUGGGAAGCAAUCGUGAUGGGAUAUGGAUGUGGACUGAUAUGUGGAUUGUCAUCUGCGUACAUUGUUCUCAAACUAGGAAAGCCUUGGUGGUUUGUGAGAUAUAUCGAAGUGCUGCAACUGAAGUUGAUGAAAAGAUAUGCUUGAAAAAUGGUACUGGCCGAUCAAGACGAACUUGAAAGUUGUUGUCCUUGUGGACAUUUCUGAACCAGUAGUGUACUAGCUGCAUAAGUAUUUGGUAUUAUGUAAUAAUCCGUUUGGUCAGGACUCAUAAUGAUUUCUCUUGCUUCAGGGGUAUUAAUAUUAACCUUGCUAGUUAAUUCAAAUUAAAACAAAUAUAAAAUCAAAAAAUUUGCAUCAAACACCUGUUAUACCAACAUCCAUUAAUUUGCUUUCAUCUCUUACGUAACAAUUUAACAGCGAUUCCACACUGUUUUAGGCAUGGAGAUUACACAAAGAAGGCAAGUCCAUGGACUAAUAUACGAACAAUUCAUAUUGGUCUUCCAUCUGUUCAACCGUCUCCCGAAGAUAGGCCAAAAAUGUCAUCUGUGGUUCUUAUCUUUGUCAGUAAAGGAGAAUCUCUGAUGCCUAUACAACCUGGUUUUCUUACCGAAAGGAAUGUAGGUGAAACCAGGGGCAUAAAAUGAAUCGGGACUAAAAUCUGCUAAAAUGAUAAUUAUUUACUCAUCAUUCGAGAUUAGUCGGGCUCGAAUGAAGAUUUAUAUGGAUUUUAAGAACAAACUAUGACUAAAUAUGAAAAAAUCAUUAAUUUUUCCGACUCAAUAUUUUUAGCCUCCCCCGGCCCUGGGUGAAACCAUAAGCUUCUCUGGUGCACAUCCAAAUCAUUCAGCUGGUUCUACAUUCAGCUCACCCACAGGAACAUCAUUCUGCAGGUACUCUCUUAUCUGUACUUUCUUAUAUUGUAUGCCAGAAAAUUUAAUAUCGACAAACUGCACAAUACACCUCGAUCUCAUAUUAUUGACAGGUGAGCUCCUCUCAUAAUGCUCACAGGCGAACUCCUGCAUAUAUACUUUGUGAUGUCAUUGAUGAUCGAUAGGCUUGAAAAAAAAUUAUGACAAAGAUUCAUAAAAUAUCUACUUCCAUCCUAAUUCAGUAUUCAAUAUUAUUCAUUCCGUAUCAUCAUCCAAUCAAUUCUAAUAGUUCUUCUUUAAAUCAGUAUAAAUAUUGUUAAAUAUAUUGAUGAUGGUUGUCUUUCCGCGAACCAAUCAUAAAAUUACCUCUGUAUAAAUCCAUCGGAAAUAAGACAGUUAAUAUCCCAAUCGAAUACACCCCUGUCAGUUGUCAAACUCCUCGAAACGUAUUAAUCACUUUAGAAAAUUUGUUCCACUGGCGCUAGUCAGUCCCAGAGUUGGUGGUGGGUGCUUCUGGGCUUUCGAAAAGCACCCAUUUACUCCAUUGUUUAGAGAAGUAAAACCCCACCUUCCGCUCAUUUGAUUGAUCAGCUGAAUUAGGCAGAGUUUACAUGGUCAUGAUCAUAGUCUCCCAUUUCCCAGAUACGCGCAUUAUAGUGGAUUUAUCUUUAUCAGUAAUUUCUGUGGAGAUGCAUAAUCAUUAUAAACUCCAAUAUAAAAAUUUAAAGUUGGUAUGGGCAUUUGUGUUGAUAAUUUGCGCAAUGUUAACAGGAAUUGCUCCCAAGUCUUGGACGGACUCUUUCAAAGUCUUCUGAGGACCCAUCUGCACACUAAUUUGUCUCCCAACUAAAAAAUCAACAAUAUGUUACUCCCUCCGUUUUUCUUAAACGAGGUUAAAAUUUUUGACACAAGAUGGGUUGACAGUAUAAUAAAAAUUUUUGUGAAUAAAAUUUUUUUUAUUUAGAAAGAUAAUCUUGAAAAUAAUAUUAUUAACUAAGUUAAAUCACUUAAAAGUGUAUGUCCAAAAAUUAAAGCGGCAUAUAAAAAAAAGGGAGGGAGCAUGUACUAACUGUUUCCAUAACAGUUUACAAGUAUAAGUUAUACUCCCUCUCUAUUUUUUUAUAUGACGGUUUGAUUUUGGGCACACAUUUUUAAGUGUUUUGACCAGAUAAUUAAAAGGGGUUUUCUCAUAAAUACCUAAGUCUAAAAUUAUUUUUACGAAAAUAUUAUAUCUUUUUUUAAAUAUUUUGCAAAAAUACCAAACUUUGUAAAUAUUUACAAAAAUACGGUAUGCAACCCGUUGCAACCACAUGCAACCUUACUUGCAACCAUAUUUGCAACCCCUGCGGGGUCAAUUAACUGAAAUUGCAUCUGGUUGCGUUUAGUUGCAGACCGUAUUUUUGCAAAUAUUUUCUAAAAAGUUAGUAUAUUUGCAAUUUUUUUAAAAAUAUAAGAAAAUCGCAAAAAUUAUAACAAAGCUUCAAGAUUUUUAACAGGUGAGCUUCCACUAAAAAUUUGCAAAGUCACUUCCCUUUCGCGUCUCAUUAUGUCAGAUAUUGGUCAAGUGGUGCACUUCCACAGUGUUUGGGGAACCUUUCUUUGCUUGGUUUCAAUAAUCUUGCUAAUAAUCAAUUUCAAGGACCAAUACCAACGACUGUCCAAGACUUGUCUGUGCAUAUCUAAACAUCCAUAACAAUCACUUUGAAGGUUUGUUGCUCCAAUCUUUGGCAAACUGUAAACACUUACAAAUUCUUGAUAUUGGAAACAACAAAAUAGGUGGUACAUUUCCGUCAUGGCUAUUUACUGUUGGAGAGCUAGAUGUCCUAGUUAGGACGGUAUUUCGACUAGAGCAAGCCGAGUUUUGAGCGGAGCCCAAUUCGAGCCAAGUUUAAUCGAGUCGAGCCGAGUCAGUUCGUUUGGCUAAUCGAGCCUAAAACUCUGUCCGAACUCGACUCGUUUAAUUUCACGAGUUGAGUCAAGCCAGCUCAUUUAGCUAAACGAGUUGGUUUUAACGAGUUAAACGAGUGAGCUCGUAUAAUUUUAACUUAAUCGAGCCUGGAUCUCUAUCCGAACUAUUGGCUCGUGUAAUUUCGCGAGUCGAAUCGAGCCGGCUCGUUUUAUUAAACAAACCGAAAUUUUUGCCCAAAUUUUGCUCGUUUAACAAGCCGAUCUGAACCUAGUUAAAUGAGUUCGAGCUAGUCGAGCUCGCAGCUUGCGAGCUCGCCGGACAGCUCUAGUACUAGUCUUGCGAUCAAAUAGGUUUCACGGUAUAGAAAGUGGAAGGAACACAAGGCAUCUGUACUUUCUUGUACUGUAUGCCACUUUGACAGUAAAAUUUAUACUCCCUCCGUCCGAAUGAAUUGUAUACAGUUUACUUUUUGGGACGUCCCAUCAAUUGUAUACAUUCCUAAAGUAGUAAACUUUUAUAAUAUAAAACAUCAUUAAACCAACUACUUUCUUCCCCUAUCUCCAUUCUAUAAUAAUAUAAACACUAUUACACCCACUACUUUCCUCCACUAUCUCAAAUUUAUUAUUAAAUAUAAAUGGGUCCCACCACUAUACUCACUUUUCAUCCAACUUUACUCAUUUCUAAUAAAAUUUCUUGGUCUCCGUGUCCCAGCCAUUUGUAUACAAAUGACUGGGACGGAGGGAGUAUCAACAAACUGCACGAUUAAAUCCUCGUACAAUUGACAGGUGAACUCCUGCAUAUGUUCUGAACUAUUACGUACUAUAUUAUGCAAGCUGUUUGCAACUUUCAUCAAAAUUUUCAAACAUUUCUUAAUAUGUUUUUUCAAAAAAUUCUCGGGCCCUCUUAAGGCCUAUUAUUAUUGCAACUCUCACGUUAUGGACCACUAUGUAUUUUACAAGCACGACGAAUCAUGUGGUCAUUAUGGACUCCCCAAGCCUUCGAGGACUCACUCCAGGUCUUAGGAGGACCACUGCCUAGCUCACCCUUUCGGAGUGAUGUAAAUUAUUUUCUAGACACUAAAAAUAAGUAUUCAGAUUAAUCAUUACAAAAUUAAGGAUAUAAAAUCAGAAUAAAUCCUAAACUUUGAUGAUACAAAAAAAUUAUAAUUGUAAAUUAUACAAUCAAAUUAAAAUCGAAUUAACUUCCCUCACACUUAAAAUUUAUAGCGAUCAAAUCAAAAUCGAAUUAACUUUCCUAUUACUAAAAUAUAAUUACAAUAUUAUUAGAUAAAGAGAAUAUAUAAUAAUCAAGAGAAAAUAGAUUUUUUUUUGCCACUCAACUUAUCGUGUUUUAAGAAACUUACCACCCAACUAAAUUUUUUUUCCUUUUGCUCACUAAUGUUAGGUUUGGAUUUGUUUUUAGCCACCAACUAAGGUUCGGAUUUGAUUACCAGCAUUAUGAUAAUUUUUUUUGUCACUAAACUUAUUGCGUCUUUAGAAACUAACCACUCAACUAAAUUUUUUUUUAUUUUACUCACUAAUGUUAGGUUCAGUUUUUUUUUGUCACUGAAGUUAGGUUCGGAUUUGAUUAUUAGCAUUACAUUAAUUCUGUGUAGCAUUUUUAAAAUAUGGUAGUACUCUGUGAUAUUUAGAUGAUUUGAUAUAUGUCUGUAUUUUUAUAUAUAGUAUAUUUUAUGUCUCCAAGAUCAUUUACCUUGGGUCAUAAGAAUUUUACACGCAUUAUAUGACUUUUAAAAGAUGUAGUGUCAUAAAUAAUUUUAUUUUUUUUUCCGAAUUAAAAUUCAGCAUUUGAAUUUUACACACACAAAAAUCGCAAGAAUAAGUUAUGAAAUUAUGCUUUAUAAGAGUCUUAAAAUACGUGCUAAACGGUAGAAAAAACGGUGAAAUAAUGAGAGGUACAUAGGAGUAAUAAUAACAUAAAAUGAUGCACAAGUUAGUAUAUUGGACUAAUAUUCACGCAUUUAUAUACGAGAAUAUAUGGUCCACAAGUUAGUGCACAAUGUCCAAGAAUCUUUAUCAAAGUAACACGGCAAGCAUGCAGCAUAUAAAUAAGAGUGGGCAGUAUGGUAUUGCAUUCAUAACCCACUUGAGGAGAAAUAUGGCACACUUCCUAAAGCCUUCUCACCUUCUUCUCUUUGUUUUCUCUCUCUCGUUACUUCAAUCCAUUCUACCAACAAGACCAGAGGGAGAAGCUCUUGUGAAAUGGAAGAAUAGCCUAGCCCCUUCUUCUUUUCUCGAUUCUUGGUCACUCACCAAUCUCGAUGAUCUUUGUAACUGGACUGGCAUUACUUGUAACUCUGCAGGUUCAGUCUCUGAGAUUAACCUUUAUGAGAAACAACUUGAUGGAAUGCUGUCCGAGUUUGGCUUCACUUCAUUUCCGAAUCUCAACAAUCUCACCCUCGCAUACAACUUCUUCUCGGGUCCAAUUCCACCAGCCAUUGAGAAUUUAACACAGCUUCAAUAUCUUGAUUUAAGCAUCAAUAGUCUCGAUGGUCCCAUUCCGUUCCAGGUUAGCCAUCUUCAGAGGUUGCUCGUCUUAAACCUGUCACAGAAUGCAUUGCAAGCUCCAAAUUGGUCCAAAUUCUCCCCCAUGCCCUUUUUGUGCAUCCUCAACCUCAGUAGCAAUCCUCUUGCGUCGACAUUCCCAAAUUUCAUAUCCAAUUCUCAUGGCCUGACUCACCUCAGCCUUGAUCAAAACGAGUUUACAGGUGAUUUAGCGCGUGAAUCAAUAUUUGCCAAUCUGCAUAAUCUUGAAGUCCUCAGUCUUGUUGGCAAUUCUUUUGAGGGGGCCAUUUCCGCCAAAUAUAUUCAAGCUUUCCAAAUUAAAACAUCUUAGCCUGUCAGAUAACAAACUUUCAGGUUCAAUUCCCAAUGACAUAAGGUUGCUUUGUGAUCUUGAAUACCUAUAUUUAGGCAACAAUUCCUUUGAAGGACCGCUUCCACCAAAUAUAUUCAAGCUUUCAAAAUUAAAACAUCUUAUUCUUUGGGGUAAUAAGUUUUCAGGUUCUGUUUCCAACGAUAUAGGUUUGCUUUCUGAGCUUGAAAGCCUCUAUCUUGACUCCAAUUUUUUUGAGGGGCCGCUUCCGCCAAAUUUAUUCAAGCUCUCCAAACUAAAGAUUCUUUUCCUUUAUGAGAAUAACUUUUCAGGUUUUAUUUCUAAGGAUAUAGGUUUGCUUUUUGAACUUGAAACCCUCUAUCUUGACUCUAAUUUUUUUGAGGGGCCGCUUCCCCCACAUGUAUUUAGGCUCUCCAAAUUAAGAGAUCUGGGUCUCUCAGACAAUAGAAAUUUAUUUGAAGGAAGUAUUCCUAUUGGACUGGGACUCUUGACUAACCUCAGAUACUUGCGUCUAUCUUCCAAUAAUCUCGGUGGCUAUAUUCCAUCUGACAUUGGAAACCUGAAGCAACUAGAACUUCUUGAUCUCGGUUCUAAUCAAUUGACUGGACCGCUUUCAAAGAUCGUUUCUAAUCUCACAAAUCUUAUAUAUCUUGAUGUGAGUUAUAAUAGUCUUAGUGGAAAUAUUCAGAGUGACUGGUGGAAAAACUCUGUAUCCUUACGUUACAUUGAUUUUGAAAAUAAUUAUUUGUCUGGGAACAUUCCUAAGGAAUAUAACGAUCAUCCAACUUUGGAAUACAUCAAUUUAGGUGGGAACCAUUUUACAGGUAUAUUUUCUCUAUAUAUCUUUUCCUUUUGUCAUAUGUAAAUAAGCUAGUAAUCUGGUUAUUGUAGUUUUACCAAAGUUUCAACAAUCUUGACAGGUGAGCUUCCAACAACAAUUUGCAAUGCCACUUCCCUUUCGGUUCUUGUUUUGUCAAAUAAUGGAUUAAGUGGUGCACUUCCAAAAUGUUUCGGGAAUCUUGCUGAUGGAUUGCUUUACAUUAAUCUUGCUAAUAAUCAGUUUCGAGGAACAAUACCAACUACUUUCUCCAGGAGUUGUCGGUUGACAUAUCUAAACAUGGAUAAUAAUGAGUUUGAAGGAUUGUUGCCCCCAUCUUUGGCGAACUGUAAGCACUUGAAAAUUCUUGAUAUAGGCAAUAAUAAAAUAGGUGGUACAUUUCCGUCAUGGCUUUAUGCACUUGGAGAGCUAGAAGUUCUUGUCUUGCGAUCAAAUAAACUCUAUGGUACGAUAAGUGGAAGGAGCAUAGAAGAUCCCUUCCCAAAGUUGCGGAUUGUGGAUCUGUCCCACAAUCAAUUGACAGGCUAUUUGCCAAUUCAAUACUUUAAGAAUAUGAAAUCAACUGAUGAUUUGUAUAGUUUCCGGAAUUCCACAGGAACCGCAUCUAUCUCUUAUGAAGCAUCGGUCUCAUUAACCGUGAAGGGAACAGAGUAUGAAGUAGCAAAUAACCUUCAUAUUUACACAGCCAUUGAUCUAUCGUGCAACAAAUUUCAGGGACAAAUUCCAAAGGUUACUGGAGAGCUUAAAUGGCUGGCAUUGCUCAACUUAUCUCAUAAUAGUCUAACAGGACCUAUCCCGUCAUUGCUGAGAAAUAUGAAAGAACUCCAGUCUUUAGAUUUGUCUUCAAAUCAACUAACAGGGGCUAUUCCACCUCAGUUAACUGCACUGACAUUUCUAGAGGUCUUGAACUUCUCGGGAAACCAUCUUAGUGGAGAGAUUCCUCAGAAAGGACAGUUCAGCACAUUCAACAAUGAUUCCUAUCUAGGAAACUCUGCGUUAUGUGGAUCACCUUUGACGAAGAAAUGUGUAAACACUGUAUCACCUCCUCAGGAAGUCGAAAAUGGUGAUGAAGAUGAUGCUGGUGAU
rnacentral:lncRNA from 1 species